UGUAUCCAGCUGGUAUCAGAAAUGGCAAUGAAACUUGGUUCGAAGUUGGACGAUCCAAGACUUAUACCCCAACUGCUGAUGACAUUGGUCAUGUCCUUAAGUUUGAAUGUUCUGUAGUUGAUGCAGUGACAAAAUCACCUGUGGGACAAGCUAGCACUUUACAAACUAAUAGGGUCAUUCCUGCUCCUUCACCAAUUCCGCGCCGAAUUAUACGUGUUGAUGGGAUGGGGCAUUUAGAUCUAGAUAGGCGAAUGACAUCUUCAGGAACUUUUACUGCUCUGUCAUACAAUGUCUUGUCUGAGACAUGUGCCUCAAAUGAUCUCUAUAGAUACUGCCCUCAGUGGGCACUUUCUUGGCCAUAUCGCAGGCAAAAUUUGUUACGGGAAAUUAUUGAUUAUGCUGCAGACAUAAUUUGCCUUCAGGAGGUACAUUAACGUGUUCUUGGUUAUGGUUUUGGUGGUUGAAAAACUUGAUUUAAUAUAUUGUUUCUUCAAGUUUUUAUGAGUUUGGUGUUGUAUUAAUAUUUGAAUUUAUUUCACAAUUCUUUACGCAUUUUUAAAGUUCAAAUCUUUUUCGUUUUUGACGAACGCUUGAUUAUGCAAUUGGUUGCAUCAAAAUAUCUGCUACGUGCAGCUUAUUCUAUUGUAUUAAAACUUGGAUUGCCACAGUUAUAAAUGAUUAGGAUACUCUUAUGAAUUUCAUAAAUAACAACAAACCAUUUCUAUAAUUUCCAAGCAUGUGAAUCAGUGUUGUAUUUUUUUUUGAUGGGUUGGAUGGGGUGUGGGAGUUUAAUUUAGAAUUUUUAUUUUCUUUUGACUUAUAAGUUCACAAUACAAUUCCUUGCAAACAUAUGAAAACAUUAAGUAGAAAAUAAUUGCUUAUGUAGAAGAUAACACUUCACCUUUUUUCCUCCAGGUUCAAAAUGACCAUUAUGACGAAUUUUUUGCUCCUGAGUUGGACAAACAUGGUUAUCACAGUCUUUUCAAGAGAAAAACAACCGAGGUUAUUGCAAUACUCCGGUCCCUUGUGGUCCUAAAUCUUCAUAUAUUUUGUUUAUAAUGUUAACCUGAUUAUUGUGGGUUUACAGGUAUCCAGUGGCAACACAAUUGAUGGUUGUGCGACAUUUUUUCGCAGAGACAAAUUUUCCCAUGUGAAGAAAUAUGAGGUUGGGAAUUGACUUUUUUUUUUGUUUACAGUCACUUGAGUUCUAUUUCUACAGACAUUAGAAUCAUGUGUGGCUUGCAUGCAGGUUGAGUUCAAUAAGGCUGCACAGUCUUUAACAGAAGCCAUGAUUCCAACCGCUCAGAAGAAAACUGCCUUGAAUCGGCUGGUCAAGGUGGCUUAUUUCCCUAAAGAUUACAUUUUAGUUCUGCUUUACUGGAUAGUCCUCUGAUUGUUGCUUACAAAAUUUCAUUGUAUUCUUAGGAUAAUGUUGCACUAAUAGUGGUUCUAGAAACGAAAGUUAACAAUCAACUAGUUGACAAUCUUGGGAAAAGACAACUUCUUUGUGUGGUAAGCUCUUUUAUGUUACUUUAAUUUACAGUCGUUUUUUUUUUCAUGUCUUAAUUGUCCAUGACGUUUGUUACAUAGAAGGCAUUUUAUUUUCAUUGCUUUUAUUUGUUGUUCCCCAGUACCAGAUUGUAAUUGCAAUAUUUGUUGAGUAUUUGUCCCAUAAGGAUAAUCUAGUGCCACACUUCAUGGAUAUUGACUAUUUAUUAAUCAUCCAUUUGUCAGUAUGAGUCGUCAUUGUCAAAUAUCUGAUAAAGAUGUAUAUGCUGAAAGAUAGAGAGACCAUCUUAGGUUGUAGUGGUGGUUUGGUGUCUUAUUUUACUGAUGGUUGUUAGUCAUGUAUAAAAUCUUUAUAUAGUACUGGUCUUAAGUUGCUUUUCUUUCCCUUUUAUUUGCUCUAAAAUCUCAUAAAAGGAACCAUGUUAGAUAUCUGGUUUCAGAGACUCAUUUUUUAACCACAUUUUAAUAUUCCUUUAAGUAAGAUAUGUCAUUUAUCCCAUCUUUCUGCCCUCCUUUACAGAUUUAGGUUAUUUUUUUCAAGUAAUUCUACUACUAACUUGUAUAUUGCUUUUGUGAACUUAGGCAAAUACACAUGUUCAUGUUCAGCAAGAUUUGAAAGAUGUCAAACUCUGGCAGGUAAGCUAUUUUUUUGGUUUGUUUCAUGCUUCACGGUUAGUUUUGAAAGUAGCAAUUACUAAUUUUCUCCUCUUUCUUUAGGUGCAUACUCUAUUAAAGGGGUUGGAAAAAAUAGCUACAAGUGCGGACAUUCCAAUGUUGGUUUGUGGAGACUUUAAUUCUGUUCCAGGAAGGUAUGGUGAAUUCUUUCUCAAUUUUAUUUUAUUUAAUUGUGCAAGGGUUAUUUAUUUGUUUAUAUAAAGGUUAUUCUGAACUUUGUUGCAGUGCUCCUCAUGCACUUCUUGCAAUGGGGAAGGUAGACCCGUCGCAUCCUGAUUUAACAGUUGACCCACUUAAUAUUUUACGCCCUCAUAGCAAGUUGGUUCACCAAUUGCCACUGGUAAUAUAUUCAUCAAAGUGCAUCUCUUAAAGAUAUGAUUUAUUUAAGAUGCAUUUUUACCCGUUUUAGUUCUAUAUACUCUUUCCAAUCUUUUGCCUUAUUUAAUUUACUAUUGGUCGUAUGUGGCUUCAAAUUUUAGGUCAGUGCAUACUCGUCUUUUGCAAGAACAGCAGGUCUUGCAUUCGAGCAGCAUAAAAGGAGACUGGAUGGCGGAACAAAAGAACCUUUGUUCACAAGCGUUACUAGAGAUUUUGUUGGCACUCUAGACUACAUAUUUUACACAGGUGAAUGUCUUGCCAUGUUGCAUUUUUGUUAUAAAUUUGACUUGUUGGUCAUAUUUUUAUGAAGUUAUACGGGUUUUGGUUUCAGCUGAUUCAUUAGUUGUGGAGUCAUUAUUGGAGUUAUUGGAUGAAGAGAGUUUGAGGAAGGACACUGCACUUCCUUCACCUGGAUGGUCCUCAGAUCAUAUAGCACUCCUAGCCGAGUUCCGCUGCUGCAAAAAUAAGUCUAGGCAUUGAUACUUUAAGGUAGGUACAAUUCUUACCCUUCCCUUCCAUAUUUGUUUUUUUGCUCGAUUUGUAUUGAUGUUGUUAAGGUCACUUGUUUAAGAAUAUUCUUUUGUUAUACACAUAUUGAUGGCUUAAUGCUUAGAUGCUGCUGGAAUUUGUAGUUGGAUAUUCUCUCAUGUUGAAGUUAUCAGUUUCAUAUUCUUUGAACAUUUUGUUUUGUAGUUGCUCGUAUAAUCUCUAAAAGGCUGGGUAACUAAGUGUUUAUUAUAUGACAAAGGGUGAGCUUGAUUAGGUUGUCACUUAGAGUGUGAGACUAGGAUGUAAUGGAUGAAAAUAAUGACAUGGUGGAAUUGGAAGUACUUAAAGCCUGCCUUAUAAUUUUGAUAUACUACUAGCUUUGUAUACGACAUAAAAACUCAGUUCCAGCUAUCUACAUUGUGUAAGGCUGUAAGCUUCAUAAAAUUUUAUAUAACACGAAACUUUAUAAACUAGUGUUAAACUUUAUAAUAAUGACACAAACUUUAUAAAUUUUUUAAAAUUGCGGCCCUUCUACCUGCUAUCUCGCUAGUGUUUUCGGAGUCUAACACAGAUUUAUGGUAAUAAUUUUAAAGCAGUACUUAAAACAAAGUAAAACUGAAGUCCUGUAAAUUUCUGACAAUACUCGUGCCAUUAUAGUAAAAUUACAUGGAUGCAUCUGUUUCACCUGUGUAGAAUAGUGGUGUAUGUGAUUUGUUGGAAUACUGGACUUGCUGUUGUAUUGAUCUGCCUUUAAAAAUUUCCCUUCCUUUUUUAUGAAUCUAAUGAAAUGAAGUAGGGCAUACUAUUUGGUAUAUCCCGUCUUUUCUGACAUUAUUCACUCGUGUGCUGGUUAAAACUUAACUAUGUGAAUCUUAAUAUGUUUAUAAAAGAACGUUCAAGUUUAUAUUUCACCGACCUAUAACUCCAAUCCCACAUCAGUUUCUUGUUCUGUGCCAGGAUAGUUUAAUUCGUUAUUGUUAUUGAUAAUAGUUGGUCAAUCUUUGUUUUGCAGUUCAGAUCCAGAGACACAUAAAGAAAAAGGCUGAAAGAAGCAUUUGGCCGGAAGUUAUUGUAAGAAUGGUGGAUCGUGCAUGUAUUUUCCAGGUAUCUCCAUGCGGGAUCCUUGCAGUGAUCUGCUUUGUAUCAUGUUACCUUACUCAUAGAAAAAUUAUGGUGAUCAUGCCUUAUUACUUUCUUCUUUGUCCCUUUUCCCUCCCAACCUUCGCUUCAAAUCUUUUUCCCUUUGUAAAGGCAAAAAUUUCUUCAAAGAUGCCUUACUGGCUCUAAUACAUCCUAGUGAACAAACCAUGUUUUUCCAAUUUAGUGGCGGCUGAGCCUAUAGUUUUAAUUCAUAACAAAGUAGUAGAAUUUGAGGGAAGUUGCUUAACAUGGACAUGAAUUUUGAACUGUUGCUUCAUUCGUAGCAACAUAGGAAGAGAUGUUUACUGUUAACAAUUGAAAACAAGUUAGACACAUUUUUCCGGCUCCCCCUAAACACAAUGGUAGCAAAUGAUCACUCUCUAUCCUUGUGUUGCAAGAAAAAUUGGCAUUUCCCUUGUGUAUAAUAUGAUAGAAGGCAUAUAUUAUGUUCCGUUAAUCGUCAUCUAUGCUGAUUACGCAUUUUAAUGUUCCUGUCGCCGUUUCUACCUAGAAUAAUUUUUUCCCUGCUAUCGUUUUAGUUUUAUUCAGGUUCUGUACUACUCACAUUGAUAUUUUGAUAGUAGUACUUUUAAAUAUGCUGGCUUUUACGAUGUUUAUAUAGGUUAGGUAGAGUAAUUUGAUGUUAUCUGACCUGCCGUAAAUGUAAUGUGUUUCUGGUUUCAAGAUUUUCGGUGUAAACAUAAGCCUUCAAUCAUGCCCAUCAUUAGCUUUCAUUCCGUAGUAACAUUUUUGCACAAGUUGCUUCCAAGUAUUUUAGUCGGAACUUUCUCAUGCUAGUUUUUCUUUUUCUAAAAGAUGCUCGUCACUGAGAAUGUGAAGUUUUUUUUUUUUUUUUGACAAAAGUAAGAAUGUGAAGAAUAUAUAAUUGUUUUCGCUGAUAAAAGUUGUAGGAAGCACAUUAUCUAUUUUAUUGAAUUGGGCAUUUGUUUUAGAAAAAAAAUUCAAAAAUUUGACAAUAAAUAAAUAAAUUGUUGUAUUUGUGUGUGUGGAAGAAAUAGUGAAACGAAAAUUCUCAAUCUAAACAAACAAAGGCAGAAAAUCUGGGUUGGGAUUGAGUUUGAUACAAGAUUUGGAAAACAAUAAUAUGAUAUGCAGCUUAGUUUGUUUCUGAAUGAAGCGCGAACAUAAAUCUAAUAAAUUUGCCAUUAAAAGGAGAUUCAUUCUAAGGCAUACAAAGUUGCCAACAGAAAAAAAUCUUAAACCAUCUUUUUGGAAAAACACAAUUCUUCCUUUGUCUUACGAUUUUCAUAUCCUUUUGAUUUUCAAAUUAUUCUUCAACUUCGAAUCAAUUUCCUUCAUAUUUCGAUCCUUUUCAUCAUUACCAACAAUUUCAUCUUCUUCAAACCAAUCAAAGUUGUUACAUCUUACACAAUCACGACGCAGUACAAAACAUUGACAAAAACUUCUUUAGUAACAGCAAUAAGACAAAUUGUAAAAAGAACUUGAAGAACACAUAACUACAUGAAAGUUCCUGCAUACCAUUUAGUAACUUAAAAAUUUUCUCUUAUAAUUUGCAAGAGUCUUUAUAGUUCAAAGAAUACAAUAAUCAAUAUAGUGACAAGAAGAAAUUUUCGAACACGGUCCAUUUCUGCAGCCUAGACGGUGCUAAUGGUUGUGAGUGACAAAAUCAUACAGUCACACUACUCAUGGAAAACACCUUCAUUGGUGACAUUGAUGCUUUAAAAUCUGAAGUUUUAGAACCCUAAAGUUGAGAAAUUCGGGGGAACACAAUUUUGGCUGUUGACAUUGAUGCUUCACACGAGGUUAAGUCAGCACUUCACAAAAGUGGCCUAUUAAUCGUAACAUCACUAACGCAAAAAACCGAAUUUGCAACUUUUAAAGGUAGUUGAGCAAAUUUAAACCUUAAAAUCAACGUAAGAGACAAUGUUAACUCAAUAUUUAUUUAACAAAAGAGACCAACUAAUUCCUAAUCAUACUGCUUGUGCGUUUAUGGUGUUGUUAAUACAUUAUGUUGUUUCAAAAACGUUCAACAUAACAAUCUCGACAUUGUCAGUUUAGUUAGACCUAACGGAUUUAUGUUUGCUAUAUUUUACUAUUAAAGGUUAAUCUUACACCACCUUUGAGAUGUCGGGUUUCUUUUGCAAAAACCUGUUUAAUGUUUGAACCUGUUGUCAUGUUUCUGAUUUUCUAAGCAUCAAGUGUCUGUAUAUUCUUCACAGCGCGAGUCCCACAUGGUUCAUAUUACAUGUGCAAGGGUCCUUGUAAUCUUAUAAAUAUAAGAGGUAGUUGUUACAAUUCUCAAACAAUCCAACGUUCCGAAAUCUAUGAGGUCGGAUUGGGUAAGACCAAUAACAACUCUUUUUGUCCAUUGGUCCAUUCCUAAUUGAUAAGGAGUUUAACUUUUUAUAUGUAAACUAAUAAAUUAUGAUUAUGAAUAAUUAUGAUUUGUGCUAGUUUAAUAGUAAAUUGUUAGGCUUUAUUUAAUAAUGAUUUUAAAUUUAGAUUUAAAUUGAACAUAUCUUGGAUUUUGUUGGAUGAAAUAGGUUUUAUAUUGAAGCUUUUUCAUAAAAAAAACUUUAUAGUAGUAAUAAAUAAAGUUGGAAAAAAAAUUAGAUGAUUUUUUUUUUAUAUAUAUAUAUUUUUUUUAUAUAUAUAUGAUGUUAUCCAUGUAGUACCGACACAUUUGAUCAAAGGCGUGGUUUUGGCACUGGCAAGACACCAACACAUGUGAUUACAUUGAAUUAUUUUAUUUAAAAAAAAUUGAUGUUAGACUUGUUCGUGUCUUCUGUGUUGUGUGUCUUGUAUCUGUGUCCGUGUUUUUGCUUCAUAGCAUGAUAUUAAUUUAAAAAGUUCCAUUUUACACAAUUGAGAGGAGGAGUCGUCUGUUUAUUAUUGAGAGAGAUAAUUCUCUACAAUAGUUAUUGGAUCUCUUGCGCGUCUUUUAAGGAGUUGCAACACUGCGCAUUUGCUAUAACACAUCGCACUUACACACAUAUCACAUACAAUUAGAUACAACUUUAUUACUUUCACAAAAUGAGAUUAGAAAAUAUUCAAGUUGAUCGUGGAUUUACAAAAUCAGAUUAAGGGAUACAAGAUCCUUGCACUUCAACAUACACUGAAGUCCUUGAUUUGUAAGAUUUUGCAAGGCAAACUUACUUCUCUUUCAGUUUUUAGUAGAUAAAAUUGUGUAUACAAUUCUUCAUAAAUCCAAGAGUUUACCUUGUCAUCACAAAUAUAAAAAAAACAUGAGAUAUAUCAGAAGGUAUACUUUCCUGUAAGCUUCAUCUAUAAAAGUAAACAAGAUUGAUAUUGUGAAUUAAUCCCAUCUAAGGGCUAAACAACUUUGAAAUAAAUAUUUGAGUUGUAGUGUCUACCUAGACAUUUCAUAGAGAUUCAAACUCUAAAGUGAUUUCAACUCCACGUCAGUUAACUUGACGAACCUAGAUGUGAAAUUACAAAAUAUUUAUAUGUUAGGAAUCCAAAAUUGAUAAAAAAGCACAACGUUAUUGAAAGAAUGAGAAUAUGAUAGAAGAGUUUUGUCCAAGGGUUCCCUUCUACCCUACGACUCUAUUCAUUCAGUGUUUACAUAUCUAAACUUUAAGUGGUAAGAGCUUGAUCUUGUAAUCUCGAGCGAUGAAGUUCAAAUUCCCAUGAAGAUGAUUGUAAAAUGAUUGAUAGUGUCAUUUUAAUUAAUAAAAGUACUAUCUUAGAGAAAAAAAAUAACUAGAUGUUAAUGUCUUGUAAUUAAUAACUCUAUUCAUUCAAUGUUUACAUAUCUAAACUUUGUUAGUGUCUGUCCAUCUCUAAUUGUGUCCUAUAAAAUAAAGAGAGAGAAAAAAAACUAAGUAAUGAUAUCUACAACCUCAGUUUGGUUAUGAAAAGCUAAGGAUUGAUUUUCAACUUUAACUCAAACCAGGGGCGUAGCCCUUCAUAUGGGAGGGGUAGCCUUGGCUACCCCAAAAAAAGUAUUAUUCUUGAAUUAAUCGGUAUAUAUUUAUAUCCGGCUACCCUAAAUAAUAAACAUUGAGCUACCUCAAAUAAGUUUAGUUGCAAAAAUUAGCAUAAAUAAUAAAGUAAAAAACUACUACAAGAUUGAUAGAUUUAUUUGUAUUGGUUUGAUAUUUUCGGUCUCAAUAACAACAAUAAAGAAACCUUUUUCAACAACAAAAAUUAACAAGACAAUAGUCGUAGACAAAUUAAACAGACAAUGAGUUUCUUGCAAAUAACAUAUUUAUUUACAUUUAAAAAGUCAUUAUUAAUCUAUUAUUAAACAGACAAUUAUUGAUGAAAUUGGGUUCUUCAAAUGCAUUUUGCCCAAUGUUUUAAAAUAGCGAAUUUUAUGUUAAGUUUUUAAGAUUUGUUAAUUUUAGUCCUUAAUUUUUUGUUAGAGAUUAAAUUCAAGACUAAAAACACUUUUUUUUUGUAAAAUUUUAAAAAACUAAGACAAAAAUUGAAUAAUUUUUUUAAGACUAAACCUAAAAAAUUAUAAUUUAUGGGACUAAAAAUAUAUUUUAUCCUUAAAUUUAAUAUGUUUGUUUUCAAAAAAAAAUUCUUCUUUAUAGUUAGCCCCUGCAUAAAUUUUUUGCGAGCUUCGCCGCUGACUCAAACAUUGCACAUUACGAAAAUGGCUUCAAUUUCUGUAUCCAAUAUUUGUUGACAGAUGUUCUCCAAACUUUGAAGAGAAUCAAAACGCUAAAAAUGAAUGUUUAAGGGAAAAGUACAAAAUGCAUGUCCCUUAUAAACUGAUACUUCUCACUUCAAACUGAUACAUAGUGGAAUCGAACAUUGCAUCCCUUUUUCAUAUAAAUUUUAUUUAUAUUUGAUAUUUGAUUUGUUUGAAUCAACUUUGUGGUUCAAAUUUACGAAAGGUAGUUUUGAUUUUUUUUAUCAAAUUGUUGAACAUUCUUCCAUGUUUGAUAUUUUUUAAUCAUCAGAAAUUGUGGAGAAAUACUUGAUUGGAGACAACCUCAAAUAAAAAAUAUUUAGAUACAUUCACGUGAAUGAUAAAAUUUAAAAGAAAAUAAUUUAGUCACUCACUUAAUAUCAUUUAUCUUUUAAAUUUUAUCAAUCAUGUGUGUCCAAAUAAAUUUUAUUUGGGUUUGUGCCUAUGGAAGACUUGCUCGAUGUUGUGUUGUCUAUUGUAACCUUCAACUUAAAUUAUACGUAUUAGCGUAACAAAAAAAUAGACAGACAUAAAGUAUUACUCUAAACGCUAAUGUGUGUGUGUGCAUAUUUGUGAGGUUGAAGAAACGGAAUAAAUGGACUGGUUCAAAAAAAAAAUGGAAGAAAAAAACAAAUUGAAAUAUAAUAUUAAAAAAUUAAAAAAAGGUUGUCAACAUGAGUUGAAGAGAGAUGCUUGUGAAAUAAAUUGCCGAGAAGUAAUUUUUUGAAGUAGCAUUCAACAACUUUUGGUCAAAGCUCAUUCCAUGCAAUUUUAUGCAUUUUAUUGAUAUUGUGUUUGGCCUAGAUUCUUCUUAAAAAUGUAGAGAAGCUGGAAAAAAGUCGGGUCAAACGGUACCCUAAUAUUUUAUGUAACAUAAAUAACACAAAUUCCUAAAAGUUAAUUUUAUUAUAUAUGUGUUAAUAUUUUUACUAAAUCCAAUUAAUUUUAUCUGUAUGUGCAUCUAUAAAUUUACGAGUAUUUAUAAUAUGGUAUAUUUUAUUAUAUUUGUGUGUAUUUAUUAAGAUAUUCAUCCUAUUCCAAUCCGUGAUAAAUUUUAUUUGCGGAUAUCAUACAUGUAAUUUUUUUAUCUUCUUGAAUAUGUCUAAUCCAGGAAACGCCGGGUAAAUACACUAGUAUAUAUAUAUAUAGUAAGGUUUUUUAUGUUACGUGUCGUUUUAUGUUUAUUCUCAAUAUUUUAUUUUUUAAUUUUUAAUUUUUUAAAUCAGUUUUUAAAUCUUGCAUAAAUAUCUCAACAAACAUUUUAUCUUAGUUUUCAAUCCUAUCCAUUAAAUAUUUCAUUUAAUUUUUUUAUUUAAUUUUUGGUUGAAUUAAUUGAUGUCUAAUUUAAUUUUAACAUAAUGUAUUUCAAUAAAUAUAAUAAUUUUUUAUAAGCUUUUGAACUCUCAAAUUUGUUAAUAUUUUUAAAAUGAUUUUAUUAUCUUUUAAUUUUCAAUUUUUUUUUAUCAACAUUCAAUUUUUUUUUUGAAUUUUAAAUUUCAUAUUUAUUGGUUUUAAAAUAUUAUACCGUUUGAUUCACAUACUUUGAGAACAAACGAAAACAUGAUUUGGAUCUUUUUAGUUCUCCAUCUUUAGUAAAGACCAUUUCAAUUAAAGUCAGGAUCCGUUGACAUCAGGUGUGUAAGUCAAAAGAUUUACACCAAAUCUCAUCAAUUCAAUUUGACGGAUCUUAUGGUUAAAACAUUUCACAAAUAAACAACACCUGAUCUAUUUUUAAUGAAUUCCACACGAGUGUUACCAUUCUUUCCUGAAAGUGCUGCCGCUAUCACGCAAUCAACAACACACUCCUCCUUUCUCAUAUGAAGCACGACACUUUGGGAGAAGGAUGAUAAAUGGUCCAUAUUCCAAAUUUACAAACUUAUUGAUAACUAUAUCACAUGUUUCUUUUCCGCUAUAUAAGUUUUGAUGAAGCGGCACCGCCAUCAUCUCAUGUCAUUAUUAGGUGCAACGUAUCAAUGAUUACAAUUGGGUUUACUGAGUGGUCAAUUCUCCAUGAGUGAGUUGCGAUAAUGAUUUCAAUGUGUUGCGAUCAAGAUUCACAAAAUUGCACCAUGGUUUUUAAUUAAUUCUUGAAACAUUUGAGGUUUAACCAUAAAUUGUUAUAAUUCACAAUAACAUGAACCAAUAAUUAUUUUAAAUUGAGACUAGUGACAGGAGAAUGAACCAGGUCGAAAUCGAAAAAAGAGAAAAUAAAAAAUAGCAUGCUUUCUCUUAUUGUUGACCACAUGAUCUAUUUUUGCUGGGAUAUUUUCAGCCUUUGGAUUAAAUAGUUAUAACGGUUUAGAUUUGGUAUAAGUAUUUUGACUUGUAUUUUGACUUACACCUGGUGUACUCAAAGUAUUUGUUGCAAAUCAAAAUUAACCAAGUCAGGCUUAAAAUUAAGAAGUGCAAUCAUACAUAAAAACAUUAUCAGUCAAAACUUAGCCCAAAAAAAAAAAAACAUUAUCCAUUGGCAAAAGGACCCAUCGAUUGACUAUUAUGACAUCCUUGCGUCUUUAAAAUAUUGAUCACAGAAUUCCAUUUCCAUAGCUUUGCACCCUGCUGAUAUUAAAGAAUUCAAAUAUGCAUAUAGAAACUAAAAUUGAGAAACUUGAAUCAAAAGCAAUGUAAAGGCAACAUAAACUUUGUUUAAGAUUUUCAGAAGAAAAAAAAAACUCACUCUAUACUAUCUUCAAACAAUGCACGUUGCAAAGACAAUGAUACACAUAGAGAGCUAGAAUGAAUUCCUGUGCGAAUCGAACUGAAGGAGUCUCCUCCUCCAUAACUCUAGUCAGGAUAGUAAGCAACCCCUCUCUCCCAGCCCGCUGCUGUUUAGAAAUUGAUAUUGAAGAUUUAAAAUAUGCACAGAAACUAUAAUUGCGAAACUUGAAUCAAAAGCAUUGCUAAAGGCCUCAUAAACUUUGGUAACAUUUGCAAAAAAAACUUGCCUGAGUUUCUUGGUAAGGUAGGUUGUGGGUAGAAGUUAAAGAUGGUCUAACCCUUGAAGUUUGAGCCCUCACAUAGCCGUACCGAUAAUAAGGACCAGGCCCACGGGGAUAACGUCUAAAGAGCAGGUCCAGUAGAUUGAGUUUGAGCAUGAAUUCAACCAAAGAAUGCUCUUCGUGUAUGCUCUCUAGCAAACAAAAAUAAGAAAGAAUGAAAUCAUAAAUCACUAUAGGACGACAUCAAGAUGCUAAAAUAAUAAUGAACAAAAUGGGCUCUCCCAAGUCUAGAAACUAUCCCAAACAAAAACAUAAUAUCCUAUGUGCAUCAACACUAUAGAGCUUGCAUCUUAAUAAAAACAAUAAAGAAAACAAAAUUGCAUCUUCACAUGGUUCUAAAGUCAAAAUCUAAAUCCUGAAAGAUAGAUGUAGUACAUGGUUAACUUAAAUUAAUUCAACCAAGUGCAGAAAAUACAGUGUAUUAAUAAUUCAACAUGGACAACGUUGAACAAACUUAGACAAAGACAACAAAGUAAGACAAUCUAGAAUAAAAAACAUCCAUACAAUUGGUUGAUAUUAAAAAGUGAUGAUUCGAGUUACCUAUUUGCAUUUGAGAUUUGAUGAAGAUUGGGGAGACACUCGGUUCCUGGCAUCGUUCCUCCAAUUUCCAACAGCACAACUAGUAUGAAAGAACAAAAAUAUUUACAAAUUAAAAUUGAUGAUGCUGAUCAGAAUAAUAACAACAAAAAUAACCGGUUGUUUAAUGAUGUUAGAGAAUCAACUAAAAUCUCUCAAAUACAUGAACUAUGAGGAAAGCUCACUGCAUCCUCCAAAAUAAAAAGAAAAUCUGCAAGUUAUUAUCUACUCGGCAAGGAAAUGGAAUUAACAGAGAUAAAGUGCUAAUGUAUCACAUGGAAUGAAGGGACAAGAGAUACAUUCUUAGAUUUGUGCUAUAGUGUCUAACAGUCAACACAAAGUCACCACAUUGUAUCUAGAUCAAAAAUCACACAGGAAUUUAAAUGAUUACAAACGGAUGAAGUUGGAGUUUACAAGAUAAAUCACCCUCAAGAGGGAUGAUUCGUUCUCAGCCUUUGAAAACAAAAGAAGCAUGCACAAACACAACGACUAUUCGAAACUUCAAUCCCAACUUAACAAUAGACGACAGACAAUUAGUGUCUCGGGUUUAACUCCAUCACAACACACUUAAUGCCAAUUCAUUACACUCGAAGUCUGUUUUAAUUUCUUCAAAUUCAGCGCGAACUUAACCUUAACUUAUGUGUUCUACAUCUGUACCCUCUACAAGUUUCAUGCUUGAGGACAACUACAAAUUUUAUCUUUUACUAUUUUAUUUGAAUGGAUUCAAUGACAGAGUGAAUAGCCAUUAUGACAUACCUCAACACCGUCAACAACAGCAAUAUGAUGAACAGUUGAUUCAGUAUGAUGAACAGUUGAUUCAUCUUCAUUUUCCAUAUCUUCUUCUGUCACAUACCCUUCAUCUUCACUUUCCAUAUCUUCUUCUGUCACAUACCCUUCAUCUUCACUUUCCAUAUCUUCUGUCAAAUCUGACCCAGAAUUUUUAGAAUCUUCAUUUCCCAUAUCUCCUGUCUCAUCUGGCACAUAAUUUUCAAAAGAAGCAACUGCAUCUCCAAAGUAUGGACGAAUGCCCAUGACUAGUCCAAACAUCUUCAAAACCUUCUCAUCAUUCCAGUAUCUGCAUGGAAUGAAUCGCUUCAGAAAUUAUUUACCAAUUUACACCACAACAAUUUAUGGUGGAAAUAGGAAAUGCCAAAACAAUAAAAUAGAAUUAAAAAAUUGUGUUUCAACCUCAUCAUUACUUCAGGACCACCAUUCUCUAUCUCAUCUAAAAUAAGUUUCAAACAUUGAUCUUUGUUCAAGUGUGCCGUUCUACGUUUACGCUGGCCUUCAAGUGACGGAUCGGUAUAAAUUUCCACCAUGGAAGACAUUGAUGGGUCCUGUGAUAGACAGCACAUGCAUUUUAAUCUAACAACCAGCAGAAGUGUUACAAACAUAACGAAGAAAUUUUAAAAAUACCUGCAUCAAAGCCCAAAUCAGGCGCCUGACCAUGGUUUUAAAAUCAAGAUUCUUUCCGAUCUGUAGCAUGGUUGAAGCAUACUUCGGAUCACGAGAAUUUGAGAGAUCAUCCUGUGGUGCUUCAUGCAAAGUUUCCUGAAGCUGUUCAGCCAGUUUCCUGAUAUUUGGAUCCUAUGACACAUUGACAUUUUAAGACGCCGUGAUGAAAUACUAAUAUUAUAUACAUUAGUAAUUUAGAGUGUACAUCCAAUAAAUGACAUUCCCUAGUGAGUGAAAAAUGAAAAGAGGAAGACUUGGGUCAACCAUAUGAUGGUUCAAAAGUCAUCAAAUGCUUGCUUCACUUAACUUAAACUAUCAAUAAAUCUCAGUUGUAUACAUGCCUUAAAAGAUAGCAGCCAUAAGCCCAUAAGAACAAUACUAUCUGCAAAAUCUUAUCCAAGUUGGCAGGAACUACAAAAGGCUUACUCCACUAUCAUGGUAUGUAAAGCUUUGAAGAAAACAGUAUACAAUCUUAAUGAACACUUUUUGCCAACAGUGAAGACAUUAGACAUCUGAAAAACAUUCAGAAUUUGUCUUCAUAAAACCUAUUCCUAGAAGUAUUGUCUGAUCAUUGGCUGCAAAAUUGCAAAUGAAUCAAAUCUGAUGCCUGACCAGGACAAAAACAAAAGCACAUACUCAUGUAGUCCAAGCAAACAGGCUCAACAAAAUUAACAAUUCACACAGUUUGAUUAUCAAUAAAUACAGCACACACCACACAUGCAAAUAACACAAGAACGGAGAGAAGAGCUUACAUUGAGCAGGGCUGAGAAAUCAAAACGUCCAGGAGUAGCUGUCCAGGAGUAUUAUCCAUGUAAGUAAAAAUCACAUAAUGAGGAUACUUAUGUAAUGUAAAAACCUAUCUAUACCAACACAUCUGAUGAAAGUUGUGUCAAGUGUCCGGCGUUGACUCAUGUGAUUACAUUCAAUUAUGUCAUUUUUUUUUGUUUAAAUAAUUAUUGGUGUUGCUAAAAAAAAGGGUUAAUAUAUGAUUACCCCCCUAGAUUAUUAUUCGUGGUUUCUGGUUUACUUGCAAAAAAAAAAAAAUUAGAUUCCAACAUAGAAGAUUCUUUGAGUUUGGACUUUCAUGACAUCAAAUUUCAAAAUUUAAAGUACUUUCGCCCCUCGAUGCGAAUUUCGGUUUACCCCUAGCAUACAAUCUAAUUGUAGAGAGCCUAGACCAGAAACCGCUGGUAUUAUAUGUUUAACAUAUAGAGAAGUGUUAUUUGAACAACCAUUUGAUUGACAACUUAUGGUACAACCAUAAGUUGAAAAAUAAUGUGAGUAUGAGAGAAAGUUGUCACAAAAUGGAUGUUCAAACAAUUUUGUCACCAUGUAGCCUUUCCUAGUGGUGUGGUGCGACGAGAUCUUUCUCUACACCACCGUAAUAUAUGUUCAAACUUAUUGGUGUUGCUCCAAAAAAAAAAGGUUAAUAUAUGUUUAUCCCCCUAGAUUAUCCGGGGUUUCUGGUUUACCCUUCCAAAAAAAAAAAAUAUAUAUAUAUAGAGGUAGGAUCCGUUGACACCAGGUGUAAGUAUGAAGACUUACAACAAAUCUAACGACUCAUACUAUUUCAAUAAUAAAUGAAAAGAAAACACAUUAAGAAGUUAUGAGAUAUCCUUGAUUUGUUAUUAAUUAUUGUCUAUCAAAAUUUAAAGUACUUUCGCCCCUCGUGAUUUGAGCGAAUUUCGGUUUACCCCUAGCAUAGGGCUAAACCAGAAACCGCUGAUAUUACAGGUAAACAUGUAUUAACCAAGAAAAAAUCCAAACAAUUUUGUCACCAUGUAGCCUUCUAUGAAGCACGGAAGAACACACCGACACAGCUAAUAAUUUGAAAAAAUUAUAUACUUCAGUGUAACACGAAGAGUGUCCGUGCUUCAUAGGUAGCCUUUCCUGGUGACGAGAUCUUUCUCCACACCACCGUAACCGGAUCUCCCGAGUUACCGUCUUCUAAACCCCUUUUGGGUCAAGUUACUGUCUUCCACCUUGUGUUGGGUGAUUGUUGUGGUGAUGGUUUGUUAAGCCUUACCCCUUUUCAGGCUCAAUCUGGUAAUUGUUCUGGUUGUUUAGAUCAGACUACGAGUUUUUGAAGCAUAGGUAAUAAAAGCAAAACAUCAAACUAGUCUAGUAUGGAUACAAACACAGACACGACACUAACACGCCGACACCACUAAUAGUUUAAAAAAAUCACAUAACUCAGUGUAAUUAAAUGUGUCAGUAUCCUGUCGGACGCUCUAACACGCCUAAUCCGAGAAGUGUCGGUGCUUCAUUAGAUCAAACAGCGAACGCUGAAGCAAUAGUAAAAAAUUGAUAACAAAAACNAGUCAAAAGAUUUACACCAAAUCUCAUCAAUUCAAUUUGACGGAUCUUAUGGUUAAAACAUUUCACAAAUAAACAACACCUGAUCUAUUUUUAAUAAAUUCCACACGAGUGUUACCGUUCUUUCCUGAAAGUGCUGCCGCUAUCACGCAAUCAACAACACACUCCUCCUUUCUCAUAUGAAGCACAACACUUUGGGAGUAGGAUGAGAAAUUGUGCAUAUUCCAAAUUUACAAACUUAUUGAUAACUAUGUCACAUGAUUCUUUUCCACUAUAUAGGUUUUGAUGAAGCAGCACCGCCAUCAUCUCAUGUCAUUAUUAGGUGCAACGUAUUAAUGAUUACAAUUUGGUUUACUGAGUGGUCAAUUCUCCAUGAGUGAGUUGCAAUAAUGAUUUCAAUGUGUUGCGAUCAAGAUUCACAAAAUUGCACCAUGGUUUUAAAUUAAUUCUUGAAACAUUUGAGGUUUAACCAUAAAUUGUUAUAAUUCACAAUAACAUGAACCAAUAAUUAUUUUAAAUUGAGACUAGUGACAGGAGAAUGAACCAGGUCGAAAUCGAAAAAAGAGAAAAUAAAAAAUAGCAUGCUUUCUCUUAUUGUUGACCACAUGAUCUAUUUUUGCUGGGAUAUUUUCAGCCUUUGGAUUAAAUAGUUANNNNNNNNNNNNNNNNNNNNNNNNNNNNNNNNNNNNNNNNNNNNNNNNNNNNNNNNNNNNNNNNNNNNNNNNNNNNNNNNNNNNNNNNNNNNNNNNNNNNNNNNNNNNNNNNNNNNNNNNNNNNNNNNNNNNNNNNNNNNNNNNNNNNNNNNNNNNNNNNNNNNNNNNNNNNNNNNNNNNNNNNNNNNNNNNNNNNNNNNNNNNNNNNNNNNNNNNNNNNNNNNNNNNNNNNNNNNNNNNNNNNNNNNNNNNNNNNNNNNNNNNNNNNNNNNNNNNNNNNNNNNNNNNNNNNNNNNNNNNNNNNNNNNNNNNNNNNNNNNNNNNNNNNNNNNNNNNNNNNNNNNNNNNNNNNNNNNNNNNNNNNNNNNNNNNNNNNNNNNNNNNNNNNNNNNNNNNNNNNNNNNNNNNNNNNNNNNNNNNNNNNNNNNNNNNNNNNNNNNNNNNNNNNNNNNNNNNNNNNNNNNNNNNNNNNNNNNNNNNNNNNNNNNNNNNNNNNNNNNNNNNNNNNNNNNNNNNNNNNNNNNNNNNNNNNNNNNNNNNNNNNNNNNNNNNNNNNNNNNNNNNNNNNNNNNNNNNNNNNNNNNNNNNNNNNNNNNNNNNNNNNNNNNNNNNNNNNNNNNNNNNNNNNNNNNNNNNNNNNNNNNNNNNNNNNNNNNNNNNNNNNNNNNNNNNNNNNNNNNNNNNNNNNNNNNNNNNNNNNNNNNNNNNNNNNNNNNNNNNNNNNNNNNNNNNNNNNNNNNNNNNNNNNNNNNNNNNNNNNNNNNNNNNNNNNNNNNNNNNNNNNNNNNNNNNNNNNNNNNNNNNNNNNNNNNNNNNNNNNNNNNNNNNNNNNNNNNNNNNNNNNNNNNNNNNNNNNNNNNNNNNNNNNNNNNNNNNNNNNNNNUAAGGCUAUGUUUGGUUUGGAGAAGAAAGUUAAAGGAAAGAAAGUGUAAGGAUAGAUAGUAGAAGGAAAGAAAGGUAGAAGAAAGUGAGAUGAUUUGUUUAGUUGUUUGGUAUGAAAGACUUUGAAUAGACUGUGAGAGGAAAGAAAGAUAUGUAUAUUUGCAAAAUUACAUUUAUAACCUUAAAAGGUUUUAGCUGAAUGUGUUAAUUUCAAAUUAAUUAUGCUAUCUACACAUUUAAAUAUAUUUUAUUAAUAUUUUUUAAUUUACAUAACAUUUGUUAAAAAUUUUGUUAAUGACCUUUUUGUUCAAAACAUCAUGCCAAGAGAGAAAAAAAAUUGGAGCAUGAUCCUAAAGCAUAGCUUAUCAGACCAUUGCCUUGGUUCAACAUAGUAGUAAUAUUUAUAAUACAGCAAGGGUAUUUUUGACAUUUUUCCAAAAAGUGAAUGCUUCUUCAAUGUUUCUGUCCAAAAUAGGGAGGAAAGAUUUUGAGCAUGGGUCCCACCUCAAACUUUCUUUCCUCUACUUUUUGAAGUGCUUCCAAACUAUGGAAAGCCAACCUUUCCACAAACUUUCUUUCCUUCUUCAAUCUUUCCUUUAUAUUUCUCUGGAUCCAAACGCAACCUAAAGACAUUGGGUCACUCAUAGACAGCAUCCACAAUGGGAGAGUCUUAAACAUUUAAGACCUGAUACCUAAUAGGUACCUCCACCCCCAUUGUGGGAAAAAAUUGAGGGUUUGAAAAGAUGGAAGGUCUAAAUUAUGACCUCAUUCUUAAAUUGGCCCACAUCACUUUUUUAUUAAAAUAAUAAUUAAAAGUGUAUUAAAAUAGAUACUCCCUCCGUCCCAAAUUGUAUGUCACUUUAAAAAAAAAAAAAAUUGUUCCAAAUUGUAUGUCACUUUAGAAUAUCAAUGAAACAUUAAUGUUACUUUUCCUAUUAUAUCCUUAACUAUUUAUUACUCUUUUUUUUUUUCAAUUCUUUCAUUUAUCUUUCCCAUAUCAUUUAUUAAGGAUAAUUUUGUAAAACAACUCAUAAUAUAUCUUUUCCACACAAUAUUAAUUACAUUUCUUAAUAUGUGUGAAAUGCCCAAAACGUCAUACAAUUUGGGACGGAGGGAGUAGUUUAUUAAAUAAAUAAUAUUGGUGGGAUCCAAUUAGACCUUUUGUUAGAGGGUCUCUAUUGGAGUGGUUGAGUACCUGUUAAGUACUAUUAUUAAAAUAUUAUUAAAAAAGUUAUGUGUCAAUGUGGGACCCAUUUAAGACCUCAAAGAUGAGAGUCUCCAUUGUGGAUGCUCUAAGGCGGUCGACCAACGAAUCACCCACAUCAGCAUAACUGAAUUGGACCAUAUUGGAUGAAUUGAUUAGAUAACUCGUUGUUUAGAUUAAAUUUGUAUAGAUAUGUGAUUAUAUUAAAUCAGCGGCGAUUCGAUCACUCUAAAAACUAGAAUAAUGACACAUAUAGAAUAAAAAUGGAUAUCCAACAAAUAUAAUUUCAUAGACUAAUUAUUAUGAAGUUUGAAUAAAAUAUUUGUACUUUACAUUAAUACUAUGUUAGAGACCCAGCAUACGCCGGGUUAGAUAUAUUAAAUAAGGUUGUGUACACAUUCAAAUGAUCUUAAUCUUGAAAUGAGGUCAAAUUUUAUAGCCAUGAUUUUUAAGGGAAAAAGACAUGAUCAUGAAAUUUGUGAUUUGAUUAGUAAAAAUCAAAAGUGAAUGAAGGUAUUCUAAGUGUGUAUUGAUAUGUGUUAUAUAAAAACAAAAACAAUUAAAGUAUCAUUAUACUUUGGUUGAUACAUGUUGUAUAAAAAUUAAAGUAUAUGUUAAAGAAUAAUUCAAAGAGUUAGGAUCCGUUGACACCAGAUGUAUGUCAAAAGAUUUACACUAAAUCUAAACCGUUAUAACUAUUUAAUCCAAAGGCUGAAAAUAUCCCAACAAAAAUAGAUCAUGUGGUCAACAAUAAGAGAAAGCAGACUAUUUUUUAUUUUCUCUUCUUUUUUCGAUUUCUACCUGGUUCAUUCUCUUGUUACUAGUCUCGUCUCUCAAUUUGUCUUCCAUUUAAAAUAAGAGUUAGGAUCCGUUGACACCAGGUGUAAGUCAAAACAUUUACACCAAAUCUCAUCCAUUCAAUUUGACGGAUCUUAUUGUUAAAACAUUUCAUAAAUAAAUAACACCUGGUCUAUUUUUAAUGAAUUCCACACCAGUGUUACCAUUCUUUCCUGAAAGUGCUGCCGCUAUCACGGAGAAAUUAAGUGCGUUAUGACGGAGUUAAACCCUAGACACUAAUUGUUUGUCCUUUAUUGUUAAGCUGGGUUUGAAUUUUCCAAUAGUUGUGUGUUUGUGCAUGCUUCUUUUGUUUUCAAAGGCUGAGAGUCAAUCAUCCCUCUUGAAGAUGAUUUCUCUUGUAAACUGCAACUUUAUUCGUUUGUAAUCAUUUAAAUUCCUCUGUGUGAAUUUUGAUCUAAAAUUCUAGAUAUAAUGUGGUGACUUUGUGUUGACUGUUAGACAUUAUAGCACGAACCUAAGAAUGUAGCUCUUGUCCCUUCAUUCCAUGUGAUACAUUAGUACUUCCAGUUUCUUUUUAUUUUGGAGGAUGUAGUGAGCUUUCCUCAUAGUUGACUGUGUAUUUGAGAGAUUUUAGUUGAUUCUCUAACAUCAUUAAACAACCGGUUGUUGUUGUUGUUGUUGUUGUUGUUUUGAUCAUCAUCAUCAUCGAUUUUAAUUUGUAUAAACAUUUUGUUCUUUCAUACUAGUUGUGCUGUUGGAAAUUGGAGGAACGGUGCCAGCAACCGAGUGUCUCCCCAAUCAUCAUCAAAUCUCAAAUGCAAAUAGGUAAAUCAAAUAAUCUCAUUUUAAUAUCAACCAAUUAUUAAUACACUGUAUUUUCUGCACUUGGUUGAAUUAAUUUAUGUUAACCAUGUACCACAUCUAUCUUUCACAAUUUAGAUUUUGACAUUAGAACCAUGUGAAGAUGCAACUUUGUUUUUUCUUUAUUGUUUUUAUUAACAUGCAAGCUCUUGAGUAAUGAUGCACAUAGGCUAUUUUGUUUUGGUUGGGAUUGUUUCUAGACUUGGGGCCCAUUUUGUUCAUUAUUAUUUUAGUAUCUUGAUGACAUCCUAUAGUGAUUUGUGAUUUCAUUCUGUCUUUUUUUUGUAUGCUAGAGAGCAUACUCGAAGAGCAUUCUUUGGUUGAAUUCAUGCUCAAACUCAAUCAACUGGAUCUUCUCUUUAGACGUUAUACUCGUGGGCCUGUUCCUUAUUAUUGGUACGACUAUGUGAGGGCUCAAACUCCGAGGGUUAGAUCAUCUUUAACUUCUACCCACAACCUACCUUACCAAGAAACCCAGGCAAGUUUUUUCUGCAAAUGUUACCAAAGUUUAUGGGACCUUUAGCAAUGCUUUUGAUUCAAGCAUCACAAUUAUUGUUUCUUUCUGCAUAUUUUAAAUCUUCGAUAUCAAUUUCUAAACAGCAGCGGGGGCUGGGAGAGAGGGGUUGCUUACUAUCCUGACUAGAGUUAUGGAGGAGACUCCUUCAGUUCCAUUCACACAGGAGUUCAUUCUAGUUCUCUUUAUGUAUCAUAGUCUUUGCAACGUGCAUUAUUCAAGGCCUAUUUGAAUUCUUUAAUAUCAGCAGUGUACGAAGCUACAGAAAUGGAAUUUUGGGAUCAAUAUUUUGAAGAGACGCAAUGUUUGGAGGCUGAGUGAGAUCAAAUGGUAUGUGCUUUAGAGACUCUUCCAGACUGUUUAUGCUUGGCAAAUCAGAUUAAUUUUACUCGUCCACCACUGUUCUAGAAGUUGAAAUCAUAGGUUUACUAGAAGCUCUCAAAAUUCAAAAUGGCCAUAUCAAACGGAUUGCAAAACUAUAUUUGAUGCUCUUGCCGUCACCGACAUUCCUCUCAAUGAAUUUGGUGAUAUUAUNAAGGCCUAUUUGAAUUCUUUAAUAUCAGCAGUGUACGAAGCUACAGAAAUGGAAUUUUGGGAUCAAUAUUUUGAAGAGACGCAAUGUUUGGAGGCUGAGUGAGAUCAAAUGGUAUGUGCUUUAGAGACUCUUACAGACUGUUUAUGCUUGGCAAAUCAGAUUAAUUUUACUCGUCCACCACUGUUCUAGAAGUUGAAAUCAUAGGUUUACUAGAAGCUAUCAAAAUUCAAAAUGGCCAUAUCAAACGGAUUGCAAAACUAUAUUUGAUGCUCUUGCCGUCACCGACAUUCCUCUCAAUGAAUUUGGUGAUAUUAUAUCUCAUAGUAUCGCAAGAGCUUCCCCAAAUUUUUAACAUUGUACCAGCUACUUUAUACCCAUUGAUUUUGAAUGAAAUAGCUUAACUUUGCCUUUGUCCAAAAAAAAAAAUAUAUAUAUAUAUAUAUAGUUAUCAAAAUGAGUUUUAAUAUGUGUGCUAAACUAUAUUUCUUUUGCAUUCUAGAUGAUUAUUUAAAUUCUAUUAAGUUAAUAAAUUUAAUAUAAUCGUACAGUGUUUUUUAUCUUUAGGCAAAAAAACAAGGAUUCUAAGUUAACAAGAAAACUUGGUGUGUGGUUCUAAAGCGUGAAUACAAGGAUUUCAACUUUUUUUUUUUUUUUUUAGUAAAAAUAAAAGGCACGCAUUUUGUAAAAUGUAUUCUACGGAUCAGAAAAUACCAACCACGUCAUAGAAGUAAUUCUCAUUAACGCAAAAGCUACUCUUAGCGUGUGUUUGAUUCCGCGGUGGUGAUAAUUGAGUUUGAGAUAAUUGAUUUUGACUAAAAGUGAGUUGAAUGUAAUUGAUUUAUGUUUGGAUACAAUAACCUAAAAUUGAUUCUUAUCAAUUUAUGUUGUUUGGGUGGUUUGAAUCAAAAUUACUUUUGAAAGUAUAAUUAUCAAAAUGGGUUUUAAUUGUAUUUAAAACUACAUUGAUAUUUUAUUUUAAACAAUUAUUUUAUAAAUAUCAUUUUUUCUUGUUCAAAAAAAAAUUAUAAAAUUAUUUAAAUUUAUUUUUUUUAGCAAAUUAUUAUUUAAAUUUAUGUUAUGUUAUCAAUUAAAAUUCUGUAUAGAUUAUAUGAACUUGUAAAAUAAAAUACAAAACUUUUUUUGCCAGUUAAAAUAAAAUACAUAGCAUGAUUGAACGAGUAAAAAAAUUAUAGAAGAAUGAUUGCAUAUAAAAAAUAAUUGGCCAUAAUACCAGGGACAAAAAAUGCUUGCGUGUAAGAAGGAAAAGAAAAUUAGGAGCAUGAUUUACAUAUAAGAAACAAGGGCAUAACGGACAAACAGGGAUAUUAUAUCAAAUCAUUGUUUAGCAAAAGAGUAGAAUUGAGUUGGUUCAACGCAGAAGCUUUAAAUCCGAGCUUCAAACCAACUCACGUUUGGGCUCCAUAAUCAAUUUACCUUUUUGAAAGCCAAACAUAAAUUUUAUUAUGAAAUAGCUUUUCAUUGCCGUAAACGUGAGUUUUGGUGCACUCACCGUGCAACCAAACAAGCACUUACUAUCCUUAAGUUUAAAGUUAUACGUGAGUUUGGAGCAAAAUCGCAUCAAAAAAUAGUUAACCAAACAUGUGAGUUUUGUUGUAAAACUGAACCAAACAAGAACUAAUUCACAACACCACUCGUGUUCAACUUCAUAAAAAAUAAUAAAAAUAAUAUUAAAAACUUAAAACUGUCGUCUUCGGAACCAAAAUGAAAUACUUUAAAGUAACCUCUCUGCCGAAAUUUCGUAAAAUCAGUUUAAAAGACGAGUAAAAAGAGAAAAAAUUGGAUCAAAAAUGGGAUAUGAUGUCAUAUUGACUAACGGAAAAACUGACGAAAGGGACAAAUUGUCUACGUUUAAAAAUUUUAGGCGGAGGUUUUAACUUUUUUUCGAAUUUGGAGGAAUUUGCACAAUUUUAUAAUUUCAAGAAAUACAAGUGUGUCCUUAAGAAGCUUAACUAUUAACUAAAUUAUUCCCUUAAAAAAACUAAAUUAUUAUUUUUGGACAAAAACUAAAUUUAGUUUACUUUACUAACAUACUUUAUCAUCAUUACCUAAAAAUUAAAAAUAAAAUAAUUUUGCAAGUAGUUUAGUUUAUUUUACUAGAAUAUGUAAAUUAAUUUAAAUAUUAAAAGCAAAAAUGCUAAUACUAAUAAUUAAAAAUAAAAUAAAUUAAAUUCUCUAUAAAUUCACAUGAAUUUCUUUUUGUCUAUUGAUAAAAAUUAAUAAAAAAUUAUUCCCUAAUUAAAUUACUUUUAUUUUUGGAUUUCUAAAUAAUAUAUUAAAUGAAUCAAUUUUCAAAUAUAUCAUUUUAGUGGCCUCGAGUUCAUAUUUCCCAUUCAACAAGUAAAAAUUUGGCUAUUCGUGGCAUUAUCCAUUUGGAAGCGUGUUUGUGUGUGGCUGGUUGUGUAACACCCCGAUAUCCCAAAGCAAUUAAAUAAUAAAUAUAACAACAGAGUUUAACAUCAAAUCGGGCAUGUCACACUACUUUUCAAAAUUUCUUAAAUAGAAUAUAAAACUAUUUAAUAAACAUCUUUCGUAAAACAUCAAUAAUUUGCAGCGGAAUAUUCUUCAAGCAUUAAACAUCAACAUCCAACAAUAAAUCCUGGCACAAAUGCCCCAACAUAAAUAUUCAUCAUUAAUUGUUUCAAAUAACAAUAAAAGGCUCCACAACAGGUUUCCAAAAUUUGAUACAUAAGGAAUGAAAAUAAAUAAGUAAUCUCAUCCCGUACGUAUCAGAGCCCUAGACACUUGAGCCACCACCUACUACUCAGGAUCACCUGCAAGUUACCCAUAGGAAGGGCAACAUUUCCAAGCAGAAGGGGUGAGAUUCACAACAAUAAUAAUAGAUAUAAAAUUCAUCAAUUGAAUCUAACACCCUAACAUAAUAAUAAUUAUUCAAUAUACAUAUAUAUUUCAUAAUUAACAACAUCAACAAUAAUGGUAAUUACAACCAACAACAACGACUCAUGCAACUACUCGACAACACCGCUGAGACUCUUCGACAAUGCGACAAUGCACAUGCAUGUGGUACCAAUUUACAGGCAGAAGCCCUCACCAGAUAUUGAAUGGUUAAAGCAUUCAUCAGGGCAUAAGCCCUCACUGCUUUGAACAACAAGGUGUUCCAGGGCAUGAGCCCUCCCGCUUUGAACAACAAGGUGUUCUAGGGCAUGAGCCCUCAUCGCUUUUAUGUUUAUGCAAUGGACUCCACUUGUGUAUAUCUACAUACAACUUAACAAUGCAUAUAUAUAAUAUGACUUACAACUCCACAACUUAACAACAUGUAUGAUUUAAUUAAAUAAAAGCAUACAUCACAGUCAACAAUAAAUCAUCAUAAUCAAUCCAACAAUUCAGAAAAAUGCACAAUUAAUCAUAAUCAAGCUCAUACAUCAAGUUCAUCCAUUUUCUAUUCAAUCAAAGAACAAACAACUCAGAUACUGGGCAACUCACCUCGCGAGUGCAUCUGCUCGCCAUGGCGAGCUCAGGCAAAAGGUUACUCGUUGUGGCGAGUACAAAGCGAACAAGAAAAUGGGUGCUCUCGGGAGUUUUGACAUUUUUCUCACUAAAUCUUCAUUUUAAAGCUCCCUAUUCAUCUUUUUAAUCUAAAAAUUGUCUCAGUCCUCUCUAAAAUCAUUUAGGCACUCAAAACUAAACAAUUAACACCUUAUAACAACAAUCUGAAAAUCAAGGUUCUCACUCACUAACUCGCCAUGGCGAGUGGUGUAACACCCCGAUUUUUAAUAUUAGUUCAUUAAUAUUAUUUUUAGAUAAUAUUAGUAUUAAUGUUAUUAUGAGUAUUGGUUAUUAGGUAGUAUUAAUUUAAUAUUCAUAUUUAUUGGAAAAUUAUGCAAGGAGAAAGUAAAUGGGUUGGUUAGCCAGUUAAAGAGUGAGAGAAAAUAAUGUUUAGGAAGAAAAUAGAGUUUUCAGAGAGAAUAAGAAAAUAGAUCGUGAACGGAGGUGAAUUAGUAAAAUUGGAUAGAAAAGAGGUGUAGUUAAUGAGAUUAGCAGUGCUUUAAUGAUUUAAGUAGAUGAGGAGUGUGAAUAGCAAGACGGUGUAGUUACAGAAAGAAUAGUAACAAAUUCGGAAGGUGCAUAUUUUAAACUGAAAGAUUAGUAACAAACUUAGCAUUAUAAAUAGACGAGAACAUUAGAAAACUAGGGUUACAACAAAGAGAAAAGAUUAGAGAACAAAAGAAAACUAGGGUUGUUGAGAGAAGAGGCAAGAAGGCAUACUAAGAGAAACGUAGAGAGAGAUUUCACCGUAGGAACUCAUCAAAUUCGAAAAACUAGAGGUAAGGGGGGAGUUUCUAUUUAGCAUAUGGGUUGCAUGAACACGUGGGUGUGAAGGAUCUUUGCUUGCUUUCAUGAUCUUUUGAUGAAUUUAUUUGUGAUGUCCAUUAAUUCUGAAAAUUAAAACUAUUAUGAUGUGUAUUUUGAAUAUUGAGAAAACAAAUUAUUUUUGCAUUUGGUUUUUUGGUUUGAAUUUACUUUCCAACAAUUCACUUCGGUUUCGUUUUUCUGAUUUUAGUUUUAAUAUGAAAUUCUGUCAUUAUGUGUGCAUCAUGUGUAUGUAUAUAUGCUGCGAUUCAUGAAUUUGUUGUAUGUGUUUCGAUCCCAAUUUUGUGAUCAUAAUAAAUUGCAAUGGUUUUCAAUGAUAUGGUUUUUGGUAUAAUUUCAUAUUAUAUUAUGUUAUGCAUUCAACACCGUAUUUUAUAGCCUUCUGGUUUUUCGGUUCAUAGAUGCAAAGCUAAUUUGUUUAUGACUCUAUGGGCACUUCUAUAUUCACUAGUUUUGGAUUAUUAUUAUUAUUAUAAAUUUAAUUUUGAGACAGUAUAAGAUGUUGCCUUCUAAAUCUAAAUUCAAUUAGUCUUGUUUCAAAAUGUUUACAUAUUAAUUAGCAUCUUUAUCUUCCUCUUGUUAAUUGACUCACGAAUAUCAUACUAUUAUUUUGUGAAAGAUUUCUAGUCCUAAUUUUACCAUAUAUUUUUCAUAAUCUUUUUUGAUUGUUUAUAUAAUUUAUAUGAUUUAUUUGACUAAGUGUAAUUUGUGAAUUAUUUGAUGAUGUGAAAAUGAUGUGUUAUAUAAAAAUGUGUAUGUUAUUUGAAGUUGUGUGAUUUAAAGAUGUGUUAUACAAAGAUGUGCUAUUUGAAGAUGUGUGAUUUAAAGAUGUGUUAUAUAAAGAUGUAAUAUUUGAUGACGAUGCUAUUUAAAGAUGUGUUAUAUAAAGAUUUGCUAUUUAAAGAUAUGUUAUAUAAAGAUGUGUUAUUCGAAGAUGUGUUAUAUAAAGAUGUGUAGAUGUCGAGUCAUAUAAAGAUGUGCAUUGUUGAGUCAUUAUUUGAUGUUCAUGAAUUCAUGGUCAGUCCGAUUUAAAGAUGUGAUUUAAAGAUGGGGGAUAAAUCAGUAACAUAACUCUGAUAUCCAAAACCGGUACCACAUGCAUAUAGAGUCGAGUUAGUGACAUUGCAUUCAUUGUCAAGCAUAUUAAAAGAUGUGGUGAAUUUUAUUAUAUAUUUAAAGAAGUGUAAUUUGUGUAUUAUUUGAUGAUGUGUAAUUGAUGUGCUAUUUGAAGAUGUGAAAUUAAUAGACAUGUUAUUUGAAAAAGUGUAACUAUUUUAAGAUGUGAUAUUUAAUGAUAUGCUUCUAUAUGAUUAUGUGUGAAUGAUUUGUAUUUUACUAAGUGGUUACUUGAUAUUCUUAAAUGUUCUCGAUGCUUAUAUGUUAUUAUAAGAUGUUGGUUGAUGCUUAUUUGACUUUUAUUAAAUGAAACUUUAUAUUUAAAUGUGAAUGUUAUCUGACUAUGAUGCAUAUAUGUCUAAAUGUAAUUGUUGUGUUCUUUUAUCUGAAUCUAUACAUGUGUUUAUGCAUCUCUUAUGUUGAAUAUAUUAUCACCCUCUAGUGGCGGGUUGGGCGCCUGCACCCUUGUGGCGUAGAUUUGCAGGAAGAAGAUCUUAGUAGCAGUGAGUCUUGGAGGAUGGCGUUGGAGCCUUCUCCUUUUUGUGUAUCGCUUUUGGGAGUCUUUAUUGAAUCGAUGCUCUGAUUUGUGACACCAGAGAUUGGAGAUUUAUUUUAUUUUAGACUAGGCUUUAAAAAUCUUUUGAACUCAGUUUUGAUUUGGAACUGUAAAUGUGAAAAAUCACUUUGAUGUUAAGAGAACUUUUCCGCUGCGAUGUUUCUAAUUCAAAUGAAAUAUUUUUAUUGAAGAAGAUGUGUGACACCCUUGCAUGUUUAAUUUUUUUUUAAUGUAUUUUUAUUAUAAAAUAAUAUGUGGGUUUUUAGGGUGUUACAAGUGGUUCUGCUCGCGAGGCGAGCCAUGAAGUUGCUCACUCGCGAGGCGAGACAGGGCUACUCGCGGGGCGAGCGAUGAACAUCAGUACGGGCAGAAUGUAGGUUUUUCCCAAAAAUCCCAUUUUCCUCAAUUUCAGUCCCCAAAUUAGUUUACAGAUGUAAAACUAAAUGCACCUAUUUCUAACAUCAAACCAGUGAUUCCUACACUCAAUUCACCCAAAAACCAAAGGAUUCAACAUAAACCCAAAAUCCCCAAUUUCUACCAUAAACCUGUUAAACCAAAAUCAGAAUUAAAAAUCUAUACUACCAAAGCAAACCUCACCCUUACCUUAAUUUAGAUGAACAAAUGCACAAAAAUCUGGUUCACUUGGCUCUACUUGGCUUUUGUCCCUUUUUCUCCCAAAACUUGUCUGUUGUACGUGAAACUGCUUUCUGACUAUUUCUUUUCCUACUCCCAAUACUUAACUCCCCUUUAUUUCAUUUAACUCUCCCUUAAUUCUAUUAAUUUCUAAUUAAAUCCCCAACCUCCAAAAUAAUAAUAAUUCUCACAUAUUCUAAUUAAUAUUAAAAUAAACCAUAUAAUAAAAUAUAAUAUACCACAUAAUCAACAAUAAUUAUUUAAAAUCAUAUAAAAGACUAUAAUAAAUCAUAAAUAAAUAAAAUAACGACUAGGGCGUUACAGUUUGUGGGUAUGUCGAGGACACUACCCAUAUGUUUAUGUCAUGUCCAACUUUCAAUGCUAUUUGGCCGUUGGUGUGGGCGUGGUUUGGAUUUGAUGGAGUAGACUCAAGUUAUUUCAGAUCAUUUCUUGCAAUUUAUUAAUUAUGCAGGUAGUUUGAAAUCGCGACGAUCCCUUUUCAUCUGAUAUGGCUCUUGUGCGUAUGAGUCUUGUGGAAUGAACGAAAUAAUGGGUUAUUCAAGAACCAACAAACCACCAUUCCACGUAUGUUAGAUAAAGUAAAAUCAUAUUCUCUGUGGUGGUUGAAAGCGAGUAACACUACCUUUAUUUUCAAUACUCAUUUGUGGUGGUCGAACCCACUUAUGUGUUUGGGUAUCAUCUAGUUUUUAUCUAUUUUUGACAAACUUGUUGUACUUUUCGUAAUUAUUUUGGCACACUUUGUGCUUAAGCGAUUGCAUUUGUUAGUGUUAAUAUAAUUUAUUUUGGCUUAUAAAAAAUAUAUAUAAAAAAUUUUGGGGUAGGAUUUUUACGGUCUAUGUAAUUAAUUUGACAGUAAAAAUAUUUUUACAUAGACCGUAAAAAUAUUUGAUUAUUUUAUACGCAAAAAUAUUUUCCCGCUUUCUCAAGGCUUCAAUCUCUGAAAAUCUCAAACUUCAAAACCCCCAAUUUCAACGCUCUCAAUCUAAAACCUAAUCGUCCAAUUCACGAACGACAAUCUCGCUCCUACUUCUCCGCCGUCCGCGCCGCCAUGCCUCGACGGUGGGAACGGAAGAAACGCUUCAUCUCAACCUGCUUCUCUCACGCUGUUCAAAAAUUUCACGCCGUUCAAAAAUUUCACGCCGUUCAAACAUCUCACGCUUGCGUCAAAACUGCUUCGUCGUCACUUUGCAAUUUUCUCUAGGUUUGUCGUGAUUAUAUUCUGUUUCAUUAUCUAAAUUUGGUUAAUUCUAAAUGUUGUUGUGCUUACACUCUUAGCGAAUUAUCACAUUUGUCGUGAUAGCACGAAUCUUGCGCGCAUAUUUCCUAUUUACUAAGCAUGAACUCCGACACGAACACGACACUGACACGGUCACGUCCACAAAUGUAAAAAGAUAGACACCAAUUUAUUUAAUUAAAAAGUACGGAUACUCCUCGGAUUAGGGUUGUUGUGUCUGACACCGACACAUACAAUUACACUGAAUUAUGUAAUUUUCUCAAAUUUUUGGCGGUUUCGGCGUGUCAAUGUCCGUGUCGUGUGCGUAUCUGUGCUUCAUAACGGUGUGUAGAAGCAUAUGAAAAAAAAAAUUAAGACAUCUGUCUUAGUUGUCCGACACGCCUCUCUGUGUUACGUAAGUGUUGGACACCGGUUAAGGAGUGUCGAAGUAAAGUUUUUAUUUUAUUUUAUUUUUUAUUUAGCACACUUGUUUGAGUUGUCCGACACGUGUCUUACGAGUGUCAUAGGAGUGUCGGACAUGUCGGCAAGCCUAGUUCUAGAGGUGUCGCCUCAUAUUAAUGCAAAUCAAAUAUUUAUUUAAAUUUUUUGUUUUUCUUUAUUGCUAGGAUAAGUGAUACUGUUGCGUGUUUUUAAUGCUUCUCAGUUCUCACACUGAUAUAAGUGCCUCAUGUGUAAAUGCAAUACAAAUCUGAAAAUUUAACUGUAUUUAGGGAAAUUCUAACAUUUGUUUUCAUUAUAUUUAUUUAUGUGUAUGAUUGAAUGAUGAUAUGUUUACUGUAACUAUGUUCAUGGGCUUAAUAUCUAACCGAUUCUAGCAUUGUUUUCGUUGUUUUUUUUUUUUGCGAUUUCUAGGUAUGCCGAAGAAAUUUGCGUUGGUUAUUGCGGUAGACUGUUGUAAUAAAAGGGCGUUGCUUAUCGCGCUAGAGUAUAAAGAUCAUGAGAUUGAGAACUCCCUUCCACAUGCCAUACACCAAAUGUAUAAAGUCAGGAAAAUUUUAACCACCAGAUAUGGCUUUCAUAAAAAGGAUGUGGUGGUCAUGACAGACAAGAAAGGUGAAAAGAAUAAUUCUCAUUAUCCACCGACAGCUGACAAUAUAAAAAAAAAUCUUAAGAAGAUGGGCUACGAGUCAAGACCUGGGGACAAGCUCUUUCUUUACUUCAUCGGUCAUGGGGGCCGGGAGGAGGCCCCCCAAGGUAGCCCUAAUGAUACAGGGUUUGUCGAGUUUAUUUCAACGGCAAAUUCUACUAGGAUAUGUGGUAAAUUUGUUAAUUACCUUAAUCCAUUUUAUUUUAAAAAAAUUACUUUUUUGAUGAUGAAAGAUUGUUAUUUAACUUUCAUUCCUUUUUUUUCUUUCAGAUUUUGAAAUUAGGGAAAUAGAAAAAUCAAUCCAAAAAGGGGUAAAUUUUACAUUUGUUUCUGAAAGUUGUUGUAGUUCAGGAUUGAUGGAGGGAUCUCAUGAGUGUAUAGGAAGAAGUGUAAUUACAGACGACAAAAAAAAAAGCAGCAAGAACGAUAAAGGCAAGUGCACAAAAGAAAAAGGCAAUAAAGAGAAACAAACCCCUUCUAGCAUUUUCUUAGCAUCUUGCCAAAGUGAUGAAGAUUGCUAUUAUGGUCACGUCAAUGGUCACGAUGUUUCGUAUUUUACUCAUACGUUGUUGGAGCUGCUAUACCUAUCGGAGGGUCAGAUGUCUCUGAUGGAGUUAGUGACUGAAAUCAACAGAAAGUUAUCCAGAAUAACUGAUGCAGUUGGUAACGUAAUACAACAGCGAGCAGGAUUGUACUGCAGUCCGGCUCAAUCCGAGGAAAAGUUUUUAGGAGGUAUGAUAGGUAAACAAAAAGGGGGGAGAGUGGAAACUUAUGGGGACCACGGUAAGGCUUCUACUUCUUCGACUCAGACGUUGUCUUCGAUGGUGCUAAACAGCGAUACACAAGAAGAUGCGAAAAGUGGGGUGGAAAAGUUUCAGGUCAAGAUAUUGGGAGAUAGUAGUGCUCAGAUCACGGAGGAUGUCCUAUCUAGUUCAAAUGUUGGGAUAACCUAUUCCAAGUUAUCUGGCUCUGCAUCAAGUGCUAGUUUGACGAAUGGGCAUGCAGCUCCUAUGUAUCCAGCUGGUAUCAGAAAUGGCAAUGAAACUUGGUUCGAAGUUGGACGAUCCAAGACUUAUACCCCAACUGCUGAUGACAUUGGUCAUGUCCUUAAGUUUGAAUGUUCUGUAGUUGAUGCAGUGACAAAAUCACCUGUGGGACAAGCUAGCACUUUACAAACGAAUAGGGUCAUUCCUGCUCCUUCACCAAUUCCUCGCCGAAUUAUACGUGUUGAUGGGAUGGGGCAUUUAGAACUAGAUAGGCGCAUGACAUCUUCAGGAACUUUUACUGCUCUGUCAUACAAUGUCUUGUCUGAGACAUGUGCCUCAAAUGAUCUCUAUAGCUACUGCCCUCCGUGGGCACUUUCUUGGCCAUAUCGCAGGCAAAAUUUGUUACGGGAAAUUAUUGAUUAUGCUGCAGACAUAAUUUGCCUUCAGGAGGUACAUUAACAUGUUCUUCGUUAUGGUUUUGGUGGUUGAAAAACUUGAUUAAUAUAUUGUUUCUUCAACUUUUUAUGAGUUUGAUGUUAUAUUAAUAUUUGAAAAUUUAUUUCACAAUUGGUUAUCCGUCUUUAAAGUGUUCAAAUCUUGUUUGUUUUGAUGCAUGCUUGAUUAUGGAAUUGGUUGUGUCAAAAUACGUGCUACAUGCAGCUUAUUCUAUUGUAUUAAAACUUGGAUUGCCACAGUUAUAAAUGAUUAGGAUACUCUUAUGAAUUUCAUAAAUAACAACGAACCAUUUUUAUAAUUUCCAUGUAUGUAAAUCUGUGUUGUCCGUUUUUUUUUAUCGGUUUGGAUGGGGUGUGGGAGUUUAAUUUAGAAUUUUUAUUUUCUGAUGACCUAUAAGUUCACAAUACAAUCCCUUGGGAACAUAUGAAAAUAUUAAGUAGAAGAUAACAGUUCACCUUUUUUCCUCCAGGUUCAAAAUGACCAUUAUGACGAAUUUUUUGCUCCUGAAUUGGACAAACAUGGCUAUCACAGUCUUUUCAAGAGAAAAACAACUGAGGUUAUUGCAAUACUCUGGUCCCUUGUGGUCCUAAAUCUUCAUAUGUUUUUUUUUUUAUGUUAACCUGAUAAUUGUGGGUUUACAGGUAUCCAGUGGCAACACAAUUGAUGGUUGUGCGACAUUUUUUCGCAGAGACAAAUUUUCCCAUGUGAAGAAAUAUGAGGUUGGGAAUUUUCCCCAAAGAUUACAUUUCAGUUCUGCUUUACUGGAUAGUCCUCUGACUUUUGCUUACCAAAAUUUCAUUGUAUUCUUAGGAUAAUGUUGCACUAAUAGUGGUUCUAGAAACAAAAGUUAACAAUCAACUAGUUGAUAAUCUUGGGAAAAGACAACUUCUUUGUGUGGUAAGCUCUUUUUUGUUGCUUUAAUUUACAGUCGUUUUUGUUCGUCUUAAUUGUCCAUGAUGUGUGUUACAUAGAUGGCAUUUUAUUUUCAUUGUUUUUGUUUGUUGUUCCCCAGUACCAGAUUGUAGUUGCAAUAUUUGUUGACUAUUUGUCCCAAAAGGAUAAUCUAGUGCCACACUUCAUGGAUAUUGACUAUUUAUUAAUUAUCCAUUUGUCAGUAAGAGUCGUCAUUGUCAAAUAUCUGAUAAAGAUGUAUAUAUAGGGAGAGAUAGAGAGACCAUCUUUGGUUGUCGUGGUGGUCUGGUACUCUGGUGUCUUAUUUUGCUAAUGGUUGUUAGUCAUGUAUAAAUUUUUUUAAUUGUAGUGGCCUUAAGUUGCUUUUCUUUCCCAUUUAUUGGCUGUAAAGUCUCAUAAAAGGGGCCAUGUUAGAUAUUUGGUUUCAGAGAUUCAUUAUAAAACCACAUGUCAAUAUUGCUUUUGUGGACUUAGGCAAAUACACAUGUUCAUGUUCAGCAAGAUUUAAAAGAUGUCAAACUCUGGCAGGUAAGCUAUUUUUUUGGUUUGUUUCAUGCUUUACGGUUAGUUUUGAAAGUAGCAGUUACUAAUUUUCUCCGCUCUCUUUAGGUGCAUACUCUCUUAAAGGGGUUGGAAAAAAUAGCCACAAGUGCGGACAUUCCAAUGUUGGUUUGUGGAGACUUCAAUUCUGUUCCAGGAAGGUAUGGUGAAUUCUUUCUCAAUUUAAUUUAAUUUUAUUGUGCAAGGGUAUUUAUUUGUUUACAUAAAAGGUUAUUCUGAACUUUGUUGCAGUGCUCCUCAUGCACUUCUUGCAAUGGGGAAGGUAGACCCGUCACAUCCUGAUUUAACAGUUGAUCCGCUUAAUAUUUUACGCCCUCAUAGCAAGUUGGUUCACCAAUUGCCACUGGUAAUAUAUUCAUCAAAGUGCAUCUCUUAAAGAUAUGGUUUAUUGAAGAUGCAUUUUUACCCAUUUUAGUUCUAUAUACUCUUUCCAAUCUUUUGCCUUAUUUAAUUUAUUAUUGGUUGUAUGUGACUUCAAAUUUUAGGUCAGUGCAUAUUCGUCUUUUGCAAGAACAGCAGGUCUUGCAUUCGAGCAGCAUAAAAGGAGACUGGAUGGCGGAACAAAAGAACCUUUGUUCACAAGCGUUACUAGAGAUUUUGUAGGCACUCUAGACUACAUAUUUUACACAGGUGAAUGUCUUGCCAUGUUGCAUUUUUGUUAUAAAUUUGAAUUUGUCAUAUUUUUAUGAAGUUAUACGGGUUUUGGUUUCAGCGGAUUCAUUAGUUGUGGAGUCAUUAUUGGAGUUAUUGGAUGAAGAGAGUUUGAGGAAGGACACUGCACUUCCUUCACCUGGAUGGUCCUCGGAUCAUAUAGCACUCCUAGCCGAGUUCCGCUGCUGCAAAAAUAAGUCUAGGCAUUGAUACUUUAAGGUAGGUACAAUUCUUACCCUUCCCUUCCAUAUUUGUAUUUUUGCUUGAUUUGUAUUGAUCUUGUUAAGAUUUUUUGUUUAAGAAUAUUGUAUUAAUAUUUAGAAAAAUUAUUGGCUGAAGCCAUUUUAUUUCUUUUGUUAUGGACAUAUUGAUGGCUUAAUGCUUAGAUGCUGCUGGAAUUUGUAGUUGGAAAUUCUCUCAUGUUGAAGUUAUCAGUUUCAUAUUCUUUGAACAUUUUGUUUUGUAGUUGCUCGUAUAAACUCUAAAAGGCUGGGUAACUAAGUGUUUAUUAUCUGACAAAGGGUGAGCUUGAUUAGGUUGUCACUUAGAGUGUGAGAUUAGGAUGUAAUGGAUGAAAAUAAUGACAUGGUGGAAUUGGAAGUGCUCAAAGCCUGCCUUAUAAUUUUGAUAUACGUCUAGCUUUGUAUAGACAUAAAAACUCAGUACCAGCUAUCUCCACUGUGUUAAGAUUUUAUAAAAUUUUAUUAUAACACAUGCCUGGUAAUAAUUUUAAACCAGUACCUAAACAAUCUAAAAGUAAAACUGAAGUCCUGUAAAUUUCUUACAAUACUUGUACAUUAUAGUAAAAUUACAUGGUCCUAAUUAUAUUUCAACCAAUGCAUCUGUUUCACCCAUAUAGAACUGUGGUUUAUGUGAUUUGUUGGAAUACUGGAUUUGCUGUUGUAUUCGACUGCCUUUGAAAAAUUUCCCUUCCUUCUUUAUGAAUCUAAUGAAAUGAAGUAGGGCCUACUAUUUGGUAUAUCCCGUCAUUUCUGACAUUAUUCACUCGUGUGCUGGUUAAAACUUAACUAUGUGAAUCUUAAUAUGUUUAUAAAAGAACGUUCAAGUUUAUAUUUCACCGACCUAUAACUCCAAUCCCACAUCAGUUUCUUGUUCUGUGCCAGGAUAGUUUAAUUCGUUAUUGUUAUUGAUAAUAGUUGGUCAAUCUUUGUUUUGCAGUUCAGAUCCAGAGACACAUAAAGAAAAAGGCUGAAAGAAGCAUUUGGCCGGAAGUUAUUGUAAGAAUGGUGGAUCGUGCAUGUAUUUUCCAGGUAUCUCCAUGCGGGAUCCUUGCAGUGAUCUGCUUUGUAUCAUGUUACCUUACUCAUAGAAAAAUUAUGGUGAUCAUGCCUUAUUACUUUCUUCUUUGUCCCUUUUCCCUCCCAACCUUUGCUUCAAAUCUUUUUCCCUUUGUAAAAGCAAAAAUUUCUUCAAAGAUGCCUUACUGGCUCUAAUACAUCCUAGUGAACAAACCAUGUUUUUCCAAUUUAGUGGCGGGCGGAGCCUAUAGUUUUAAUUCAUAACAAAGUAGUAGAAUUUUAGGGAAGUUGCUUAACAUGGACAUGGAUUUUGAACUGUUUCUUCAUUCGUAGCAACAUAGGAAGAGAUGUUUACUGUUAACAAUUGAAAACAAGUUAGACACAUUUUUCCGGCUCCCCUUAAACACAAUGGUAGCUAAUGAUCACUCUAUCUCCUUGUGUUGCAAGAAAAACUGGCAUUUCCCUUGAGUAUAAUAUGAUAGAAUGCAUAUAUUAUGUUCCGUUAAUCGUCAUCUAUGCUGAUUAUGCCUUUUAAUUUUCCUGUUGCCGUUUCUAGCUAGAAUAAUUUUUUUCCCUGCCAACGUUUUAUUUUUAUUCAGGUUGUGUACUACUAACAUUGAUAUUUUGAUAGUAGUACUUUUAAAUACGCUGGCUUUUACGAUGUUUACAUAGGUUAGGCAGUGUAAUUUGAUGUUAUCUGACCUGCCGUAAAUGUAAUGUGUUUCUGGUUUCAUGAUUUUCGGUGUAAACGAAACAUUAGCUUACAUUCAGUAGUAACAUUUUUGCACAAGUUGCUUCCAAGUAUUUUUAGUCAGAAAUUUUUCAUGCUAGUUUUUCUUUUUCUAAAAGAUGCUCGUCACGGAGAAUGUGAAGUUUUUUUUUUUCUUUCUUUUUGACAAAAGUAAGAAUGUGAAGAAUAUAUAUGGUUUUCGCCGAUAAAAGUUGUAGGAAGCACAAUUUUGCUUUUUAUUGAAUUGGGCAUUUGUUUUAGAAGAAAAUUAAUAAAUCUGAUAAUAAAUAAAUAAAUUGUUGUAUUUGUGUGUGUGUGAACACUAUGGGAUAAGACUUGGUUUUUGUUGUUGUAUUUGUGUGUGUGGAAGAAAUAGUUAAACAAAAAUUCUCAAUCUAAACAAACAAAACCAGAAAAUCAUUAAAAACAAAGUAGCAUCCUAUUUUAGGUUUCAACUUGGUUUCGUAUGUUGUUUUAAUUUGGUCCUUUGCAAUAAUAGCAAGGUCACAAUUACUGGCCUUAUCCGUUAAGUGUUGAAUAAAACACGUGACAUAUGACAUUAGCAUAAUAGCAUUGCCGUAAAAACCUAAUUUAAUAUUUGGUUGAUUGUGUUUAUUUAAGGUUUCAGUGUAGUUAUUAAUGUUAGUAAGUUGUUCUCUUCUGUGGAGUGUUGACUUAAUGCCUCGUGAAAUAUGACAUUAGCAUAAUAGCAUUGCCGUAAAAAUCAUUAACCAUAAAAUUGCCAUUAAAAAGAGAUUCAAUAUAAAACAUACAAAGUUGCCAACAGAAAAAUCUUAAACCAUCUUUUUAGAAAAACACAAUUCUUCCUUUGUCUUGCAAUUUUCAUAUCCUUUUCCUAGAUUUUCAAAUUAUUCUUCAAUUUCUUUAACCUUCGAAUCAAUUUCCUUCAUAUUUCGAUCCUUUUCAUCAUCGCCAACAAUUUCAUUUCUUCAAACCAAUCAAAGUUGUUACAUCUUACACAAUCACGAUCUAGUACAAAAUACUUUAGAAACCGCAAUAAGACAAAUUGUAAAAAAUUGAAGAACACAUUACUACAUGAAAGUUCCUGCAUACCAUUUAGCAUCUUAAAAAUUUUCUCUUAUAAUUUGCAUGAGUCUUUAUAGUUCAAAGAAUACAAUAAUCAAUAUAGUGACAAGAAAAUUUCGAACACGGUCCAUUUCUGCAGCCUAAACAGUGCUGAUGUUGUGAGUGACAAAAGCAUACAGUUACACUACUCUUGGAAAACACCUUCAUUGGUGACAUUGAUGCUUCAAAAUCUGAAGUUUUAGAACCCUUAAGUUGAGCAAAUUAAUCGUAACAUCACUAACGCAAAGAACCGAAUUGCAACUUUUAAAGGUAGUUGAGCAAAUUUAAACCUUAAAUCAACGUAAGCGACAAUAUGAAAAUAAUCCUUUAUAUUAAAAGGCACAUUGAAUUCCUCUUAGACACGUAAUAUGUUUUACACAAUGUUAACUCGAUAUUUAUUUAACAAAAGACCUACUAAUUCCUAAUCGUAGGGCUUGUGCGUUAUGGUGUUUUUUUUUUUUUUGGUGGUCGAUGUUUGAACCACAAACCUUCCAUAUAUAAUAUAUUAUCUCGAUAUGUAUUGUUUCGGCCAACUGAGCUAAACUCACGAGGACCGUGCGUUUAUGGUGUUGUUAAUACAUUAUGAUGUUUCAAAAAGAUAAUAAUUACUAACAACGAAGGAACUAGAUUGAGUCUUUAAAAUAUAGGGACCAACUUAAAAUCUAAGUUAAGAUCUAAAUAAACGUAAGAGACCAAAUAUAAAAUAAAACCAUUUUAAUAUAAAAGAUUUGUAUAAAACAUUUUCUUCAUUCUCUUGCCUAGGAGUCUCAUUAAUCUAUUUAUGGCAUAGAUAGAUAUCAUCCCUUUGAAAGCAAUUGUGCUUUCCCUAAGUUUGCUGUAAGGCUUGAUUUUUUCAAAUCCUCUUUCUCAAUUCUCACAUUCUAAAACUUAGUAUCUAAUUUGGUUUUAGGGCUUGCGAUCCUUUUUACAAUAAUAAAUAUAUAUUUAAUCUCUCAUUUGUUAUUUUAUCUUUUGAUAAUAUUCAUUUUUUCUCUAUAGACAUAGUGACGUACAUGAUUUUGGGUUCGAACUUGAGUAACCACGAAAAACGUUCAACAUAACAACCUCAACAUUGUCGGUUUAGUUAGACCUUACAUUUUUAUUAGUAAGGCAAUCACCUUACAAGGUAAUUUCGUUAACGGAUUUGUGUUUGCUAUAGUUUACUAUUGAAGGUUAAUCUUACACCACCUUUAAGAUGUCGGGUUUCUUUUGCAAAAACCUGUUUAAUGUUUCUGAUUUUCACAGCGCGAGUCCCACAUCGUUCACAUUACAUGUGCAAGGGUCCUUGAAAUCUUAUAAAUAAAAGAGGUAGUAGUUUCAAUUCUCAAACAAUCCAGCGUUCCGAAAUCAUCUCUGAGGUCGGAUUGGGUAAGACCAAUAAUAACUCUUUUGGUCCAUUGGUUCAUUUCAAAUCAAAUAAUUGAUAAGGAGUUUAACUUUUUAUUUGUAAACUAAUAAAAUUAUGAUUAUGAAUAAUUAUGAUUUGUACUAGUUUACAAAAAAUUGUUAUACUUUAUAAUUAUUUUAAAUUUAGAUUUAGAUUUAAAUUGAACAUAUAUUGGUAUUUGUUGUGUGAAAUUGGUUUUUUUCAUAACAAAAAACACUAUAUAAUGAAGUUGGAACUAUAUUAUGAUUUCCAUGUAGCACCACCACACAUUUAAUUGAAGGUGUGGUUUUGGUACCGACAUGACAUCAAUGUGAUUACAUUGAAUUAUUUUAUUUUAAAAAAAAUAGUGUCAGACCUCUUCGUGUCUUCGGUGUUUGUGUUUUUACUUCAUAAUAGGAUAUUGACUUGAAAAAUUCCAUUUUACGCGAAGUUAAACUUUUUAUAACAAUUUUGCAUUUUCAAAAUGAGAAAUGAUAUUUGGACAACCAUUUUUUACAACUUUUUUGACAACUUUAUCUCUCAUACUCACAUUAUCUUUUUACUUUCUCUCUCUAUUGUUUUGGUUUUUGUGCCACUACCUCAUUUCCUUUGUAAAAUUUUGGUUGUCACAAAAGUUGUUACAUAUAUGUAUGUUCAAAUAACAUAACUCUUUCAAAAUUAAGAGGAAAAUCCUCUACAAUAGUUAUUGGGUCUCUUGGGCGGCUUUUAAGGAGUUGCAACUCUGUGCAUUUACUAUAACACAUCACACUUACACACCUAUCACAUACAAUUAGAUACAAUUUUAUUACUUUCACAAAAUGAGAUUGGCAAAUAUUCAUGUCAGAUUAAGGGAUACAAGAUCCUUGCACUUCAACAUACACUGAAGUCCUUGAUUUGUAAGAUUUUGCAAGCCAAAUUUACUUCUCUUAUCAGUCUUUAGUAGAUAAAAUUGUGUAUACAAUUUUUCAUAAAUCCAAGAGUUUACCUUGUCAUCACAAAUAUAAAAAAACAUGAGACAUUCAGAAGGUAUACUUUCCUGUAAGCUUCAUCUAUGAAAGUAAACAAGAGUGAUGCUGUGAAUUAAUCCGAUCCAAGGGCCAAACAACUUUGAAAUAAGUAUUUAUAUGAAAUUACAAACCUAGAUGUGAAAUUACAAAAUAUUUAUAUGUUAGGAAUCCGAAAUUGAUAAAAAAGCACAACGUUAUUGAAAGAAUGAGAAUAUGAUAGAAGAGUUUUGUCCAAGGGUUCCCUUCUACUACACGACUCUAUUCAUUCAGUGUUUACAUAUCUAAACUUUAAAUGGUAAGAGCUUGAUCUUGUAAUCUCGACCGAUGAAGUUCAAAUUCCCAUAAAGAUGAUUGUAAAAUGAUUGCUAGUGUCAUUUUAAUUAAUAAAAGUACUAUCUUAGAGAAAAAAUAACUAGAAAAAUAACUACAUGUUAAUGUUUUGUAAUUAAUAACUCUAUUCAUUCAGUGUUUACAUAUCUAAACUUUGUUAGUGUCUUUAAAAAAUAGUACUGUCCAUUUCUACUUGUGUCCUAUAUGAAACAAUAUGUCUGAUCUACUCCUUUACGGUACGUAUCAAAGGUAGAAUGUCAAUCAAAAAAUAAAGAAAGUAAUGAUAUCUACAACCUCAGUUUGGUUAUGAAAAGCUAAGGAUUGAUUUUCAACUUUAACUCAAACAUUGCACAUUACGAAUUUUUGUUUAAGCACCUGACAUUCAAGUAGACGGAAAUGGCUUCAAUUUCUGUAUCCAAUAUUUGUUGACAGAUUGUGGAGAAAUACUUGGUUGGACACAACUCCAAAUCAAAAAUAUUUAGAUACAUUCAUGUGAAUGAUAAAAUUUAAAUGAAAAAUAAUUUAGUCACUCACUUAAUAUCAUUUAUCUUUUAAAUUUUAUCAAUCAUGUGUGUGUCCAAAUAAAUUUUAUUUGGGUUUGUGCCUAUGGAAGACUUGCUCGAUUUUGUGUUGUCUAUUGUAACCUUCAACUUAAAUUAUACGCAUUAGCGUAACAAAAAAAUAGACAGACAUAGAGUAUUACUCUAAACGCUAAUGUGUGUGUGCAUAUUUGUGAGGUUGAAGAAACGGAACAAAUGGACUAGUUCAAAAAAAAUAAAAAUUAAAUGGAAGAAAAAAACAAAUUGAAAUAUAAUAUUAAAAAAUAAAAAAAGGUUGUCAACAUGAGUUGAAGAGAGAUGCUUGUGAAAUAAAUUGCCGAGAAGUAAUUUUUUGAAGUAGCAUUCAACAACUUUUGGUCAAAGCUCAUUUCAUACAAUUUUAUGCAUUCUAAAAAAGUACUUUUUUUAGAAAGUACUUUAUUGAUAUUGUGUUUGGCCUAGAUUCUUCUUAAAAAUGUAGAGAAGCUGGAAAAAAGUCGGGCCAAACGGUACCCUAAUAUUUUAUGUAACAUAAAUAACACAAAUUCCUAAAAGUUAAUUUUAUUAUAUAUGUGUUAAUAUUUUUACUAAAUCCAAUUAAUUUUAUCUGUAUGUGCAUCUAUAAAUUUACGAGUAUUUAUAAUAUGGUAUAUUUUAUUAUAUUUAUGUGUAUUUAUUAAGAUAUUCAUCCUAUUCCAUUCCGUGAUAAAUUUUAUUUGCGGAUAUCAUACAUAUAAUUUGUUUAUCUUCUUGAAUAUGUCUAAUGCAGGAAACGCCGGGUAAAUACACUAGUAUAUAUAUAUAGUAAGGUUUUUUAUGUUACGUCGUUUUAUGUUUAUUCUCAAUAUUUUAUUUUAUUUUAUUUUAUUUUUUAUUUUUUAAUUUUUUAAAUCAGUUUUCAAAUCUUGCAUAAAUAUCUCAACAAACAUUUUAUCUUAGUUUUCAAUCCUAUCCAUUAAAUAUUUCAUUUAAUUUUUUUAAUUAAUUUUUGGUUGAAUUAAUUGAUGUCUAAUUUAAUUUUAACAUAAUGUAUUUCAAUAAAUAUAAUAAUUUUUUAUAAGGUUUUGAACUCUCAAAUUUGUUAAUAUUUUUAAAAUGAUUUUAUUAUCUUUUAAUUUUCAAUUUUUUUAUCGACAUUCAAUUUUUUUUUUUUGAAUUUUAAAUUUCAUAUUUAUUGAUUUUAAAUAUUAUACCGUUUGAUUCACAUACUUUAAGAACAAACGAAAACAUGAUUUGAAUCUUUUUAGUUCUCCAUCUUUAGUAAAGACCAUUUCAAUUAGAGUCAGGAUCCGUUGACACCAGGUGUGUAAGUCAAAAGAUUUACACCAAAUCUCAUCAAUUCAAUUUGACGGAUCUUAUGGUUAAAACAUUUCACAAAUAAACAACACCUGAUCUAUUUUUAAUGAAUUCCACAGGAGUGUUACCAUUCUUUCCUGAAAGUGCUGCCGCUAUCACGCAAUCAACAACACACUCCUCCUUUCUCAUAUGAAGCACGACACUUUGGGAGAAGGAUGAUAAAUGGUCCAUAUUCCAAAUUUACAAACUUAUUGAUAACUAUAUCACAUGUUUCUUUUCCGCUAUAUAAGUUUUGAUGAAGCGGCACCGCCAUCAUCUCAUGUCAUUAUUAGGUGCAACGUAUCAAUGAUUACAAUUGGGUUUACUGAGUGGUCAAUUCUCCAUGAGUGAGUUGCGAUAAUGAUUUCAAUGUGUUGCGAUCAAGAUUCACAAAAUUGCACCAUGGUUUUAAAUUAAUUCUUGAAACAUUUGAGGUUUAACCAUAAAUUGUUAUAAUUCACAAUAACAUGAACCAAUAAUUAUUUUAAAUUGAGACUAGUGACAGGAGAAUGAACCAGGUCGAAAUCGAAAAAAGAGAAAAUAAAAAAUAGCAUGCUUUCUCUUAUUGUUGACCACAUGAUCUAUUUUUGCUGGGAUAUUUUCAGCCUUUGGAUUAAAUAGUUAUAACGGUUUAGAUUUGGUAUAAGUAUUUUGACUUGUAUUUUGACUUACACCUGGUGUACUCAAAGUAUUUGUUGCAAAUCAAAAUUAACCAAGUCAGGCUUAAAAUUAAGAAGUGCAAUCAUACAUAAAAACAUUAUCAGUCAAAACUUAGCCCAAAAAAAAAAAAACAUUAUCCAUUGGCAAAAGGACCCAUCGAUUGACUAUUAUGACAUCCUUGCGUCUUUAAAAUAUUGAUCACAGAAUUCCAUUUCCAUAGCUUUGCACCCUGCUGAUAUUAAAGAAUUCAAAUAUGCAUAUAGAAACUAAAAUUGAGAAACUUGAAUCAAAAGCAAUGUAAAGGCAACAUAAACUUUGUUUAAGAUUUUCAGAAGAAAAAAAAAAACUCACUCUAUACUAUCUUCAAACAAUGCACGUUGCAAAGACAAUGAUACACAUAGAGAGCUAGAAUGAAUUCCUGUGCGAAUCGAACUGAAGGAGUCUCCUCCUCCAUAACUCUAGUCAGGAUAGUAAGCAACCCCUCUCUCCCAGCCCGCUGCUGUUUAGAAAUUGAUAUUGAAGAUUUAAAAUAUGCACAGAAACUAUAAUUGAGAAACUUGAAUCAAAAGCAUUGCUAAAGGCCUCAUAAACUUUGGUAACAUUUGCAAAAAAAACUUGCCUGAGUUUCUUGGUAAGGUAGGUUGUGGGUAGAAGUUAAAGAUGGUCUAACCCUUGAAGUUUGAGCCCUCACAUAGCCGUACCGAUAAUAAGGACCAGGCCCACGGGGAUAACGUCUAAAGAGCAGGUCCAGUAGAUUGAGUUUGAGCAUGAAUUCAACCAAAGAAUGCUCUUCGUGUAUGCUCUCUAGCAAACAAAAAUAAGAAAGAAUGAAAUCAUAAAUCACUAUAGGACGACAUCAAGAUGCUAAAAUAAUAAUGAACAAAAUGGGUUCGAUAUCCCAAGUCUAGAAACAAUCCCAAACAAAAACAUAAUAUCCUAUGUGCAUCAACACUAUAGAGCUUGCAUCUUAAUAAAAACAAUAAAGAAAACAAAAUUGCAUCUUCACAUGGUUCUAAAGUCAAAAUCUAAAUCCUGAAAGAUAGAUGUAGUACAUGGUUAACUUAAAUUAAUUCAACCAAGUGCAGAAAAUACAGUGUAAUAAUAAUUAAACAUGGAAAACAUUGAACAAACUUAGACAAAGACAACAAAGUAAGACAAUCUAGAAUAAAAACAUCCAUACAAUUGGUUGAUAUUAAAAAGUAAUGAUUCGAGUUACCUAUUUGCAUUCGAGAUUUGAUGACGAUUGAGGAGACACUCGGUUCCUGGCACCUUUCCUCCAAUUUCCAACAGCACAACUAGUAUGAAAGAACAAAAAAAUUUACAAAUUAAAAUUGAUGAUGAUGAUCAGAAUAAUAAAAACAAAAACAACCGGUUGUUUAAUGAUGUUAGAGAAUCAACUAAAAUCUCUCAAAUACAUGAACUAUGAGGAAAGCUCACUGCAUCCUCCAAAAUAAAAAGAAAAUCUGCAAGUUAUUAUCUACUCGGCAAGGAAAUGGAAUUAACAGAGAUAAAGUGCUAAUGUAUCACAUGGAAUGAAGGGACAAGAGAUACAUUCUUAGAUUUGUGCUAUAGUGUCUAACAGUCAACACAAAGUCACCACAUUGUAUCUAGAUCAAAAAUCACACAGGAAUUUAAAUGAUUACAAACGGAUGAAGUUGGAGUUUACAAGAUAAAUCACCCUCAAGAGGGAUGAUUCGUUCUCAGCCUUUGAAAACAAAAGAAGCAUGCACAAACACAACGACUAUUCGAAACUUCAAUCCCAACUUAACAAUAGACGACAGACAAUUAGUGUCUCGGGUUUAACUCCAUCACAACACACUUAAUGCCAAUUCAUUACACUCGAAGUCUGUUUUAAUUUCUUCAAAUUCAGCGCGAACUUAACCUUAACUUAUGUGUUCUACAUCUGUACCCUCUACAAGUUUCAUGCUUGAGGACAACUACAAAUUUUAUCUUUUACUAUUUUAUUUGAAUGGAUUCAAUGACAGAGUGAAUAGCCAUUAUGACAUACCUCAACACCGUCAACAACAGCAAUAUGAUGAACAGUUGAUUCAGUAUGAUGAACAGUUGAUUCAUCUUCAUUUUCCAUAUCUUCUUCUGUCACAUACCCUUCAUCUUCACUUUCCAUAUCAUCUUCUGUCACAUACCCUUCAUCUUCACUUUCCAUAUCUUCAGUCAAAUCUAACCCAGAAUUUUUAGAAUCUUCAUUUCCCAUAUCUCCUGUCUCAUCUGGCACAUAAUUUUCAAAAGAAGCAACUGCAUCUCCAAAGUAUGGACGAAUGCCCAUGACUAGUCCAAACAUCUUCAAAACCUUCUCAUCAUUCCAGUAUCUGCAUGGAAAGAAUCGCUUCAGAAAUUAUUUACCAAUUUACACCACAACAAUUUAUGGUGGAAAUAGGAAAUGCCAAAACAAUAAAAUAGAAUUAAAAAAUUGUGUUUAAACCUCAUCAUUACUUCAGGACCACCAUUCUCUAUCUCAUCUAAAAUAAGUUUCAAACAUUGAUCUUUGUUCAAGUGUGCCGUUCUACGUUUACGCUGACCUUCAAGUGACGGAUCGGUAUAAAUUUCCACCAUGGAAGACAUUGAUGGGUCCUGUGAUAGACAGCACAUGCAUUUUAAUCUAACAACCAGCAGAAGUGUUACAAACAUAACGAAGAAAUUUUAAAAAUACCUGCAUCAAAGCCCAAAUCAGGCGCCUGACCAUGGUUUUAAAAUCAAGAUUCUAUCAGAUCUGUAGCAUGGUUGAAGCAUACUUCGGAUCACGAGAAUUUGAGAGAUCAUCCUGUGGUGCUUCAUGCAAAGUUUCCUGAAGCUGUUCAGCCAGUUUCCUGAUAUUUGGAUCCUAUGACACAUUGACAUUUUAAGACGCCAUGAUGAAAUACUAAUAUUAUAUACAUUAGUAAUUUAGAGUGUACAUCCAAUAAAUGACAUUCCCUAGUGAGUGAAAAAUGAAAAGAGGAAGACUUGGGUCAACCAUAUGAUGGUUCAAAAGUCAUCAAAUGCUUGCUUCACUUAACUUAAACUAUCAAUAAAUCUCAGUUGUAUACAUGCCUUAAAAGAUAGCAGCCAUAAGCCCAUAAGAACAAUACUAUCUGCAAAAUCUUAUCCAAGUUGGCAGGAACUACAAAAGGCUUACUCCACUAUCAUGGUAUGUAAAGCUUUGAAGAAAACAAUAUACAAUCUUAAUGAACACUUUUUGCCAACAGUGAAGACAUUAGACAUCUGAAAAACAUUCAGAAUUUGUCUUCAUAAAACCUAUUCCUAGAAGUAUUGUCUGAUCAUUGGCUGCAAAAUUGCAAAUGAAUCAAAUCUGAUGCCUGACCAGGACAAAAACAAAAGCACAUACUCAUGUAGUCCAAGCAAACAGGCUCAACAAAAUUAACAAUUCACACAGUUUGAUUAUCAAUAAAUACAGCACACACCACACAUGCAAAUAACACAAGAACGGAGAGAAGAGCUUACAUUGAGCAGGGCUGAGAAAUCAAAAAGUCCAGGAGUAGCUGUCCAGGAGUAUUAUCCAUGUAAGUAAAAAUCACAUAAUGAGGAUACUUAUGUAAUGUAAAAACCUAUCUAUACCAACACAUCUGAUGAAAGUUGUGUCAAGUGUCCGGCGUUGACUCAUGUGAUUACAUUCAAUUAUGUCAUUUUUUUUUUGUUUAAAUAAUUAUUGGUGUUGCUAAAAAAAAGGGUUAAUAUAUGAUUACCCCCCUAGAUUAUUAUUCGUGGUUUCUGGUUUACUUGCAAAAAAAAAAAAAUUAGAUUCCAACAUAGAAGAUUCUUUGAGUUUGGACUUUCAUGACAUCAAAUUUCAAAAUUUAAAGUACUUUCGCCGUAAUUUGAGCGAAUUUCGAUUUAGCCCUAGCAUACAAUCUAAGUGUUAUUUGAACAACCAUCUGAUUGACAACUUAUGGUACAACCAUAAGUUGAAAAAUAAUGUGAGUAUGAGAGAAAGUUGUCACAAAAUGGAUGUUAAAACGAUUUUGUCACCAUGUAGCCUUUCCUGGUGGUGUGGCGCAACGAGAUCUUUCUCCACACCAACGUAAUAUAUGUUCAAACCUAUUGGUGUUGCUCCAAAAAAAACAAAGGUUAAUAUAUGUUUAUCCCCCUAGAUUAUCAGGGGUUUCUGGUAAACAUGUAUUAACCAAGAAAAAAUCCAAACGAUUUUGUCACCAUGUAGCCUUCUAUGAAUCACGGAACGAACACACCGACAAAGCUAAUAAUUUGAAAAAAUCACAUACUUCAGUGUAACACGAAGAGUGCCCGUGCUUCAUAGGUAGCCUUUCGUGGUGACGAGAUCUUUCUCCACACCACCGUAACUGAAUCUCCCGAGUUACCGUCUUCUAAACCCCUUUUGGGUCAAGUUACUGUCUUCCACCGUGUGUUGGGUGAUUGUUGUGGUGAUGGUUUGUUAAGCCUUACCCCUUUUCAGGCUCAAUCAGGUAAUUGUUCUGGUAGUUUAUAUCAGACUACGAAUUUUAAAGCAUAGGUAAUAACUCAAGUAAAACAUCAAACUCGUCUAGUAAUUUAUGAAGCACGGAUACAGACACGGACACGACAUGAUGACACCGCAAAUAAUUUGAGAAAAUCACAUAAUAAUCAUAGGUAAUAACUCAAGUUUGGAUACAUACCAGCAGGAAGAAAAUCGUUUUGCAAAUUGGAAGCCAUGAGCGAAGAAAGUUUAGAUUUUAAACCCUUGAUUUUAAAGAGCGAUAAUAAUAAGAGUUUUGGUUUUAGAGAGAAAGCGAAAAGAAAAGGUGGCAUCUAGCAUGCCCAAGUGGAUAAAGUUUGGUAUUGUGGACAAAUAGCAAAAUCACCAUUGAUUUAAUAUUAAAAAAUUAAACGGCCAAGAUUGAAGAAGGGCCACUUGUAUAGUCGGUUUUUUAAUAUAGUUUUGGUAUUUUCAAAACAAGUCACACUUAUAAUGCAAUUGCAAAUUGUAUUUAUUUAUUUUAAUGGGAAUUCAAUUGUAUUUAUUAUGUUAUCAAAAACUUAAAAAAGUAAUUUUAGAUUUCUUUCCAACUAUAUCACGAGAGAUACAAAUAUGAGAAUAUCUUCAUCACCGUGAACCCUUUUUUUUUUUUCAUCUUCUACAAUGGUAUCAGACAGAAGAAAGCCAUAAAUUCCUACAUAAACUUCUCUGAAUUCUUAUUUUUUGAUUUUGUCCACCUUACUGUCCAGAUCGAUGUUUUCGUCUUUGAUUCCAACUUCAUUCUUCAAUUUUAUUCUUCAGCCGAGAUACCAAUUUGUGUGUGUUCUUGUGAUUGUUUUUAUUGAUGUGGAUUUAUUUGGACUUGGAAGAUGAAUUUUUUUCCAGAUCUACUUUUUUCCUUUCUCAAACCCAGAUAUGCUUUAGUUGAUCAAAUUGAAAAGUUAACUCUGUCAAUUGUGGAAACAUCUAUAUAUGGUGGUUCCAAAUCCAAAUAAAUACUUUAUUGUUGUUGCUGCUAAUGUUGUGAAAUGAUGAUGUGUUUACCUUCCAAUCUCCGCCGCACCACCGCAGUCAGUAGGUUUCCGCCAUAAAAAAACGUUGAGUUUUAAACCGGAUUUCCAGAGUCUGAACCGGGUCAACUCGACCCGGCUGGAGGUUGAAGAUGAUGAAUGAUAGUUAUUUUUUAUUUUUAAUCGUAUUCGAUCUUAUAAAUACAAAUAAAAGAUAAUAUUAACAAUAGUUUCCUUGCGUCACAGUGGUUUAAUUUGUUUUGAUCUACUUUAAGGUCACGAGUUCGAUCCCCCAUAUUUUUGUUAUGCUUUUUAUAAACAGCAAUGAUUAAAAAAACUAAAACAUAUACACAAUCAACCUAACCAUGGAUCGAACACGAGUUCCUUGAGGAGACUGCAACGCCUUUUUACCAUAACACCACAGUGAAUUUCUAUUUGUAUAUUUCUUAAGGCAAUUAUAUAUAAUAUAAUUAUGUUGAAUGAAAAUUUUAUACACGUGCAAGCCUGCUUGCUUAGACACUCAAUUUUGUUAAUGUAAGGAUUAUUUUUCUUCAUAAUAUAAUUGUUUAUUUACUUAAGUAAAAAAUAUAUGCUUACACCACACCACACCAUUAGUCAAAACGUGGCACAUCUAUCACUAAAAAAUAUUAGCCUAUAGUACUGCAAGGUGUGUUGGCAAAUGGAUAAGAGGGUACUAUAUCAAAUCACCUGCAGAAAAGCUACUUUAUCUGCCAAUUAGCUGCAUAAUAAUGACUAUAGGAGGACUUUGGAAGUUGGGUAUGUGUAAUGUGUACACAUUAAAGACUAAAACAAUACACCAUUAUUCAUUCAAGCAAAAUUACACUCUUCAACAUCUGCAAUAGAGACUCUAUUUUUAGAUAUUUAAAUAAAGGGAAAUGUUAACUUGUGCCUUCAAAGCACAAAUUAUAAACAUCAUUUAUUUAUAAUUUUUUAAUAAUAGUACUUAAUAAACAUUUAUUGCGCUUACAUGUCCAUUUUUCCGCUCUUUUAAUUGCGUUAACGUUUAAAAAUUAUAAACGGUAUUUUUUUUAUAAAAUAUAUACACACAAUGCGUAUAUUUUCUGCUCUUUUUAUAAAGUUUAAAAUUAUAAACGGUAUUUAAAAAUACAAUUUAUAAUUUCAUUAAAAAAAAUAUCAUUUAAAGUAAUAUUUUAUAUCUGACUGUCUGAUUUUUUGUUACGCUAAUACGUAUAAUUUUUUUUUUUAAUGUUGCAUAAUGCGUAUAAUUUUUUUUAUAAAAUUUGGAGUAUAAUACCUAAAGAAGUUAUACUUAUAUAUAUUUUGCAACUUUAAUUUUUUUAUGGUGGUCGUAAUUCGAACCCCGAAUCUUACAUAUUUAUACAUUGACCAUAAACUCACAAGGACUUUCACCUUUAAUUGGACCAUAGACCAAAUUUAUUAAGAAAAUCAAAAUUUAAUUUUUUAUUUCAUGAUUAAAUAAAUAUUCUAGACUUGCUUUUGACUGCAAAAGGGUUCAAACCAAAGUCUACAGCUGUAUAGUCACCUCACUUCUUUUCCACUGCAACACAGCUUUUUUUCUGCAUUGAUUGACAAUUUAUUUUUAAUUUUUUUAAUUUUUUGUUCAUUACCGCCAAACAAAGUGUUGGUCAUGUUUUUUUUACAAAUCAUAUUUUUUGUCACGUGUCCACCAACAAAGAGGCAAGAUUGUCUCAAUGAAAAAUUGCAAUUUUUAAAAAAAAAAAUGGCAUUUCUAAGGAUUCGAACAAAUGACAGUCAAUGAAUAUGGAUAUACAUAACCAACCGACUAACAGUAUCAAUAAAUAUAAAGGACAUUCGUCAUCUUCGCCCAUCUCGUCAUUACUAUUAUCACUCUCAUCUAGGGGUGGACAACGGUCGGACUCGGACGGUUUCGGGCCAGAAAUCGCGGUUUCAAUCGGUUUCGCGGAUGGAAAAACUAAGCCCAUUCCCGUCCGCAAGUGUUUACGGUUACGUCGGUUUACGGUUAGAUCGGAUAUCGGUUUUGAUGGGUGGGUUUUUUCGGUUACUAAAUCAAUCAAAAAUUAAAACUUUUGAAAGGAAGUAAAAUUCAAAUGGAAAGCUGAAAUUUCAACAAUUUCAGAAAACUACAACAACAACCUUCAACAGAACAACAACAACUACAACCUUUAAAACAGAAUGGAAGAACAAUUAAAUGAUGAUGAAUUUGUUGCAAUUGAAAUGUUGCUUUCUUCUUUCUUUAUUUUGGAAAAUGAAUUUCUUUUUUCCAUUGAAAUACAAAGAGUUGGUGUUUUGUUUAUGUGGUGAAGAAGAAGCCAGAAGAAUUAUGUGAGAGAGAAAAGAGAGAUGAGGAAGGGGAAGUGUGUUGAAAACGUGAAAGUGGAGUGGGACCUGUCAAUGGAAGAAGUAAAUAAGUAAUAAUAAUAAGUAAUAAUAAGAAAAGAAAGAGUAUUAGCAUGUGAUGUGUCAGCAUCGUGGGUCUCAAGGAAAUGAUGUGUCCAAUUUUAAUGGGUUAAUGGAAUGUGAGAUUAGACAUAUUAUUUUGAAAAAUGAAUUUCUUUACUAUAUAUGUCAUAUAUAUAGUAGAUUGUUGUAGAGUAUUCAGUAUAUUUCGGACGGUAUUGGGUUACCGUGGUUGGAUUUCUGUCAUCCGAGACCGACCGUACGUAUCCAUACAAGACCGAAUCUGCAAGCCCGUUGAGACCGCCUGACCCGUUUAGACCGACCCGCACGUCAACGGGCCAUUCGGACCGGACGGUUUGGACCGGAUGGCUGGUUUUUGUCCAGCCCUACAUCUAUACUUUCAUGUGAACCAAAUAGAAUCUCCUUAGCAUCACCUGAAACUUGAAAGACACUAUCAUCAUAACAAAUGUGAAACCCCUCGUUCAUUAAAAAGCAUAACAUCAAGGAAGAGAUAACUCCAUGCAAACCAUAAUCAACCAUCAACGCUACUAUUUUGGAGGUCCGGGAACAGUGCCAUCAAAAGUUGUCCUGAAAUAACCGACAAAAAUUACCAAAUCAUAACAUGUUAGUAAAAAAGAAUUGAACUAUUAUGGUAGAGAGGGAGGACGCAAAUAUAUCAAACAUUCAUGUCUCAAAAUUGCUCUCAGUACCGUAAAUGUGCCUAUAAGCAAUGUCACCAUCCUCAAUAUUUAUAAGUUACUAUCAUUUUCAUUACACAAUGAACAAUUGAAAACAAUACUCACAGUAAUGCUUGAACAUAGGCAAAAAGUACAACAUGUGUAUUGAUAGAGAUUUUAAAAUUAAGAUAAAGUACAUCACUGCAAAUAGCUAAUGAACAUUUACAUUCGCGCAAAACAUAAACAAAAGAGUUUUUUUUUUUUUGACCAAAACGUAAACAAAGAGUUAAAAAAGAAGAUCAUUUAACAAAAUCAAUUUCUUGAAAGGAGCAGCAGAACAUGAAUUAGAAUGAAAUGCUUCAAGUGAAUCAAAUAUGCAUACAUUAAUUAUGAAUUAAUUUAGAAAACGCUAUUUAAAAUAUGCAAUUUAGAAAACGUCAUUCAUCCAUAUAUUAUGGUUUUCUUUAACAAAAGUCUCCACACAUCUGAAAUCAGAAAUGUGAUUCAAGAAACAACAAAUUAGCUUCUUUCUAAUGUUACACCUCACUGAGUAAUAUUCAACCACAAACGUAUUAGACAGGUACAAACUAAAAAUAUGAAUAUAGAUUUCAAUAGUAAUUAGUAAGCACAAACAUAUAAUACAAUACUGUAAGAUUCAACUUUCUAACUAAUUCAUUUUUACUCUGCCUUUAGAUAUUGUGCUAACCUUUAACCUUUACAUAUUGUGAUAAGUAUGAUUUGCUCUCUUCUUUGAACUGCAUACUAGAGAUAAAAAUAUAUAUAUAUAUAUAAAAAAAAAAAACACCAAAAGCAGAAGCAAUUCAGAGAUACAAAAACUCAACUUCAACAAUAAAACACAAUCUAAAAGCAACAGGGUUGCAACUGAACAAACACCAUUAAACAGAUAAAGACAUAAGUUUUGAGCAUAAAACCUGUUAGACACUAACCCAACACAGUAAAAUUAAGUCACCUGUCAAAGGAACACAUCAGCUCCCAUAGUGAAAUGUUAUAAGAGAAUAAGAGGGAGGAUGGAGACGAUGCGGUUUGAGAGAUGGUGAGAGGCUGUCUUCAGUCUAAGCUUUCAGAUCUGGAAACAGUAGGAAGUGUCUGGGGUGCUGGUGGUGAUGCGGUUUGAGAUUGGGAAGAGAAGUGGAUAAGGCUUGAAUUUGAGUCAUGUCAACGAGUGGUGAGGGGGUUUGGUUUGAAUUAUGUGUAAUAGUAAAUUUCAAGGAAAAAAAGGGAAAACAAAAUCAGGGGAUCUGAGAGGGAAAUGAAAAAUGAAAAUUGAAAAGUUAGCGCUCAAACACACCCUACCUUUCUCAGGUAUAAAUAAAGAGGGAGAUGAAAUUUGGUUAUCUUGGAAGAAGGGGGAAAAUGAAAUUGAGUGAAAGUGAUUCAUGAAAUUUGGUUAUUUUGAAAGAAGAGGGAAAAUGAAAUUGAAUGAAAAUGAUUCCGCCAUAAAAAGUGGAUAACGAAAAUUAAUUUUUUUUUUAUUUUGUUUUAAUGAAAACUAAUACUUGUUUGCUAUAGCUUUUUUUUAAUAAAAAAAUCAUUUUUAAGAAUAUUGUAUUCGUUUGUUACACUGUUUGAAGAAGAAAAAAAAUUAGACACUCAAGAAAAUCCAAAAACAGCUUCAAAUGAGAAACUAUUAAAAGUCAGUUUGUUGCAGAUUUAAAUAAAAGUGAUUUUUACAUUAAAUAAUCAGGAACUAGUUUACUCCAUGGACCUAAAUGUGGCUAGAAUUUGAACGACAACAAGGAAAAUCAAUCAAAUUGUUCAAAAUGAUAUUCUUUGACCUAAAAGGAUAUAGAAAUCAUAAUUUCUCAGAUCGGGUUCCCGGAGGUAAGUGGAUCGGACGAACUAUCCCAUCAUAAACUAGUCAACUUAUGAACUAGUUUACUCCGAGGACCUAAAUAUUGCUACAAUCUGAACGACAACAUCUACAACUAAUCUGAUCGUUCAAAAUGACAUUCUUAUACCUAAAAGGAUAUAAAAAUCGGAAUUUUUCAGAUCGGAUUCCCGGAGGUAAAUGGAUCGGACGAACUAUCCCCUCAUAAACUAGUCAACUUAGGAAAUAGUUUACUCCGGGGACCUAAAGGUGGCUACAAUCUGAACGGCAACAUCUACAACUAAUCUGACCGUUCAAAAUGACAUUCUUAUACAUAAAAGGAUAUAGAAAUCAGAAUUUUUCAGAUCGGGUUCCCGGAGGUAAAUGGAUCGGACGAACUAUCCCCUCAUAAACUGGUCAACUUAGGAACUAGUUUACUCUAGGGACCUAAACGUGGCUAAAAUCUGAAUGGCAACAAGUACAAUCAAUCCAACCGUUCAAAAUGACAUUCUUAUACCUAAAAGGAUAUAGAAAUCAGAAUUUUUCAGAACGGGUUCCCGGAGGUAAAUGGAUCGGAGGAACUAUUCCCUCAUAAACUAGUCAACUUAGGAACUAGUUUACUCCGGGGACCUAAACGUAGCUAAAAUUUGAAUGGCAAAAAAUACAACCAAUUCAACCGUUCAAAAUGACAUUCUUAUACCUAAAAGGAUAUAGAAAUCGGAAUUUUUCAGAUCAAGUUCCCGGAGGUAAAUGGAUCGGACGAACUAUCCCCUCAUAAACUAGUCAACUUAGGAACUAGUUUACUCCAGGGACCUAAACGUUGCUAAAAUCUGAAUGGCAACAAGUACAAUCAAUCCAACCGUUCAAAAUGACAUUCUUAUACUUAAAAGGAUAUAGAAAUUGGAAUUUUUCAGAUCGGGUUCCUGGAGGUUAAUGGAUCGGACGAACUAUCCCUUCAUAAACUAGUCAACUUAGGAACUAGUUAACUCAGGGGACCUAAACGUGGCUAAAAUCUGAAUGGCAACAAGUACAACCAAUCCGACCGUUCAAAAUGACAUUCUUAGACCUAAAAGGAUAUAGAAAUCGGAAUUUCUCAUAUUGGAUUCUCAGAGGUAAGUGGAUCGGACGAACUAUCCCCUCAAGUUAUAAUAAAACAAACUAACCAUGAUUAUCUAUUUUAAUGACAUCAACAAUGUAACAAACAAAUAUAAUAUAAUUUUUUUAAUGACACCAACAACAAUUUUAAUUAUAAAAAAAGUUAUUUAAAGGUAUAAUAGCACUAGAAGAAAAUGGUCAUUUUGGGACACUCUGAAAGUGUAAAAACUACUAAUUUUUUUUGCACUAAUUUUACGAUGGGUUGCUUUAAGAAAUUAAUUAGUAUAUCAAGCACUUAAUGGAUCAAUUAAUUAAACCAUUAUAAUCAAUAUUAUAAAAUGAUUGUAAUUAUAUAUGUGAUGUUAAGAAUUUAAUCGUGCAAUUGUUUAAAUUAAAAUUAACUGUCUAUUGUUUUGUACAAUUAUUUAUUUUUUAUAAGAUAUAAUUGUACAUAUAACGAAUCACAGAAAGACAUCACUCCUACAACUAAAAUAGACUUAACCGUCUAAUGGUAUCAAAUAUAAUCAACCGGAUCGUUGAAUAUGACCUUAUUGGAAUAAGAACGAAGUAGUAACUGGAAUUUAUGAAUUCAAAAUAUUAUGUGUAAGUUGAUAUGACGAACUCUCCCGUUAGAAACCUAGUCAAUACGGAAAGACAUUACUCCGACGAUCAAAACGGAUCCAACCGACUAACAAUAUCAAAUAUAACCAAUCAGGCCAUUGGAAUAUAAUAUGACCUUAUCAGAAUAAGAACGAAGCACAAAAUGAAAUUUUGAAAAUCAAAAUCUUCAUUGUAUCAUUGUAAGUCGAUAUAACGAAGUAUCCCAUUAAAAACAUAGUCAACAUGAAAGGACAUUACUCCGACAAUCAAAAGAGACCCAACUGUCUAAAUAUAUCUAUACACAAAGGACAGUUUGGUAAUAUAAACAUGUUUUUGACAAUUUUAUUAUUUCAUCAACUUUUGUUAAGAGUUGAAAAACAAAAGUGUAAUCAAAGUAUUCUUUGUAGUGUGUUGGUAAAAAGUUGUGUUGAUUGCCUGAAAGGACCUGGUUCGAUCCCUGAUUUGCCGUCUUUAUUUUAAAUUAGUUCCUUUUUUUUUUAAGGUGGUAAAAAACAAAAACUACCUUGGAAUCGAACUCACGACCCUCAAUCAAUUGAAAGAAAGACAUACCGCUGCGAAGAGUCCGACCCAAUUGUUACGAUAUUCCGCGAUUAAUAUUUAUAAGAACAAUAAUGAUUAGAAAUAAAAACAAGUCGUCACUCAUCAUCUUCAACCUCCAGCCGGGUCAUGUUCACCCGGUUCAGACCCUCGAAACCCGCACAAUCCCAACAGAUUUAGACCAUAUCGACGUCAAAAUUGAUGAUUUUAAUCAAAAACUUUAUACAAAUCGUAUCCAAACUCUUCAUUCCCUUCUGCCAGAUCUGAUUGCCAAACUCUUUUUUUAAUUUUAAUUUGAGUUGAAGCCUCCAGGUAUUUUAGGACAACCACCAUGAAAGAGAUGAAGAGCAUAGUACAAUUUUUUGAGAUUGAUUAUUUAAAGUUAAAAAAUUGUACAGUAGAAGAGAUUAAUUAUGCAUGGGGUAAAUAUGUAAUAAUCAAAAUUAUUGUGGUGUGUCUAUAAUAACAUUAAACACAACAUUAGGGGUCAAUGUUAAAAACUAUAAAAAACCGGAAAAACUGGUUAUCAUAUGUAUUUUGAUUUAUUUUCAUUUUUGUGCACCAUACCAAAGAAUAUGUCCUUUGGCAGGCUAGAUGCCACCAAAAGAAAAACCUUCUUGAUAAUAAAUAAAGAAUGGGUUUUGGAAGGGUUUUACUUUUUUUUUUUUUUUUUAAAACUCAUAAUUUAUUUUUUCUCACGCCAUUUUUUUUUUUGUUAUUUUUUUUUUUUGAAGGGUUUAUUUUUACUAAAAGAGUUGUGAAAUCGUUGAAGAGUAAACAAGGAGGGAGGUUAGUUUCUCUAACCAUUUCCUGCUUGUCUAUUUCAAACCAUAGAUGACCAAAAAACCUAUUUAACUUAAGUAACACAAUUUUAUUGAAAGAAUGAGAAAAUGAGAGAAGAGUUUUGUCUAAUGGUUUCCCUUCGGCUCGCUGCUCUAAUUCAAUGUUUUCAUAUCUAAACUUUGAGUGGUAAGAUCCUAGUCUUGUAACAUCGAGAGACCUAGUAUAAAUAUUUUUAAAGACAAUUGUAAAAUGAUUGUUUCUGAUGUCUACGUGUCAGUGUGGUGUUCAUAUCUAUGUCACUGUUUUGUAGGCUAUGCUUACUUCACUAACUAAUAUAUUCUAAUGUUGUAUUGUAAUAAUGUACGGUUAUAAUUCACCCCAAUGUUCUUUUUAUCAUCUUAAUAAUGUCUUUGGAAUCUCGAUAUGAAAUACAUUAUACAUUUCAUGAAAACAAUUGCAUCGAUGCAUAAAACUAGAAACAAAAGAAACUAGUUAUCAUAUCAAAGCACUUAGUUCAUAAGACAAGUUCCAAAUCUUUUAAAAUGUUAUUAUUUUCAAACAAGAUGAGAGGAUCCUUACUCCUCAACAUACUUCACGGUCAUGAACUUGAUUUACAAAAUUGAUUAAAAGAAUGUGCAUAUGUAUGCAAGUGUAUGCGUAUAACAAUGUAUUAUUUCAUCAUAUCGUUUAAACCCUUUGUGCUGGAAAAGUCACACGUAAACAUAAUCCUUUCCAAGAAAUCAUUAUGCAAACGUGGCCGCAAUGACCUCUACUCACUUACGGGACGCGAUGCUCUGUGUGGGUGUGGCCACCGCCACCCACAACGAUGCAACGCUCUGCAGUAAUAGCAGCGUUAUUUCCUAGUCCUGCUACUGACAACAUUAUUUAAAACCAACUUUGGUAAGGUCUUUUGCAUGGCCCUCCUGCUACAUAAAAAAUAGAAAUACUCUGAGAUUGAUAGACAUGUGAUAGAUAGCACUUGUGUAAACUUUUAAAUGCUCUUUCUUGAAACAAAAAAAUGAAUCUUCAAGUUCCAACUUAUUUCAAGUUCUAACUCAUCACACGUACACACCUAUCACGUAAAAUUAGAUGCAACUCCAUUACUAACUCAUCACAUCGAUUUACCAUGUAGUGUCUGCAUAAAUAUUGUCGUGCAGAAAAUCUUCAAAACCCGAAGAUUUUACCUGGGAGACGCAGUGAUCCAAAAACAUGAGACCAGUCAGAAUGCAAAUUUUCCGGUAUGCUUCAUCUGUGAAAUUGAACAAGAGUAAUGUUGUGUUUCAAUGCUUACCCAGAGAUUCAAACUCUGAAAUGGUAUGCAUUUGUGCAAGAACUACUUCAGCCCCUUGUCGGUCAACUUGACGUUCCUAGGCGUCAAAUUUAUACGUACGUUAGGAACGCUAAAGAAUUAGCAAAUUGAAGGAAAUUAGCAAAUGGAUUAUAAAAAAACACUUUCCAACAGGCGUUUCUCUUCUGCUGACUGCUCUAUUUACUCAACGUUUACAUAUACAAAUGCCAUCCUUCUACAAUCGUGUUCUCCUAUUUAUUAUAUAAUCUAACUACGAUCUAACAAAUGAACUAACUACCCUAACUGUCACUAACUAACAUCUCCUCUAUCUUCUAUUCUAGCAAUCGUAGUAAUUUACUAAGGAAGAUUGCACACCAAGUGAGACUUUCAAGUGCUAAAAUCAAACAAUGUACGCAGGGCCGUUCCUAGAGUUUUACGGGCCUUAGGCAUAAUAUGAAAAAAGGUCCCCAACAUAAUACAUCAUAAUUCUUUUUAGCUCAUUGUUGUGCUUUUUUAGCUCUUCAUUUCGUUUUUCUAUUUCGCUUUCACUACCAAAUAAAUAUUUUUUAGACAACAUCUGAAAAUAAAUUAAAUACUCUAUGUACACCAAAACAAAAUAAAAUAUCGUAGAAGUAGAAAAAAAAUAGCACAUGCGAAGUAGACUGAAAUUUUCACACCCCAUUUUCAACUAAAAUAGAAUUUGCUUUGUUAUGAAAAUUAUCCCAAUUUCUUGGAUAAUAAAUAUGGUCAACAUUUUUAAUAUUAGUGAAACACAUUAUUAGGAACAAAGGGCCCAAAAAAAUAUCAUCAAUUUCUUAUUUUCGAGCAUAUUAUUAAGAUCAACCAAUUUUUUUUUUUAUAGGAAGGUGUAUAUAGAAAUAUUUGUGCUGCAUGGGAUAUAUAUAACAAAUCUCUCUAAAAAUGCCAAAAACAUUAACAGAUUUCAGCCCAUUACUAUAUCAUGUCAAAAUCCUAAACCCUAAAUUCCUAAACUUUUCAGAGAAUUUUGUUAUACAUAUCCCCCAAAAUCCAAAUAUUUCUAUAUACACCCUCCAGCUUAAUUUUUUUUUGGGCCCCUACCGACAAGGGCCCUAGGCCGUCGCACUCGUGGCGUAUGCCCUAGGGCCGGCCCUGAAUGUAGGUCAAGAUUUUUUAUGAUAUCCAUGUAGAUGGAAAUGAUUUUUCACUAAGGACAACGAUUGAUUAUUACUUCAAAUCUUGUAUCAGAUAUUUUUUGGCAGCAGUUCAGAUUUAAAGACUCAAAGCUUCGAAGAAAAUGAAAACACUAGAAAUGCUUAACAUUAUUUGGUCAGAAUCACAUUCAAUCUAUAUUCUACAUUUCUACAUCAUAAAAUGUUUGUGGAAACAUUGUCAACUAUGGUUGCCCCCUUUAUCUAAUAUUCUUGUAAUGUCAGAACCAUAAGUACUCAGCAAGCAAUGAAUGAUAAACAGUUCCAGCUUCUGCAUUUUUAGAUAUAUGAUAAUAGAUUACCACAUAAUAACUAAAGAAAAUAAUCUAUAUCAAUCAUUUAUCAAUAAACCAAUGAUUGAUAUUACAUGGACAUACAUAAGAAAUCACUGUUGUGUUGAAAUAUUAGCUAUUGAUUUUUUUCAUUAAUCACUUCACACUUUAGAGAAGUCAUACCCUAACCACAAAAGUUAGAUCAACUAACAAAUUCGAUCGAAUAAGAAGAAUAUAAGACUAAGUGUAUGUUUGGAUUUACUUUUGGUAGAUGCACUAACAAAUUCGAAACAAUUUGUCAUCAGUUUUUAACGUUUCUUUGACGGAAGGCUAUGUCAAAACAAUUUAUCAACUUAAAGACUGAUAUGUUAUAACAAUAGCUUAAAGGGUCAUGUCAGUUAAGGAAGUCAAAAGAGAAAAUUUUAAAUAAAAAAAAAAUACCUUUUUAGUUUUUAAUGCACUCAUUACACACCUCUCAAUGCAAAUGCUACUAUAUUUAAUCCCCUUAAAGAGUGUCCGGGGACAUUAGUUAACAUUUCCCUAACUUAAAUGACCAAUUCGUUACAAACGUGAAACUUAAAGGACCCUUUGUGUAAUUUGGCCUUUAAUUUACUAUUGAAGGUUAAUCUUACACCACCUUUAAGAUGUCGGGUUUCUUUUGCAUUUAAGCCUUGCUAGCUUACAAAUAUUUAGAUCUAGUAGAAACAUUGUUUUAGAUAAGAGCAAUGUUAUUUGAAUAUCAAUUUGGUUGACAACCAUAUUUUUACAAAGAAAAGUAUGUGUUGACACAAAAACCAAAGCAAUUGAGAGAGAAAGUAAAAAUAUAACGUGAGUAUGUGAUACGGUAUCUGUUGGUAUGGGCCGUGACACAAGCACUGAGAAGCAAGAUAAAAGGCCCAACAAGAAACCAGUGUGGAUGACAGAUUAUACUACCUUCUUGAAUUAUCUUAUUUGUCUGUUUCUUAAUAUGCCAAUUUUGCAAUAGUUGUAGCUUCCUAGAAUUAAGGAUCAAGACAUCAUAGAUGAAUGCCAUCUGUAGUAUGCCGUUAGGCAGCAGCCUAGAAUCCUGCUAUAUGUAUGAGACAAAAGCACAGAAAUAAAAGGGAGAAAAAAUAAAAUUGUUCCAAUCAUUAUCCUCUCUCUCUUAGGCUUUCCCAAAUACUGGGAAUUCAAUUUCUUUUUUUUUAUCUCUGUUCCUAACAUUGGUGCUCUCGUGUUCUGUAACUCAACCUCACCGCCAUCAUGCCCCCUCGCCAAGAAUGUCCCGAAUCCUCCCUAAUCCAAGAAGCCAUCAACGCCCUUACCGCCGCCUUCCAAGACUUUCGCACUAACCAAGAUGAACGCCACAAUACCUACCUUCAAACCUUCAACCUAAUCCAAACCCAGAUCCAGGAAUUACCCAUUAACUCUGUUUCUGGAAAUGCAUCUUCUUCCACCAACCCACCACCGCCGCCACCACCCCUGCCUCCACCACCGUUUAAACCAUCGAAACUCACACUCCCUGCCUUCGAUGGCACAAACCCUCUUGAUUGGCUAUUCCAAGCUGAGCAAUUUUUCAACCACUACAACAUUCAACCAGCAACAAGACUUCAAUACCUUUCAACCUAUAUGACCGGAGACGCGCUUGCGUGGUUCCAAUGAUCAAGUAACAAUGGCAUGAUUACCACUUGGCCCUCUUUCAUAAGAGACUUAGAAAUCCGUUUUGGUCCUUCAUCCUACACCAACCACCAACAUGCCCUUUUCAAACUAACCCAACCAACAACAGUAGCUGACUACCAAAAAGAAUUUGAAAGAAUUUGCAAUCGUGUUGUUGGUCUAUCACCCACAACCAUCUUAGAUUGUUUUGUCUCUGGUCUGCGCUGGGACAUCAAAAAUGAAAUAGCACUGCUUCAACCCACAACCAUUUCUCAAGCUAUUGGGCUUGCCAAGCUCAUUGAGUCCAAAUUGCUAGCCACUAGGCCCAAUACUUCAUCUUCCCAUAACAAACCCUACUACCAGAAACCAGCACCUUCCCAAAUUACUUAUACACCGCAAACCACAAACAACCCAUUAUUACCAAACCCACCAACACGCCUAACCCUACCCGCACCACCAAACCCGAAAUCAACUAUGCCGGUUCGCCGCCUCUCACCAGAUGAAAUGCAAAUCCGCCGCACAAAAGGGUUGUGUUUUAAUUGCGACGAAAGAUUUGUUCCGGGUCACAAAUGCAAAACCCGUCCUUUCCUUCUUUUACUAUCUGAUGACCCAAACCCACCUCCAUCUCCCACACACACAACUGAAGAAGAUGUCUUCUUCCUCACUGAAUCCACAACCACACCACCAAAUGAACCAGUGGAAAACACUAACCCUGCUGAAUCAGUACCCACAACACCUGAAAAUUUCCAUCUAUCCUUGCACGCACUCACCACGCACACUACGUUUUGAAGCAACCAUCAACGGACAUUGUGUCUCAGUUCUAGUCGAUACAGGUAGCUCACAUAACAUAAUCCAACCCAGAAUUGCUCAAUUCCUACACCUCCCAAAACUCUCAAUUGAUUCAUUUUCUAUUAUGGUCGGAAACGGCGAGCAAAUCCAUUGUUCUGGGUUUUGCCCCAGUGUUCCCUUGCUGAUUCAACAAAACCUCUUUCAUAUUCCAUUCUACUUGCUACCCAUCCACGACGCUGAUGUCGUCUUAGGCGCGCAAUGGCUAGAAACACUAGGACCAUUCUUAUCUGAUUUCACCAUUCCCUCAAUGCAAUUCUACCACAACGGAAACCUCAUCACCUUCCAAGGGUCAAACACACCCACCAUAUCACCCGCAACCUUUCACCAGCUGAAUCGUUUAAUCCAAACAGACUCAAUUGAUACCUUCCACACCAUUUCCAUGUUACCUAUUCCUGAUUCAGAUACCAAUAUCAACCAAGAAACCCCAAACACUUUUUUCACCAAAGACGAUUCCACCUUACUGGCUAACAUUCACCCAGACCUCAUCCCUCUCCUUCACAAAUAUUCCUACAUCUUUACUAUACCCACACAACUUCCCCCAAACUGUCCUCACGACCAUCAGAUUCACCUCAUUCCAAAUGCCAACCCAAUCAACUUAAAACCCUAUCGCUACCCCUACUAUCAAAAGGAAGCCAUGACCAUCCUCAUCUCAGAAAUGCUAUCUUCCGGCAUUAUCCGCCCUAGUACGAGCCCUUACUCCUCACCUGUUCUCUUGGUAAAAAAGAAGGAUGGCACUUGGCGGUUUUGUGUCGAUUACAGAGCACUAAAUGCAAUCACUGUUAAGGACAAAUUUCCCAUUCCCACUAUAGAUGAACUUAUCGAUGAAUUACAAGGAGCGACUUAUUUUUCCAAAAUCGACUUACGAUCAGGCUACCAUCAGAUUCGGUUGAGGGAAGCAGAUAUCCCAAAGACGGGGUUUCGCACUUUCAAUGGACACUAUGAGUUCUUGGUGAUGCCGUUUGGUCUCUCAAACGCCCCAUCAACCUUCCAGUCAGCCAUGAACGACAUGCUCCGGCCUCACUUACGCAAAUUUGCGUUAGUUUUCUUUGAUGAUAUCCUUAUUUAUAGUCCCUCUUGGACUGAUCAUUUGUUACAUGUGGAACAGGUUUUAGCUCUGCUGCACUCCAAUGAAUUUUUUGCUAAGUUUUCCAAAUGUAGCUUUGGCGUUUCAUCGGUGGAAUACUUGGGCCAUAUCAUAUCAGAAUUAGGAGUUCAAGCAGACCCGGAGAAACUUCGUGCAAUAGCAGAAUGGCCAACACCAACAUCAUUAACAGCGUUGCGCGCGUUCCUGGGGAUUACCGGAUUCUACCGUCGUUUUGUCAAAGGUUACGCCACUAUUGCUAACCCCUUGACAGAUUUGCUACGGGGAUCAGUUUUUAAAUGGACACCAGAUGCUGAUUGUGCCUUCAAGGUACUCAAAGAAGCAAUGUUGCAGCUGCCCAUCCUUAGCCUACCCAAUUUUGAUCUUCCUUUUGAAGUCACAACAAAUGCUUCCAACCUUGCAGUAGGUGCAGUGCUCUCUCAACAGCAUCAUCCAAUUGCUUUUUUUAGUAAGAAGCUCACAACUAAGCUUGCCUCUGCUUCGACAUAUGUAAGGGAACUAUAUGCUUUGACAGAAGCCAUAAAAAAAUGGCGUCAAUACUUGUUGGGACACACGUUCAAGAUAUACACCGAUCACAAGAGCCUCAAGAGCUUGAUGACACAAACAAUUCAGACACCCGAACAACAGAAAUGGUUAACUAAACUAAUGGGGUACAACUAUGAAAUCUGCUACACACCGGGAAAGGAAAAUGUCGUAGCAGAUGCACUAUCUCGCAUUCAAAUUCCCGAAGGAAACUAUGCAGCUAUCAGUUUCCCGAGUUCCGACAUCAUCAAACAGCUGCAAAAGUUUUUUGAACAGCACCCUAAAGGCCAGGAGUACCUCACCAAGCAUCAACCAGAUGUUGCUUCACUUACAAAAUUCGCCAACAAGAAAGGGCUACUUUAUUUCAACCACCGCCUUGUGAUACCAAGUGAAACCAAUCUCAUUCCAUUACUACUUGAGGAAUUUCACUCCUCCCCAGUUGGCGGACAUUCAGGCGUCAAGGCCACCUUGGCCAGACUUGCGACCAAUUUCUAUUGGCCGAAUAUGCACAAAGAUGUCAAGGAGUAUGUGGCCAAAUGUGCUACCUGCAGCUAUCACAAGUAUUCCACUCAGAAACCCUAUGGAUUGCUCCAGCCACUUGACACGCCUCACCAAGUCUGGGAAGAUAUCUCCAUGGAUUUCAUCACCAAUCUUCCCCCUUCUGCGAACCGCACAGUCAUUUGGGUAGUUGUGGAUCGGCUCUCAAAGUUCGCGCACUUCAUACCAUUACCAACCAAUUUCUCUGCCACUUCCCUAGCAACUGUAUUCGUCAACGAAAUCUACAGACUUCAUGGUACCCCAAAAUCCAUUGUCAGUGACCGAGACAGAGUAUUCAUAAGCAGAUUUUGGAAGGAAUUGUUCGCAUCAUUAGGUACUACGCUGGCUCUAAGCAGUGCGUAUCACCCUCAAACCGACGGGCAGACCGAGGUACUCAACCGUUGUUUAGAGACGUAUCUACGUUGUUUUGUGAGUGAUGCACCACAACAAUGGACUCGCUUCAUUCCCCUUGCGGAGUUUUGGUAUAACACUUCUCACCACUCAGCCAUUGGCAUGUCUCCUUUUGAAGCCCUCUAUGGCAGGCCCCCUCCAUCAUUAGGCUCUUACAGCACUGGUGAUUCUUCACUCACUUCUGUUGAUGAAUUGCUGAGUAAUCAUAACAAGGUCCUUAAACUUGCGAAGGAGAAUCUCACUAAAGCAAAACAUCGCAUGACUCAACAGGCUAAUAAGAAACGCGUGGACAAGCAACUCCCUGAAGGCUCCUGGGUUUAUUUAAAGUUACAGCCGUACCGUCAACUUUCAUUGAAAACUAGAGGCUCCCCAAAACUGGCAAAGCGUUUUUAUGGCCCUUUCCGCAUCCUUCGCCGCAUUGGUUCUGUAGCAUAUGAACUGGAGUUACCUCCCUAUGCUCGUAUGCAUCCGGUGUUCCAUAUUUCCCUACUCAAACCUUGCUUAGGAACUCCAGAUCAGCAGAUAAUUCCCUUACCAGCUAUGGACAAUGGUGCAACCUUGUCUCCUGCAAAGAUUCUGAAUUAUCGUAUCCGCCGCACCAACAAUGGGCCCAAGGAGGAGCUGUUGGUACAAUGGGAAGGCCAAAGCUCGAUUGAGAACACCUGGGAACUUAAAGAAGCCUUUAUGAAAAAUUACCCCACUUUUAAUCUUGAGGACAAGAUUAUUUUUGAGGAAGGGAGUAAUGAUACGGUAUCUGUUGGUAUGGGCCGUGACACAAGCACUGAGAAGCAAGAUAAAAGGCCCAACAAGAAACCAGUGUGGAUGACGGAUUAUACUACCUUCUAGAAUUAUCUUAUUUGUCUGUUUCUUAAUAUGCCAAUUUUGCAAUAGCUGUAGCUUCCUAGAAUUAAGGAUCAAGACAUCAUAGAUGAAUGCCAUCUAUAGUAUGCCGUUAGGCAGCAACCUAGAAUCCUGCUAUAUGUAUGAGACAAAAGCACAGAAAUAAAAGGGAGAAAAAAUAAAAUUGUUCCAAUCAUUAUCCUCUCUCUCUUAGGCUUUCCCAAAUACUGGGAAUUCAAUUUCUUUUUUUUAUCUCUGUUCCUAACAGUAUGAGAGAGAAAAUUGUCAUAAAAGUUAUUAGAAAUUGAUUGUAUAAAUAUCAUCUAAAACGUGUUUAAUGUUUGAACCUGUUGCCAUGUUUAUGAUUUUCUAAGCAUCAAGCGUCUGUAUCUUCACAGCGCAAGUCCCACAUCGUUCACAUUUCAUGUGCAAGGGUCCUUUGAAUCUUAUAAAUAUAAGAGGUAGUAGUUUCAAUUCUCAAACAAUCCAAUGUUCCGAAACCUCUGAGCUCGGAUUGGGUAAGACCGAUAGCAAUUCUUUUUGUCCAUUGUAAAUCAAUAAUUUAUUUAUUGUUUCAUUUUAAAUCAAUAAUUUAUAAGGAGUUUAACUUUUUUAUUUGUAAAUUAUGAUUAUGAGAAAAUCAUGAUUAUGAUUUAUAUUAGUUUAAGUGAAUUAGAUUUCAUGUAAUAAUUAUUUUAAAUUUAGAUUAAAUUGAACAUAUAUUUGUCUUUGUUUAAUGAAAUUGGUUUUAUAUUUAAUUUUUUAAUAAAAAAAACACUUAAGAAUAAAGUUGGAAUAAAAAAUUGAGGAUAUUUUUUUGCAUAUUAUGAUAUAGCACCACAUGUGAUUACAUUGAAUUAUUUUAUUUAAAAAUAUUUGUGUCAGACUUCUUUGUUUCUUCUGUGUUGUCUGUGUUUUUGCUUCAUAAUAUGGUAUUGACUUGAAAAAUUCCAUUUUACAUGAUGUUAAACUUUUUGCAACAAUUUCGUAUUUUCCGGGGAGAAGAAUUUAUUAUUGAGAGGAAGAGUCGUCUGUUUAUUAUUGAGAGGAAGAGUCCUCUACAAUAAAAAAAACACGAGACAUAUCAGAAGGCAUAGUUUCCUGUAAGCUUCAUCUAUGAAAGUAAACAAGAGUGAUGCUGUGAAUUAAUCCCAUCCAAGGGCCAUACAACUUUGAAAUAAGUAUUUGAGCUGUAGUGUCUACCUAGACAUUGCAUAGAGAUUCAAACUCUAAAGGGAUGGACAUUUCUGCAACAACUACUUUAGCUCCACGUUAGUUAACUUGACGCAUCUAGAUGUGAAAUUACAAAAUAUUUAUAUGUUAGGAAUCCGAAAUUGAUAAAAAAAACACAACUUUAUUAAAAGAAUGAGAAUAUGAGAGAAAAGUUUUGUCCAAGGGUUUCCCUUCUACCCCAAGACUCUAUUCAUUCAGUGUUUACAUAUCUAAACAUUAAGUGGUAAGAUGCCGGUCUUGUAAUCUCGAGCGAUGAAGUUCAAAUUCGCAUAAAGAAGAUUGUCAGUGUCAUUUUAAUAAAAGUAAGAAAAAAAAAAAAACUAGAUGUUAAUGUCUUGUAACUAACUAAUAACUAUUCAUUCAGUUUUUACAUAUUUAAACUGUUAGUGUCUUUGAAAAAUAGUACUAUCCAUCUCUACCUGUGUCCUAUAUGAAACAAUAUGACUGAUGAUCUACUCCAUUAAAGUACGUAUCAAAGGUAGAAUGCCAAUCAAACAAUUUGAGUAAUGACUACAACCUCAGAAUGUAGGAAAAGUAUACAUAGACACACCAAAUGUCACACACCCCUUCAUACCACCAAUGACAUGGCUAAAAUACUUUAAAAAAUUGAUCUUUGAUGACAUGGUAAAUAAUUCUUAAAACAAAUAAGAAAUAGAUCUAGAAAAUUAAAAAAGAAAAAAAAUCAGUGUCUCACCUCUCUCUCUCUACGAGAGUGAAUCCUGCUUUCUCCAUCCCUCUCUCCGCCAUUUCCUCUGAGGCCUCCAUCUCUCCCUCAACCGCGACAGCUUAAUUAGCUCUCUCCCCAACAAAUACGAUCAAAAGCAACUGCGAUCUCCUUCUGCGAUUCAACGGUUGGCGUUUUGUCAAAGUUUCCGUCGCCGAAUCUCUCCGUUGAAGGUUAUGUUUUCUCGAAUCUUGUAUUUGAUGAAGGUUAAAAUUUAUUUUGAAAUCAUUUGGGUAUGAUGAAGAAAUUAAUCAUAUUAGGAUAUGAUACUGAUUUAGUGAUAAUUUUGGGUUAAACAAAGCUUGAUAGUAUUUAGAUGUUUAGUUCAUAAUUAAGUUAAAAUCUCUGUUAUUUGCUACUGUUUGAUUGUUGCAUUAUGGGUUGUUGUCAAUUAAGAUGUUGCGUUGUUGCUACUAUUUGAUUUGUUGGUAAUUGCAAAUGGGUCUGGAAUGAAAAUUUAUGUUGCUUAAGUUAAGUCAUUCUUUAGUUGGGUUGUGCCAAACAUGUCCUAUAUUGUUAGUAAAAAAUCUUAAGCUUUCCCCAAUUUUUUUAGUUUGAUUGUGGUUGUUCCUCUAAAUGUUAUCACAUAGAGUUAGUGUCAAAUUCUUAAUCAAAAGAAUUGUGGUCACACUUGUGUUAAAAAAUGGUCAAAGUGUUGGAAAUUUGAAAGAAAAAAAUGUGGUUACGUCUAUGUUAAAAUAUGGUUAAGUGCAGAUAAAUUUUUGUCGGUAUGUCUAUGAUAGAAAUUGGACAUUUGUGUGUGUUUUAAUUGUUGUUGAUAGAAAUUGUUUUUGUAUACAACAGAUAAGGUCAACAUCAUGAACGAAAACAAACGAAAAAGGGAUGGUGGUGUUGGUGUAAGUACAAUUUAAUUAAUGAGACGUUUAAUGUGUAUGUAACUGUUUAUGUUUUAUGCCAUUAAUGAAUGAAUAAUGUUCAUUUUUCAGCCACAGAUAAAGACUCAAAUGCCCCGUACCAAUAAGUUGGUAGAUAUUAACCGAAAAUUAUCUGAUGCGCAAAGGAGUAGAAUUAUGAAAACUCCAUUCCGAUAUCUGGUGGAAAUGAAGACCUAUAUAGGAAUGAAUGGUACUUUAUUGAAGGAAUUAUUGCAUAGGUGGGAUGCAAGUAGCUUAGGAUUUAGAGUAGGCGUUAGGACUGUGGCCUUUAAACAUCUAGACCUUUAUUAGUUGUUGAUUAAUUAAUAAUAUGUAAAUAUUGAUAUAUAUCGAAAUAAAAGCAUUUACUUAUCUACAGGAGGAUAUCCUUCGGAUUCGCAGUGACAUUGUUUGUCGUUUGGUGCUUCAUGAAGAAAAUAAGCAGAGAAGUUUUGUAUUGGAUAAUGCUAUGUUACCCGCGGACUUAUUGAUCGGUUAAACAUACAUUUUCUAACUUAAUUGUGGUUGAUUGAUAUUGAUGUACAUUUGACGAAGACAUACUUUUUUUGGUUAUCGAUGGUCAUCUAUAAAAGAUUAUACUUGUUCAGAAGACUGAUAAAUUAAUUCGUAUUGAAUUUAUGUACAUAACUAUUCUCCCUAUCAUAAUUUCCAGGAAAAAAAAUCUGGUCACAUUUCAGUUUUAAUAACAUGUUCUAGGAUAGUUAGCCAAAAAUAUGCUCUGUGUGACAACAUUUUUUUAUUUACGUGACCACUAUUUUUCCAGAUAUGAGAAUUCGUCAGUCUUUAGGCGUGAAAUACAUGAAGCUUAUAAAAGAAGUUGUUUAUUGUUUGACAUGUUUUUAGUGCAAUAAUAAAAUAUUGUAUGACAUGCUUUUAGUGCAGUGAUUAAAUGUGAUUACAAUGUUCCGGGUUUAUAUUUAUAGCCGGUAAAGUAAAGUUAGCCAAAAAUAUGCUAUGUCUGACCACAUUUUUUCAUUUAUAUGACCACUAUUUUUCCAAAUAUUUGAAUUUGUUCGUCGUUAGGUGUAAAAUAAUUGUAACGCGUAAAAAGAAGUUGUUGUUUAUUGUUUGAGAUGCUUUUAAUGCAGUGAUAAAAUGUGAUUACAAUGUUCCGGAUAAUAUGCUAUGUUUGACCACAUUUUUUUCAUAAUCUCAUUUGAACACUGCACUAAAAGUCUUUCCAACCAGAAAUAAUUAGUUUUACAAUAUGCGCGUUUAUCACGCCUAAGGACGACAAGUUCUAAUUUAUGAAAAAAUAGUGGUCACACAUUUGUAAAAUUAUGGUCAUACAUGCCAUAUAUUUGGCUAGUUUAUCAUUCUCAGUUGUAACUAAUCCUGUUUUACGAUAAUCGAACACAUAAUCUCAUUUGAACACUGCACUAAAAGCCUUUCCAACCAGAAAUAAUUAAUUUUACAAUAUGCGUGUUUUUCACGCCUAAGGACGGAUAAGUUCUAAUUUAUGAAAAAAAUAGUGGUCACACAUUUGUAAACUUAUGGUCAUACAUGCCAUAUAUUUGGCUAGUUUAUCAUUCCCAGCUGUAACUAAUCAUGUUUUACGAGAAUCGAACACAUAAUCUCAUUUGAACACUGCGCUAAAAGUCUUUCCAACCAGAAAUAAUUAAUUUUACAAUAUGCGCGUUUAUCACGCCUAAGGACGGACAAGUUCUAAAGUAUGAAAAAAUAGUGGUCACACAUUUGUAAAAUUAUGGUCAUACAUGGCAUAUAUUUGGCUAGUAUAUCAUUCUCAGCUGUAACUAAUCCAAUUUUACGAGAAUCGAACACAUAAUCUCAUUUGAACACUGCACUAAAAGCCUUUCCAACCAGAAAUAAUUAUUUUUACCAUAUGCGCAUUUAUUACGCCUAAGGACGGACAAGUUCUAAAGUAUGAAAAAAUAGUGGUCACACAUAUGUAAAAUUAUGGUCAUACAUUGCAUAUAUUUGGCUAGUUUAUCACUCUCAGCUGUAACUAAUCCUGUUUUACGAGAAUCGAACACAUGAUCUCAUUUGAACAAUGCACUAAAAGCCUUUUCAAACUUAAGUUUGGUAACAUUUCACCAAAUCUUGUCAAAGAUGGGUAUUAGUCGCCCUUUGACUCAUGCAAAAGAUAUACAUGCCAAGAUUUUAUCUGUCAAUAAAGACACAAACAUUUUUUAUAUCAAAGAAUAAAACAUAACAACAAACCUCCCAAUAAAAUUUAUUACAUAACAGGCACAGUGACUCAUUAAACUGUAGGAUAGUUCAACAAUGUUAAUAACUAACAACAUACGGUGUUUCCAUUAAUAUUAUAGGUGCGACAUUGUCCUACUAAAUAAAAAAUAGCAUAAAAAAACAUCUACAUUGCAAUCAUAUCAAAACACUACACUAAUUUAAAUCUUCUUCUUUAUGCGUCCAUCCUUCACCCAUGGGGAAAGCAGAACCCCACUUUUUACACGGUUUCUUGGCUUGUCCUUAAUUAUAGUUAAGAGAUUUGAUGCAUGAUGUGCUACAUCAUAUGAUACAUUUGCCACCUCCCUUUCAAUAACUCUUUCAAUCUCAUCCAUGGAGACGUCCUCGUGGACACCUUCAUCAUUGAAGACACCUUCGUCCACAUAACUGGAUUGUGCACUACCGUAUAACUUCUUCAUCUCUCUAGUUUCCGAUUCAAGAAGAGAUAUCCUUGCGGAAAGUCCUUUGUUUGCUUCCCCCAACAGGCGAUUGUUAACAAUUAACUGACUGAUAAUAGGAUCUGGUCUCCAUUUAAUAUAUCCACUUGGCGCUCGAUCUAACGCCUCCCUCACAACUUCAUUUGCAACCUCUUCUUUAGUUGCACUUAACUCUUCAAUAACCUGUCAAGGUUGAUACAAUAUAAAUAUUAAUGAACUAUUGACACCGCUUAAACCCUAUAUACAAAAUUCAUAUAGAUAAAUAUAAAUAAUAAUAUUUAUUCAACCUUACCAAAUAAUUAUCAAGCAAGUGUGAUAUAUUUUUGCCAACCAAACUAACACCACGUGCCUUCAUAAAUCAUGGAAACGUCAAUGGAGAAUCAUGAUAACUUCGUUCGUAUCCUAGUACAUGCUCUAGAGCCCAUACCUAUAUAUACAUAUAUAAUACGACUAUUAUAAUUUAAUAAAAAUAAAUAAAUUAAAUUAAAUUGUUGCCAUAAAAUGGCAUGAAGACAAAGAGUGGCCUACAAAACAAACAUUAUUUCAUCUCCUAUAAAACUUCAUCCUAUGUCAUAUAGAGUUAUAAGUUGAUAUGCUCAAAUUCAACGACAAUCAUCUGUAUUUAAAAGUGCUUACAAAUUAUUACUACAUUUUAAUCUGAGUUACACUUGUUUCAGUCACAGUUACUAACAAGCUCUAAAUAUCAAUGAAUAAAAGAUCAAUUAUAAUCAUGUCAUAAUAUGACAUGAAGACAGAAACUAAACAUCAAAUUAAAGUUAAACUUCACAAUUUUUUAUGUAACCCAACAUAACUUGAAAUCAAUACUCAAGAAGUAAAUAAAGUCGGCAAACAUUUUUAGGCACCUAAUGGAGUUCAAGUCCCAAUUGUAUCUCCCAAUGGAGUUCAAGUCGUCUAACAUUUUUAGGCACCAACCACUAACCUUAACACUUGAAUUUGGAAAGUAGAACUCGGCAAAACCAAGAAGUAAAUAAAGUCGGCAAAACUUCUCAACAUCUUCGUCUCGUUCCAUAUUAAUAAUUUUAGCAUAAAUUGUUUUUACAUUGAUGACUUCAUUAUCGAACAUUGCUUUCGUAGUGGAUGUAGGGUCAUUUUUGAAGUUCAUCUUUUCACCUAUUAUACGAAGUCCUAAUGCAAAACAUACAUCUAAAGGUGUAAACCGUAUUAUCCGACCUUGUAUAGCAAACCCCCCACUCCUAUCAUCCCAUCUUUCCACCAAUUCUUCAAGCAAAUUUUCGGAUAUUUUUAAUUUCUUAGGCAAACUCAAUAACCAUUUAAAAGGUGUUUUCUGAAUUUCAGACCUUUGAAGUUCGGUAAGCUUCUCGUUGACUUUAGUAAUAUACUUCGACUUACAUUCAUGCCUGAGACGUAACUGUAAUAAACAAGAAUUCCAAAGGCGACAUAUAAGGAAAGGCAUUAAUAAAAACACAAAACACUAAUGAAAUCAAACAAACUAAUUGACAUUCAUCACAUACACAUACCAUUUUGUUGGCUAGACAAUGGUUGAAUUACCACGGGAACAGAUGUAAUUGUUAUUAGUGGUUGAGAAGACUACAACAGAUGCAAUUGUUAUCGUUAAUCAAGUGAAUUGUUACUGUAAAAAUAAAAAAUUAUAAUAUAUAUAUAUAUAAAGGCGUGUCAUCUUCACAACUUAGAUAAUUUACUUUACCAUCAAAUGCAACUGUCAAAUGUAAUCUUGAAUAAUUUAGUUCACAUCCACUACUAUUAUGUCUAGCUUUUAUCCACUAAUAUUUUUGUCUAUCAAUAUUAAGAAUUGACUUAUGAAUAUCAAUGAAUGACUUGCUUCAAAUGUCUAUGAAAAUUGAAUUGCUGAAUUUGAGAUUCAUAUUUUUUUUAAAUUGGAUUCAACUAGUUCGAUAUUUACUUAGUUUAGACAUAAUAGUAAUUUGCCUAAGUAUUAUAAUUUAGAACCUAGUAAUUCACCUGUGAUCUUGGUUCACUCUGUGAAAACGGUAUCGGUGGCUGCCGUGACCGUUUUCUAACGGCGAAAUCGCACUACAGGACCGUUUUUUAAAAUCUUUUUUGUUAAUAACUAUGUCUGCUAUAGGUUUAUUAUCUUUGAAUAAUUGAAAUCGCACACAGUUUUCUUUAAUAAUUGAAAUCUACGAAUUUACCAAGAGACUAAACCAAGCUUCAAAGACUGUCAACAAACUUUAUCACUCAAUAAAACAUUGAAAGAAAUGCUUAAAUUGUUUCAAAGAAAUGCUUACAUAAAUUAGAUCUUAGCCAGGACCAAAGAACAUUAGAUCACCCAAGAUCUCAGUCAAGACCUUACAUAAAUCACAAAAUCUAACAGCCAAGAGGAAGAGGAAUAUGAAAGAAAAUACCUUAGUUGAAAAAGGAACACUGUGAAACAGAUCGUCGGAGAUGGAGCAGGUGACGGCGGCGCGCGCUAGGGUUGAAUGGAAGAUGGAGCAGGAGACGGCGGCGCGGCUAGGGUGUAACGGAAGAUGGAGCAUAAGACGGCGGCGCGGCUAGGGUUGAAUGGAAGAUGGAUCAGGAGACGGCGGCUAGGGUUGAAGGAAUGAAUGGUGGUGGCUGAAUGAAUGGUGGCGGCGGAAUGAACCAGGUGAAGAAAGAGAAAUUUUCCAACAAAAUGAAUUGAAAUGAGAGAGGGUAGUAGGGUACGGCACAAAUUUUAAUUAGUUUUUUCAUCUUUGAUUUUUCUUUUUUGACAUGGAAUUGAUUUAAUUUUUUUAUUAUUAUUAUUUGUGGUGCCACAUAAGGGUGGUAUAAGGUGUAGUGCCACCUAUGGUGGUACACCUAUCACUGCUCCAGAAUGUAUUAGAUCUCACAAAAUCUUCUAUAAACCAAUAGAGAGAGAUACAUUGUCAACUGAAAUAUGCUGCAAUUAUCAUAUCAAAGCAAUAUGUUUAGAUGACACAAGUAUCAUAUGUAAAGAAAUGCUAUUAUUUUCUGAGAAAUAUUUGUCUUAUUAUUUUCUUAUUUCAUUUAAAUUCCUUUCAUUUGGCUUCAAACUAAAACCAGUGAACUAAAUAUGGUGUGGAGUUAGCAAACUUUAUUUUAAAUGAAUUUGAUUUUCGAAAUUGAUUUCAGUUGAAACUGAGUAUGAUGUGGAGUGAGUGAUUCAUGUUUGAAAACUUUUAUUUAAUUCAUUUUUCACUAUCAAUGAAGGGAUUCAUCAACUAACUAUAGACACUUAUAUUCAAAGCAUCCUCCAAAGUAUGAUGUGUUUGGAUUGCAUUACCAGUUGCCCUGAAAUAAGACACAUAUUUCAGUUUGGUUAUGAAAUGCUAAGGAUUGAUUUUCAACUCUAAAUCAAACAUUGCACAUUAUGAAAAAAUUAAUUCAUUAGAAUCACAUUCAAUCUUAUAUAAUAUAUUUAUGCAUUGUAAAGUAUUUGUGCGAACAUAUUGCUUUGCACUCUUUAUCUAAUAUUCGUGUAAUGUUGGAACCAUAAAUACUCAGUAAGCAAUGGUAAACAGUUCUAGCUUCUGCAUUUCUAGAUAUAUGAUAAUAAAUUAAGAAAUAACUAAAGACAUAAUUUACCAUAUCUUCAAUAAGUAUAUAUGAGAUAUGUAUUUUCUAGAUCUCUUGCAAAUCCUGAAGGAUCUAAGGGAAAAGAAGAGCUAAGUAUAGAGUGUAAAACAAGUAAUAUCUAUCAAUGAAUGAGAUUACUCAAUUUACAUAAGUUAUAAGGCGAUUGAUUCCUGACAUUAUUCAACUCAUAGAAAUUGAAGGACUAAUAAUAAUAAUAAUAUGAUUCCCUCAAAAAAAUAAUAAUAAUAAGAUUAAUUAAUUGAUAUAUAGGGAAGAAAAAAAAAAAGCAAACAAGAGAAGUGAAGAGAGAGAUGUGGAUAUGAAUGACUCCAAGCUCUUGCAAGAUGUGAGUCCCACAUCGGGUAGCAAGGGAAGCCACAAAACGCAUGUCCCUUAUAAAUUGAUACUUCUCACUUCUAACUGAAGCAUAGUGGAAUUGUAUAUUGCAUCAUUUUGUAAUAGCAAUUCAAUUUAUAUUUUAUUUGAAUCGCUUUGUGGUUCAAUGAUUUACGAUAAGACAGUUUUGAUUUUUUAUAUUAAAUUUGACAUUGUUAUGGAAAUUGUUGUUGAGCAUUCUUCAAUGUAUUUUUUAAUAUAUUAAAUUUAAUAUAAAAAAAUUAGAGUGUUAUAGUUUAAAUUAAAUUUAUUAUUAUUAUAGAUUUUGAAUUCAAUCUCAAAGUUUCGAUUUCCUUUGUGUUGGUGUGAUUUUGUGUUGUCUAUUGUGACCUUCAGCUUAAAUUAGUUGAUUGUUGUAUCCAAGAGAAUAAAGAUUACCAAACAUUGAGUGGAUAAAUCAUCCAAACUGUUGGUUUUGUUUGAAUAUGAAUGAAGCAUUUAAAAGUAUUAAAUAAAGAUUACCAAUCGAUUAACUAGUCUAAGUAGUCCCUCCCUCUUUUCUUGCUCUUGAUCAAAUAGGGUUGCUAAAAUACAGAUUAUAUGAUGGGAAUGUGGGAGUGUAGGAAAGCUUUAGCACAACUAGGAUUAAAAGUAUCUCCAAUUUGAUUGUUCAAGUCAAUCAAAUUCGGAGAUGGUUGUUCGUAUUUUCAAUAGUAGAAAAAAUUGUGAGUUUCAUGGGAUGGACCUUCACGUCAAAUAUCAAAUAUUAGAUUUCUCUAGAUAAGUUUGCUUUACGCAUAUUUAUAGGGAAUCCAAUAGAUAAGUUGUGUGUUGGUCAACAUGGAUUGUGUGGUAGAUGUGAACUAUCUAGAUUUCUAUUCAUCAUCACUAGAUUUUUAAUUAACCUUAAAGAACAAUUUUUUUUUGGUCAAGUAAUCUAGUGGUUAGAGAAAUUCACCAUGAAUAAAUGGGGUGUUCGGGGUCCGAACUCCGACCCCUGCACAAAUCGUAUAUUAUCUCUUGACAAACGAGCUAAGCUCAUGAGGACCUUAAAGAACAAUUUUAUUGAAAAAUGCUAUUAUUUUCUAACAAGAUGAUUCCGAAUUAUUGUGCACACAACAUAGUUUAGAGUCAUGAACUUGAUUUACAAAAUUGAUUAAAAGAAUAAAAGAAGGGUCAUAAACUAAAAAGAAUAAAAGAAACAACUCUUGAGACUAACAUAACUACACAUAUUCAAAUAAACUAAAACAAGAGUCAUAUUCAUUCUCAACAAAUGGAUGAUGAUACGAAAGUUGAGGAAUGCACAAUCACCGAUCUUUCGUCUAUUCAUUCUCAAAACGACGUCGUUUGUACUGAACCACUGUCCGAAACCACCGUCAAGAACGAACAGCCUCUUCCUCCGACCGCCGGCGACGAAGCACCUGUUUUGCCGGAAGAAGUCAACUUCGAUAUCCUUCUGAGGCUUCCUGUGAGAUCCCUUCUCCAAUUAAAGUGCGUUUCCAAAUCAUGGAAAACCCUAAUUUCCAAUCCUCAAUUCGCAAAGAGCCAUCUUCUCAGCUCAACAUCGUAUCCACAAUUAUUCACUUCCGCAGUCAAAAUCGGAGACCGUGAAAUCCUAUCUUACCCUAUGAAGCCAUUGUUGGAAAAUCCAUCAACCCCUGUUGAACCCGUUACUAUAACCAUGAGACACAAAUACAAUAUUCUAGGUUCGUGCAAUGGGUUGCUUUGUUUGUAUGAUUCUUCUCAAUCUAAUUUCAGAUUGUGUAAUCCUUCUAUCAAAUUGAAAUCGAACGGAUUUCCAAUUGUUGCUUCGUUCGAUAAUAAGAUUAUCACACAUCAUGGUUUUGGGUAUGAUCAAGUGAAUGAUAAGUACAAGUUGUUAGUUGUUGUACUCAAUAAGGAUGAUUUUAGUGAAAAAGUUACCAGAAUUUAUACUUUUGGUGAAAAUUCUUGGACAACGGUUUCAAAUUUCCCGUGUAAUCCUGGUAUGUGGUUAGGGAAGUUUGUGAGUGGCACUUUGAAUUGGAUCAUUAAUGAAGGUGGUGUUAAUUCUAAUCAACGGGUGAUUCUUUCGGUUGAUCUUGAGAAAGAGACUUAUGGCGAAGUGUUGCUUCCUCAACAUGAUGGUAACAGAUUUUGCAAUCCUAUGAUGUAUGUUUUGAGUAAUUGCCUUUGUGUGUGUUGUGAUCACUCAGAAACUCAUUUGGCCGUGUGGAUAAUGAAAGAGUAUGGAGUUGCUGAGUCAUGGACUGUAUUGACGAUCAUCCCUCGUGAGAAGUUAAUCUGGAAUUGUCCAAGGCAGCCUCAUGUUGAGCCCUUGUUUGUUUCUAAAGAUGGUGUUCUUCUAUUGAGAACCAUGCGUUCCAAACUUGUCCUGUGUAACUUAAAUAAUGCAGGGAUUGAUUAUGCUAGGAUUUUAGGCAUACUUGGGAGGGAUGUGCAUAUAUACUAUGAGAGUUUGGUAUCACCAUUUUAGCCAUAUUUGGACGGGAGAUGCAUAUUUACCAUGAGAGCUGGUAUUGCUGCAAUGGUAAAUCACAUUUCUGGAGUCUUCCAAAUUUUAGUUGCAUGAUGACUUCUGAUAAAAGCAACUAUAUCUUUUGCUUUAGAAAUUGGUAACCAACCCAGCUAUGCUUGGCGGAGCAUGUUCAACAUUAAAGAUGUGAUCGAUCUAGGAUCAAGAUGGUCUAUAAGUAAUGGGCAGAAUGUGAGAAUCUGGAAGGAUGAUUGGCUUCCCAACCAAACUGGAUUUAAAGUAUGCAGCCCUAUGGUAGAUUUUGAGGAAGCAACUUGUAUUAGUGAGUUAAUUGACACCAAUACCAAAAGCUCGAAAAGGGAUCUUGUCAGGAAUGUCUUCUCGGCCUUUGAAGCAAAACAGAUCCUAAACAUUCCCUUAUCUUGGAGACUUUGGCCUGACAGAAGAAUUUUGUAUUGGGAGAGAGACGGAAACUACUCAGUCAGGUCAGCCCAUCAUCUCAUCAAAGUGGCAACUAAGGAUUACCCUGAAGUAUCAUCAUCAAAUGACCAAUCUUUAUGGAAGGCGCUCUGGUUGAUUAAGGCACCUCAUAGUGUAAAGAAGAUCCGCUGGAGAUUGGCCAAAGAUAUCCUUCCAACAAGGAGCACACUGGCGAGGAAAGGUAUGAAUCUUAAUACAAUUUGAACGCUUUGUUUUGAAGCAGACGAGACUUUAGAACACCGGUUUAUGAGCAGUAGAUGCGCCCAACAAACCUGAUUCACUUCCACCUUAGGACUUCAUGUUCCUUCUCAUAUGUGCUUGAAAGUCUGGAUGUCUGAUUGGUUGUCAAAAAAAGACCACUUAGCAGCUCAAAUUUUUGGUAUCACUUUGUGGAAGAUUUGGCAAGAUAGGAACCAAAUGGUGUUCCAAAAUCAUCAAUUUAAUCCUAUCCAAAUAGCUACAUCAGCUGUGGAGUUCACAUUAGAAUUCAACCAAGCAAACCACUCUGCAAUUGCUUCUGCUUCAAGGAGAACUGAUAUUGAAUUCUGAUGCCCCCCUCCGCCGGGUGUGAUGAAACUGAAUGUGGAUGCAGGUUGCUUCAAGGAUGAUACAGUGGCUUGGGGAAUGGUAGUUAGAGACCAUAGAGGAGUCGUAGAAUUUGCUGUAUCAAAACCAGAACGAAGGCAACUAUCCUCUACUUUGACCGAAGCAUUAGCUCUUCGGUGGUGUCUCUAAUGGAAUCCUCACAACAAAUCAAGGUGGACAGUUCCUCAUUGAAACUGAUUUUGAAGUCACCGUGAAAUGUAUCCAAGGUCUCGUUCGGAUGGCUGGGAUAGAAAAUAUUAUUCUAGACUGCAUAGACAUUUUAUCCACUCUUUCCAAUUGUACUGUUGCUUUUAUUAAGAAAACUAUGAAUGGUGCUGCCCAUAGCCUAGUGGGAGUAGCAAAACAGUUUGAUUCUAACUCAUGGGUGGGAUAUGUCCCUGAACUCGCGGCCUCUGCUCUUUGUACUAAUAUGCUUUCCAUUAAUGGAAUGCAUGUUUGAUUGACAUAAAAAAGGUUAUAUCUUUUGCUUUAGAUCUUCUUUUGGCUUAACUCUAGUAACAUGGAAUAUGCAGUGUGAGUUGUUUUGGUGCAGUCUCAUCUUUGCCAUCUCUUAUAUUGUUAUCUAUCAGUAAUAUUGUUGGUUGAAUUAAAGUCACUAAUUUGAAGGAAUAAAUUAAUGUUUGUUGUGAUCUGAUUUUUAUUUAUUAAGAAAGUAUUAUUAUGUUAUGUCGUAAGAGACUUGAAUGAUAUUACUUGCAAAAACAGAGGAUUCACAAUUUUAAUCUACACUCGCAAGCUUUUAAAAAUAAAAUCUACACUUGCAAGAGUAAUUUGUUUGUCUAUGUAUGCCUUUCACAUUACAAUUACAUACAAAUUAUUAAUGUAACAAUCAAUUUGUUAGAAAAAUUGAGCCGUCUUUAUGUGUUACCUCUUACCAGUAAUCACAAUGACAAAGGAUUAUUGGUUUGACAAAAGAAUCACAUAAUUCUUUUCUUUUUUAAUAGGUUGAUAUUAUUUAUUGGAUCAAUGGUAUUUAGAAUUAGAUAAAUAAUGAUAUUUGGUAUCUUACCCUAGGAUAAAGUUUCAUUGGUCUCAAAUUGAAUAUGACUACAUGAGCUCCCAGACAAUGCUCAUUGAAAUUCUGAAAGAAAUAUCUACUAUGAUUAAAGUGAUUCGCAACAAUGUAGCUAAGUUAAUAAUGAGAUGCUAGGAGGUAGAUUUACUUUGAUCCUGCCUGCAACUGAAGAACAAAUUGGUUGUAGUGUUGGCUGCUGGUUUUUGUCUAAUAAGCUGUUACAUGAUUACUUUCUGGUAGUAGGUUGUGGAAAUUUGGUACUAAAGGAGUUGAGAUGGUUUUUGUUGAUUUAGGAUAAGCUAAAAAGCUGCUAACACACACCAAACUUGGCUUUAGAGUUUUGUUGCUGUCAACAUUAUUAGUAGUUCAUCAUCUUGAUCUGAAAGGUUAUGCAAGCCACACAUAUUUCUGUUAUCAGUCUGCAUUAGAUAGAGUUGUUCAUAAAGAUCUUCAGAAACCGAAUAAGCUUCAUCUGUGAAACUGAAUAAGAGUAAUGCUAUAUGAAACUGAUAGAUGGAUAUUCGAGUUGAUCAUCAAUUUUACCAAUUCAGAUUGAGGGAUACAAGGUUCUUGAAUUUUGAAAUAUACUUAAGUCCUCAAUCUGAAAGAUUCUGCAAACCUGACUUAUUUCUGAGGGCAUAUUUUCCUAUAAGCUUCAUUUGUGAAACUGAAUAAGAGUAAUGCUAUAUGAUUAAUUAAUCAAAUCUUAAAGCAAGAAAACUUGAACUUCAAUAUGUUGAGUUGCAGUGCCUACCUAGACACUACAUAGAGAUUCUGAUUCGGAAGGGAUAGACAUUUGUGCAACAACUGCUUCAGACCCUCAAUGAUUAACUUGACACACCUAUGCGUCAAAUUAUGAGCUGUGAUGGGUUGAACGGUUUCUCAUAGUAAACCCGUUAAAGAGGUCUCUACCUCUCGUGAUUCUAACCAAUCCAUUAUUCAUACAAGGGUCAUAUACAAAAGACUCGACCCAUGAACUUUGGAAGAGAAUGUGAUGCAGGCAUGAGGCACCGGUAGCUAAUACCUUAGCACCAAAGUGAGUAUACUCUAGUGAUUUUGAAGAAACUUUAGAAGAGUGAAUAAAUGAAACACAUUUCAUGACUCAGACAAGGGCUUUUCCCCUUCCUUUUUGCAUAAUAUAAUAUGAUAUAGGGUCCCUCCAUUGUAGCAAAUAAAAUAAACGUCACUAGCAUGGACACUUUCUCACAAAAUCACCAAGCUUUCCCAACAUUUUUAGUUUAAAACCACUUCAUCCAAUUCAACUAAUUCACAAAAUUUAUCAAAUGAUGCACACCAUGUAAAAAGUGGGAGAAAAGCAUAAUGUGUUUAGGUUGAGAUCUUAACUCUUUGAUGGUGUUUUUGUUAGUUGACGCACGCCUCUAAAGUAUUUGACUCACAAAGGAUGAACUGCCACCGUGAGCUUAGAGGUCUUCCACUAUAAUUUUUGGAAACUUUAAUGUGUUGGUUUUGGUAUGCCAUGAUUUUGGUCCUUUCCAAACACUAUACAAUCUAUAGGUCCGGGAGUAAACGCUCCAUCGCCAAACAAUUUCGCUAAUGCAAACUGUUUUGUUUACUUCGCAACUACAUAACUAUUCAUGUCAAAAAGAUUAUUUGAAUACAAGUUUUAUCAAUGCCAUGAAACACAGACAAAUCUAUUUAUCUCGUAACUAAUCAACUAACAGCGUUUAAUGUAGCACCGACGUUUAGAUUGAAGGUGUGUCCAAUGUCCAAUACGUGUCGAUGUCUGAGACCAACAGCUAGUUACAUUCUAUCACUUCAAUCUUAAAUUGUUACCGGUGUCUAUGUGUAGUGUCGCGCAGUGUCCAUAACUCCAUAUCUACGUUACUGUUCAUAGUCUACGCUAACUAAAAUAACGUUUUCUUAUCUUCUAUCCUACAAUGUACCCGAAGGAGGUAUAAUUCACCCCAAUUUUCCUUUCAGCACGCCAAACAAACAAGUUCAAACAGCUAGUGAAAGGCUACUAAAAACCAUACAAUUCAUCAUUUAAGUAAUGAUAUUUACAACCUCAUAAUGCAUUAGAUCUCACAGAAUCUUCUGAAAAUCAAUGCAGAUACCUUAUCAAGUUUAGUAACUCUAGUUUUGGGUAAUUGUCAGCAACUAAUUGUACGCCUUGGUCUGAAAUAUUCUGCAAUCAUCAUAUCAAAGCACUUAGUUCAGAAGACACGAGCACCAAUUUUUUUAAUGAUACUAUUAUUUUCUGACGAUAUGAUUCAAAAUUCUUGCGCACAAAACAUACUUCACGAUCACGUGCACGAACUUGAUUUGUAAAACUUAUUUCCAUUAAAACUGAGUAUGGAGUGGAAUGGGAGAUUCAUUUUUUGAAAACUUAUUUCAAAUCAAUUGUGUCUGCAGUUCCUCACUGUAUGAAGUAGUCGAUUAUCAGUUAUCCUGUAAUAGGACUCAUAUUUCAGUAUUGUUGCUAAGGAUUAACUUUUAAAUCCAAAGUGAGGUUUUCAACUGCAAAAUCAAACAUUGCACAUUUAGAAAAAAUUGAAUGCACCUCACAUUCCAGUAGAUGGAACAGGUUUCUAGCUGAGGACAACAACUGGUUAUUGCUUCAAUUCUUAAGGAAGUUCUUGGAUAUAUGUUACCUUAUCUUUAAUAAGUAUGAGAUAUGUGUCUUCAACAUCUCUUGCAAAUUCCAGGUUAAUCUCCUUUACAUGGCUGGCUAUAAGAAUAAGUAGCAAUCUCCUUUACAUGUGUCUUCUUUCCUUUCCUUUCCUGCAAACGAAGAAAAUGUAGUUUCCAAUACCUUGCAUAAUAGUCCCACAUCGGGUACCCGAAGGAACACACAACAAGCACGUCCUAUAUAUAAAUAACAAAGUAUUUGAUGAAGUGAAACGUGUACUGUGGAUCAUUAAUAAAUAAAUGAGAAAUCAUAUUUAUAUAAAAAUUUCAUUACAAUUUUUUGAUAAUUUUCUCUCUCAUAUGCAUAUUUAUAUUGUGAAGAGAGAAAUAAAAAUUGUUAUGAAUGGUUGUACAUAUAUCACUACUCGUUAAAUUAAAUAAAAGAGAGUUUAAAAGUUUGAUGUUAUUAUUACUUUUAAUAUAUGAAAUAGAAUUUAUUAAAUCAAUAAUAAUAUCAAUUUUUUGACUCUUUUUAAAAAAAAUUAAUUUUUUGAAUUCUUUUUCAAGAAAAUCCAUUUUUUGAUUUCUUUAUAAAAAAAGUAAUUUGUUUGGAUUUUUACAAUAUUAACAAGAAAAAAAAAAUCAAUAUUGAAAUAAAAAAUUCAAGAAUUGGUUAUCUUAUUAAAUUUAUGGAAAAAAUAUGUUAAGAUUAUCUUCUAUGUUCAAUAACUUUAUUUCUCCUAAAAGAACGCAUUCCUUUCUUUAGUUUGGCUCUUUCUCUAUCACUAUUGAACUUGUUUCAAUUAAUUUACUUUCUUUUCUUAAUCUUGUCUAAUGCUUUUCCAAAUCAAGGAAGAUGAUGAUAUUCUACCAUUUCUUCAAUUGUUGUUGGGAGAGAACUGAAGAGACAAAGAGAGGCAUGAUAAAUGUUGUAUUUUCCCAUGUUUAAGUUAUUUAUUUAUUUAAAUAAAUAAGUGGUUAUGAAACUGGAGGCUCAACUCUUAGAGUAAAAGAGGGCCCUUAAUAAAAAAAAUUACACAAUUUUUUUAAAAGAAUAAUCUUCUAUUUAAAUUGAAAAUAACACUCGUAUAAUAAUUAUUUGUCACUAAAAUCAAAAUUAACAAUUAUUUUUACUAAAACGUGUUUUUUAACUUAGACAUAAAAAUAUGGAACAUGAUUUUUUUUUUACUUAGAAUUUUUUUUUUUAACAAGUUUUUUACUUAGAAAUUGAAACAUGAAACAUACUUAUUUUUCUUUUCUGAAUGGAGGUGGGGAUAUUGAGCAAUCAUUUUUUUUUCUUGAGUCCCAUCAUUUUGGGAGGCCCAGCUCGGUUGAACUCUUUGCACUCUGCACUCUCCAAAGAACGGCUCUGCCCACUAGGUGCAUGUAGUGGUAGUUAAUCAAAAAAAGGUCUUUAUUCUUUCCCUUAAAUUUAAUAAUUGUCCAUAAUGAAUGAGUGGAAGAACCAUUUUUUGUUUUGCACGUACCGUAACUUCUUAAUGACAGAAGUUAUAUAAAGGUGUGCAAUUCAUUGUUUUUGGUUUCCUAAAUCUAACAUUGUAGAAGGUUUAGUAGAGCCAAAAACAUUCUCAAGCAAGAGCAAUGGCUGAACACAAUCCAUUUUCGUUUCCACCGUAUAAAUAGAAUUUCAUUUAUGAUUAUAUAAAAAUUAGAAACUCUUAAAUUGGAUUAUUUAGGAAUGUACUAUCAUGUGAAGCACAUAUAUUGGUAAUAUGUCAAGGCCAACAAAAUAUUUUUUAACUCAGAGUGCACCAUCCAAUACCAAAUAUCUCAGAGGUGCAACUCUUUGCAAUGGCUAUAACCCCUUCAUCAGCCACGCAUACACACCUACAUGUAAAAUUAGAUACAAGUUGUAUCAUAAAAUGUAUUUCAAAUAUUCAUGUUUACCAAGUUAGAUUGAGUGAUACAAGGUUCUUGCAUUUUGAAAUACAUCGUGUUGAAAUAUAAUUCUAAAAACAAUCGUGGCGCGAUGCUUCUCCAUCGUGGCAUGAUUCUCUAGAUUUUUGAUUUUAAGUUAACUCUCACAGUUAGAGUCAUGGAAGACUAUAAAUAAGCUACUCCAUUGUACCAUUCAAUCAUCUUUUAUCAAAUCUAACUCUUUUACUAUGUUUUCAUUUGGGCUUUUACCUCAUGAAUAUAACUAUGCUAGCUAUCUUGCUUACAUCUGUGAUCUUUCUCCCUUCGAUUCCACGAUUCUUAACACUAGUCUUUCUUUUUCUAGAAGAUGCUCUAUUCCUUGUCAUAAAAAAUGCUCUUUUCGCCAAGAAUAUGAAGAAUUGUUUUCACCGACAAAAGUUGUAGGGAGCACAGUUUUGGUUCAAUUAUUGCUUUAUCUUUGAAGGUCUGAAUCUUACACCAUAUUUGGUUUCUUGUAUCAUAUUAGAAAAGCUUGUUUUCAAUCAUUGGUGUAUUUUAUUCACUAAUGUUUGAGGUUAAAACAGAUUCAAAACUUUUGCUUCUUGAUGUUAAUCUCAAUCGAGAGGUUUGUGUGGGUUUGGAGUUAUAGUUUCAGCUUUCAAAUAUUCGAAAUGUUUGAGGUUAAGUUUUUUUUAUUUUUUUGUGGAUAAGCUAAUUAAUAUGGUUUUCGAUAGUCCUAUUUAUGGUGCUAGUCAUCAAGUUUAUGAUUUGGUUCCUAUUUGUAUCUAUCACUUUUAAAUAAAUGUUAUUUUUUAUUUUGGUAAAAAAAACAAAAAAUGAAAUUGAAUUUGUUUUGGUAAAAAAAAUUGAAAUUAAUUAAUUAUUAAAAGAUGGAAAAUAAUUUACUCCCUUUGUUUUAAAAUGAAUCUCACUAACAAUAAAAUUUUGUUUUAAAAUGAAUGUCAGUUAUACUUUUCAAUUUUGAUUUUUUUAUUUUUUACUUUCAAUAUUACCAUCUAAUUAAUCAAGUGUACACUACUUCCAAAUUAUUACACCAAUAGUAAAUAAAGUUAGUUUGAUAAAAUUGUCAAAUUUUUUGACACCAUCAUUACAUUUUUUAAUAUACAUAUAAAAACCUUAAACGACAUCCAUUUCAAAACGGAUGGAGUAUAUUGAAAUAAAUGAACACAUGUACAUGUCAUUAACUAAAUAGGAAAACUGUUUUUUUAUUUAGAAAACUAUUUACAAUGCCGGGUGUUGGACCAUUUGACUAAUUUUUAUCUUUGCAUUUUUUUUCUUUUUCCUUUCAAAAUAUAGUGAUCACUUCUUUUUUGCCGGAUCAAUACAUUCACUACUACGAUUUUCUGGUGUAAACUAUAUAUUUUUUUACGCACAAUAACAGAGACUAAUUUGAAUCCAAAACCUCUAUUUAAAUUUGAAGAUAUCACUUAUUAUCUCAUUCAAGUGUUCUUGGGUCGCUCACUACUCAGAUUUUAGUUGUGUUGUGCGUUUUUUAUUGGAUGUGCUUGUGAUAAAAAUUUACUCCGUAUACAAUAAUUAGAUGUCUGUAAAGUUUUCACACACAAUUUUUACUCUGUUUGCAAUAAUAAGAUGUGUGUAAAGUUUUCACACAAAAAAGUGUAAAGAGUUACUUUAAAAUAUCCUUAACAUAUAAAUUAAUUCUAAUGAUCGAAAACAAUAAUCAAGCCUCCCCUUGUUAAGUUGAGACGGUCAUUUGCGGUGAAAUCUUGUCACUUGUAAUUAGUAUCUAAAGUUAUAGUAUUGUUCACUAAAUCACUAUUCAAUGGUUUGUCCUAUAUUUUUUUGGUUCAUUUCAUAUACUCCGUUGGUGUAAAUUUGUUUACACUGUCAAUGAAUCUUAACCGUUAAAUCUUUAAAAACAUUUAAUUUGUAUUAUAACCGCUUUUAAGUCGUACAAACUCAUAACUUUAUUUCUCCUAAAAAAACACAUACCUUUAUUUAGUUUGGCUCCAUCUCUAACACUAUUGAACUAGUUUCAGCUAAUUUACUUUCUUUACUUAAUCUUGUCUAAUGCUUUUCCAAAUCAAGGAAGAUGAUAUUCUACUGUUUCUUCAAUUGUUAUAGGGAGAGAACAGAUGAGAUUGAGAGAGGUAUGAUAAGUUAUUAUUAUUUUUUUGUGAAAAGGUAUGAUAAGUUAUUAUUAUUUUUUUGUGAAAAGGUAUGAUAAGUUUUGAAUAGGGCUUGGAUGUUGUAUUUUUCCCAAGUUAUUUAUUUAUUUAAAUAAAUAAGUGAUAAUUACCCAUUAGAUGCACAUAGGGGUAGUUACCUAUUAAUCAGAAAAUGGUCUUUAUUUUUUUCCUUAAUUUAGUAACUAUCCAUAUUAAGUGAGUGGAGGAGCAGUUUUUUGUUAUGCUUACGGUGACUUCUUGUUGGCAUAAGUUGAUAAAAGAGUGCAGCUCAUUGUUUUUGAUUCUCUAAGCUUAACAUUUCUAUGAAUAAAACUUACACCAUCAAAGUGAGAUUGUAGAAGAUUUAGAAGAGGCAAAAACAUUCUCAAGCAAUAACAAUGGUUGAAGGGUAUGUAUUUAUUACAAUUCAUUUUUCGUUUCCACGGUAUAAAUAGAAUUUCAUUUAUGAUUAUAAUUAGAAAUUCUUACAUUAGAUACAUCUCACAUGGUGUUAUAACGAGUUUGAAGAUAUGCACAGGUAUGCUGCCGCUUCUUCCUACAUAUGAAAAGAAAAUGUAGUCUUGCAUAAUAGUCCCACAUCGGAUACUUGGGGAACCCACAAAAUGCAUGUUCCCUCCUAUUAAGCAGUUGAAACUUUUUUUAUUAAAUUUGAUUAAAUUAUAACUUUUGUUAUCUUUUAUUCAAUUAAGUGAAAAUGCUUCAGCUACAUAUAAUAAAGUAAUCAAUUUUUUUCUUAAAAAAAAUUAAUCAAAAGUAAUCAUUUUAUACAUUUACAUUGGGUGUGAUAAGUUUUGAACAGGGCUUGGAUGUGGUGAUUACACCUUUUUUUUUAUUUUUUUUAUUUUGCUUAAAUGCAGUAUUUUCCUUUAUGUUUUAAAAUGUUACGAUUUUGAUACCUUAAUAUAAGAUUUUAUUCACUAAGUAUAUUGAGUAGAAUUUUUAUAUCUGGUAAUGUAGUAUGAUUAUGUAACAUGUCUACUUUUGGAGAUGUUUUAUUUUAGCUGAUGAUGAGAUGUUAUUAUUAUUCCGCCGCUGCGAUGUUUUGAGAAAAUAAUCUAUGCAUGUUGUUGAACUUAUAGAAAAAAUAACAUCUAAAUCCUUUGCAUGAUUUAUAUUAUUAUUUACCUAAUUUAUCGCUUUAAAGGUUUAUGGUAUUACAUUUCACACAAAAUUAAGGAUAAUUUAUAAAUGAAGGAAAGAGAAUAACAAUUUUAAUUAACUAUUGGUUGAUUCUUACCUUCUUAUUAUCAUAAAUACAAAAUGGAAAAUUAAGUUCAUGUUCACAUAAUAUAUAGUAUGAUCACUAUAAGAUAAAUUAAGUUCAUGUUCACAUUUGUGCCGGUAAGAUCACUAUAAGUUUUUAAAUUAUAUUUGAAUGUCAUGAAAAAACAAGCUGCAAUAUACGAUGGGAAGCACAUAUAUCUGUAACAUGACAAGGCCAAUAAAAUAUUUUUCAAAGUCAAAAGAGUGCAACUCAAAUAUCAGUGUUAUAAACUUCUCAUAUAAUGAUAUAUCUCAGAAAUUCACCAGAGGUGCAACUCUUUGCAAUGGCUAUAACCCCUUCAUCAGUCACGCACACCUAUCACGUAAAAUUAGAUGCAACUCCAUUACGUUCAUCAUAAAAUGAGGUACACAGAUAUUGCGCGAUACAAGGUUCUUGCAUUUUGAAAUACAUCGUGUUGAAAUAUAAUUCUAAACUCUUGUAUAUGUUUUGUUUUGUACUACGUUUAGUUGGUUAGUAACCACGUGAUAAGACCUUCCUUGUGAUUUAGGCAAGCUUGGUACAACUGAAAAUGAAAUGGUGGAAAUUUUAGUGAUGAAAAUGCUGAAAAACUGUGUUCUGGUCUACAAUUUUUGAACUAUUUCAAAAUAAAUGCUGAAUAUUGUAUUAAAACUGCAUUUAGUUGUAUAAACAUAUCUAUAAUUAAGAAUAAUAUUUAAAGCACCUCAAAUUCCAGUAGACAGAAAAGGUUUUCAGCUGAAGACAGCAACCAGUAUUGCUUCAACUUAAAUAUGUUACCAUAUCUUUAAUAAUUAUGAGAUGCGUGUCUUCAACAUCUCUAGCAAAUUCGAGGUUAAUCUCAUUUACAUGGCUAUAUCUAGGCUACAAGAGGAAAUCAAAUUCAACUUCAAGUCUAAAACACCAUUAAUCACAAGGAUCUGACAACUAUAAACUGAGCAACUCAUAGUUGUGAAACAUGUGAAUGAACCAAUGAUUGACACACAUACAUAUUUUAGAGAUGUGGAUGAAAUCUCUUACUUAUUUGAAUGAGAGAAAUAAGGAUUUUAGUUUGUUUCCACCCAAAAGAUACUUUAGAGUUGUGGAUGAAAUCUCUUAGUUACUUGAAGGAGAGAAAUUAGGAUUUUAGUUUGUUUCCACCCAAAAGAUACUUUAGAGACGUGGAUGAAAUCUCUUAGUUACUUGAAGGAGAGAAAUUAGGAUUUUAGUUUGUUUCCACCCAAAACAUAUUUUAGAGAUGUGGAUGAAAUCUCUUACUUAUUUGAAUGAAAGAAAUUAGGAUUUUAGUUUAUUUCCACCCAAAAGAUAUUUUAGAGAUGUGGAUGUAAUCUCUUAAAUACUUGAAUGAGAGAAAUUAGGCUUCAGUUUAUUAUUGCCACAAAAAAAAGGAAGGGCACGUACCCGUUAAAGGAAGAAAAAAAAAUCUGCCAUUGGUGGAAAAUGUUUGCAAUACAUUUUUAAGGGAUUCUAAUGUUGACUAAAAAUUCCCAUUUUAAGUUUAACAUAUUCCAAAUAAGACAAUUAAUUAUUUGAAAAUAUGCUCUUUCAGAAAUGUUACUAAAAUGAAAUAAUUGUCACCAAAAGGUAGUACUUGUUAGUAAUAAUGUUACUAAAAGUGUCACCAAAAGGUAGUAAUUGUUGCUAAUAAUGUUACUAAAAGCCAUGUUACUAAAAUGCUUCAGUAACACAGCCAUGCUACUAAAUUGAUUCAGCAACACAAAAACAUACACACACAUAUAAGUUUCCCUUGUUAGCAAAAUUCACGUUACUAAAUUGUUUGAGCAGCACAGACACAAAUAUAUAAAUAAAAAAGCAAAGCAAGCAAGGCUAAAUUAUUUAUGAAAUUCAAGGGACAUUUGCUAAAUUCAAAGACAAAAAAAUUAGAUGCUUCCAAAACUCUAAGAAACUAAAAAUUAAAAUUCAAACUGGAAAAGUCUUGCACAAUUUAUCUAAACAUGGACUAAUUGUAAAUAACAUCAAGGUAAAUGGUAUCAUGUGACCCAACCAUCGGAGCACCCCCUCUGAUCUUCACACCUUCACGGAGCCUGCGAGCUUCCACAAACCUUUUCCAACGCCUUCCUAUCUUGAAGUGUUCCUAAGGAAUAGUUGCAAAAGUUAGCUCACACACCCAUAUGUUACCGUAAUCGUCGAUAAUAUUCACAGUUGUUAAGAGUGUAUCAAGCAUCUGCGGAACAUUGCCGAUGUAAAGUAGAAUCUGCAAAAUUAGAAAUCCAUGUAACUUAUAUCAACUAAACGAAAAAGGAACAAAAAAAGUUAAGGUGGACACGAAAAGUGUAUCAUACCAUGCAACCUUUAGUAACAUCAUACUCAAUUAAUUUUUUUUCGAAAUCAAGAACCAUGUCACUGAUAUUGUGACGAUAAGCGAGAAGAGAUGUUAUUGGGGGGAGAUAGUCAUUGAAAGUUGCUUGCAAAUUCAUCUUGUCAAGAAGGAAAUGCAUGGGGGGAUUAAAGUUUCAAGUUCCUCUAUAACAAUCAGGAACGAUUACCAGUGAGGCAGUGGUAUGACAGCAAAGUCUCAAUGUUUCUGGAAGCCUUGAUUAUGAAAUUUCGGUUUAAGAGAAAGGUAUGGAUUUUCUUCCUAUUAUACCCUCAUAAUUUUUUGCAUGGCCUCCUCCUACUCUGAUGAAAAUGAGUAUGGAGUGGUGUGAGUAAUUCAUGUUGAAAAACUGUUAUUGAGUAAGCAAUAUAUAUUCAGUAAUAAGCAAUGAUAAACUGUUCCAUUUAUGUGAAAUUACUGAUGAUUUAUGUUAAAGAAAAAUCAAAUAGGACUUCCAGUUAUUGGAACAAUUUGUGCUGAAAAUUUACAUAAUCUUCUUUCCCUUUAUAAAUUACUCAACUUACAAAUGAAGAAAAAGUCACAAUGAUACAAUCACAAUGAUACAAUCACAUAUUAGAUGUUAGUUCGCCCGGCGAGCGUCACAGUUAUUGGCUCGCCAAGCAAGUAGUCCUAUGCAGUAAAGUAUUUUCUAAAAAGUGCACUGUUCAUACUCAGGGACCUAAUUGCAAUUUCAGGAUGAUUAUUUUGUAAAUUGAAAGUAACCAAUGUAAAGUCAGUAUAGGCAUAAGAUAUCAAUGCGUAACACACGAGAGUUUAACUUAUAUAUGUAUAUGUAUGACAUUACUCGGGUUGGAUUCUAACCCUUAGAAAUGAGAAUUUUAGUAGAGACUCGACUCAGAUAGUCGAGACUAGCUAUGAUAUUAAUGAAUUAGAGGCAUAUUAGAUACAUGCUACAGAGAUCAUUGCAUGUCAAUAGGUCGUGGCUCAGGCAAGCUGCAGACUAUGUCUGGAUAGGUCAGCCCGUUAGGGAACCUUCAUCACUUUUCGACAUCUGUAUAUAUGCAGAUAAUAAUCAUAAUAAUCUGUGUCCCUCAGCAAGCUCCAAGUUCCGCUGGAUGGGUUUAUCAUAGAUGGUAAACCACACGUAGUCAGAGGAGUUAUGGUGAUUAGCCUUAUAUAGGAGUUUCACCAGAUAGCAGAAGGAUGAUGACCGGGGUUACUCCACUCGAGAUCCAUUCCAUAAAAUGAAUCCAGAUAAUAAUGUUUGUUCAACGCGAACUUUCUAACAUUAAAAUGAAAACAAAAUACGAAUAAGCUUAUGUACAGGAUUAGACAUUUGAUAGAAAUCAAAUAACGAUCAUAGUUUCCCCCGAUCGUUUAGUUAUGUAGAAAGAACGGUAUAAGCCCGAAAUGGGUUGAGUUUAGUCAGAUGGCGAUCAUAGGUUUCCUACAGCCUAGAAUAUGUGGAAUUCACUGGGACAUCAUGUCUCAUCCCAAUUAUUUUAUUAAUUUUAUAGAUCAGCAGGUUGCUCGUAGCAAGAGGUAGCAGAUAUUUAAUCGAAUGGUUCAUCGUUAUUUAGUACUAAGUUAACGUUCAUGCUAAAUAUUCUAGAUAAAUUUAGUAUGAGUGUUACAUUAGCCCUGUAGUUUACCAAAAACACCGGUAAACAUCCGUGCGAUGCAUGGGCAGGAAUCCAAGAAUUAGCUAGCUUUUGAUGGUUUUACAAUCACUUCUCUGCAUUGGCAUAUACAAAUGGAAACAUUUAAUUACCUAACAACAUUAAAAAUUGUGAAUGCAUUGAGAUCUUGUGUAGGAAUUUUAAAAUACUUAUAGUUCAUCUUUCCCCGUAUCUUUGAGAAUUUUUUUAUCAAAUUGACAUGUAACUUUGUUGGAUUAUAUAUGACGUCUAGUUUCAGUCUUUAUGAUACUUUUUGUUCUCCAAAUAGAUUUACACUUUAUUUAGGAGUUUGGAAGGAAGAAAAGGGAGGACUUUGGGGCUGGUAAAUAUAAAGGGAAAUAGAGAAUUUCCACUUUUUUGAAAAAAGUUUUUUCGACAAUGAUGAUGAUAAAUUAAUGUUUAUUACUAAUAUAUUUUUAAUUUUAAAAUAUAACAUAUAUUAUUAUAUUUAAAAAAUUCAUAUAAAUCAUCCAAAAUCAUUCUCCAAUACAAUUUUUGAAUUGGAAGAAUUUUUUUAUCAAGAAUAAUGAGCUCCCAAGACCCUCAAAAUCGUUUAUAGUAGAAUCUUGUGAGAAUUACCUGCUGAAACUAUUAAAAUAUUGCGAACAAAAAAUCUCUAAUUACUAUUCAGUGCAUAGUACCUUUCCAACCUUCUUUUUUGGAUGGUGUAUUCAAGACUUUAACAACUAAUUUUUGCAUACACGUACUAAUUAAGGACAACAUAGGAAACUUGAUUUCCCUUUUUCUUUUAAUUGGACUGGACAAAAUAGGAAAUAAAUAAAAGUACUAUUUAUUUAUUAAUUACUCCCUCCAUUCAUUUUUAGGUGUCGUUUUAAAAUUUUAACACAAAAAUAGCGUAUUGUAUCGCACACUUUUUUCUAUUAUACCCUCAUUAUAAUCCAUUGAUAAUUUUCUAUCUUUUGCACACACUUUAUCUUUCCAAUAAAUUUAAUAUGUAAGAAACAAUUGUUAGCUAUUACUCUAUUUCUCCAACAAAUUUCUAAUUUUUUGCGCACAUCUCGUAACAAACAAUUUUCAAUUUUUAACUAAUAUUAACAAAAUUUUGUUUAAAUUUGAAGAUAACAAAGAAACAAAUUUUGGUUUUAAAACAAAACAAACAAACUUUGUUUAAAAAAAAAAAAAAAAACUUUAGUUUUCAAAAUGUAUAAGUUUUCAAACAUUAAUCAGUUUUAUCAAAAAAUAUAAGAAUAAUUGACCAAAAUAUAUAAUUGACGAAUCGUACCCUUAUAAUACCAAAACAACAAUUAAAUAAGCACUUAAAUAAAGAACGGGAGUAAUAAAAGAAACUGCAGGUAUAGGGUGUACCAAACUAAAAAAGAAAUAAAGUAUUCUACCAAAAACUAAAAAACCAAACGUUUAAUAAGUCCUUCUAGAAACAUCCAUCUAUAGAUGAAAAUCUUCAUUAGGUAAUAGACAAUCACAAUGGUCUAAUUCGUAGCUGUAAUCAGCAAAUUGAUUUACGCCAAUUGUAUAACCUGUGAAAAAAACAAGAAACAAAUAUUAAAGAUACAACUCAUCAAUUUUUUACUAAGUCAUAAAUAUAAAUUAACUUAUACAAUACAAUAACAUAUUACCUGCAGCUGUGCUGUUAAAGUUCUCUAUGGAUUCCAAGGUCUUCUUGAAUAUUUCUUUGCGUAUUUUCAUCUCAGUGCUGUUUGAGUAUGUUCGAUUAUAUUCCAGCAUCCAUUGUUGAAAAACUUCAUCAACUGAUGAGGAUGAUUUUUUUGGGAGUGUUCGAGACAUGGCUGCAGGGUAUGCACAUGCCAACAAGAUGAUGAUGAAAAUUGUAACAAGCUUCAUUUGAUUAUUUGAUAGAUAGAUCACAGAGAAUGUGUUAAAUUUGUGAACAAAGUGAGGAAGCGCAUAAAUAUAUAAAGGAGAAAACUUAGGUACAAUUCCUUAGAUACUUUUCGUAUGGUUCUUAACUAAAUUCACUAUGAUUUCCUCAAAUUCAUAAUUUUCUCAAAGUUUGUUAUAUCCAAAAAAUAUAUAUUUUUAGUUAAGAACCAUACGAAAAGGACCUAAGGAAUUGUACCUAAGUUUUCUCCAUAUAUAAAUAUAUAAGAAAGAUAUGGGUGGGGCUAGGGUUUGUUAUAUUUUCAUUACGAAAGUUUUGGGCUUUUUUAAGGGUAUGAUUUGUCAAUUAUAUCCUUUGUCAAUUACUCUUAUAUUUUUAAAUAAAACUAAUUAAUUUUUUUUUUGAAGGAAAAUAAAACUAAUUAAUGUUAUAUAUUUAGAAAAUUAACACGAAAAUAAUGAAGUGUAUUUUUGCACAUUUUCUUCCUAUUAUAAUCUCAAUUUAAUCCACCAAUAUAUUCUUAUUUUUUGGCACACACUUUAUCUUUUCAAUGAAUUUAAUAUGUUAUAUUUAUCUUGUAACAAAUAUUUGUUUUUUUUUUUAAGAUCGUAACAAACAUUUGUUAGUUACUAUCUUUCAAAAAAAAACAUUUGUUAGUUACUAUCUUUUUUUCAACAAAUUCUUUUUUUUUUUUUGCACAAUCUUUGUCUCAUAACAAACAAUUGUCAAAUAUGUUCUUCCUAUUGAACAUUCAUGGAGAUUUUAUUUUUUCUUCAAUUAGUCUUCCACUCUUUCUUCCUUUUGAACAUUCAUGGAGUUUUUAUUAUUUUUUUCUCUCAAAUCUGUUCUUUUACUUUGCACUUAAAUUUUUUAACAAUUAUUCAUCUUAUUCAUAGAAUUUUAACUCUUCAUAAAACCAUUAAUACAAGUAACAAAAUUUUGUUUAAAUCUGAAGAUAACAAGAAACACAUUUUGUUUUAAAAAAAAAACAAACAAUCUUUGUUUAAAAGAAGAAACUUUAGUUUUCCAAAUAUAUAGCAUUAAUUAGUUUUAUUGAAAAAGAUAAGCGUAACCAAACAAAGAAAAAGAUACGAGUAAUUGACAAAGGGUAUAAUUGACAAAUCGUAUCCUUAAAAUACAAAAACGACUGUUAAAUAGGAACGAAAAAAUUCACCCUUAAACGAAACUUAAAAAGGAACGGAGAAAGUAUAUACUAACAAUACAAUCUUACCCCUUAAUUUUUUGACACGUCGUCAGAAUUAUAUCAUAUUUUUCUCUAUUUUUCUCUCUCUUAAAGGCAAACUACAACAAACUCACUUACUAACAUAAUCUUUUUUUUCUAAAAACAAACUUACUCUUAAUCACAAUCAAAACAAAUUUUCCUAUAAUUUAAUUUACAAUGCGUAUUUUUGCACAUUUUCUUCCUAUUAUACCCUCAUAAUUUUUUGCAUGGCCUCCUCCUACUCUGAUGAAAAUGAGUAUGGAGUGGUGUGAGUAAUUCAUGUUGAAAAACUGUUAUUGAGUAAGCAAUAUAUAUUCAGUAAUAAGCAAUGAUAAACUGUUCCAUUUAUGUGAAAUUACUGAUGAUUUAUUUUAUAGAAAAAUCAAAUAGGUUAGCAAAUAUAUCAAUUUUCAGAAUCCCUAAGAUAUCAGUAAAUGUUUGAUUUUCUCACAAUAUCCUAUAAUGCAAAUUCAGAGAAUAUAAUAGUAUAAGCAUCUUCUUGCUCAACUAUCAUGGAUGGACACAAAUUAGAGUGUGAAAUAAGUGAAUAAACCAAUGAUUGAAAUUGCACUCACAUACAUAACAAAUCGUAGUUGGGUUGAAAUACUAACUAUUGAUUUUCUCAUCAAUGAAUGAGAUUACUCAAUUUACAUAAGUCAUAUCGCAAUCACACAAGUUUAAGGGAAAAAUAUGAAGAUCAGAGAAAAAUACUAAAUUGAUUUCACUACUGGAUAGAGCAAAAUUGAUUUCAAAGGUGAAGAAUUGAUUUUAACAUUUUUGAAUUGAAUGUUCUUGAAUAAAAAAAUUAAUUUUGCCUCUAUAAUUGGUUAUAACUUGAAGCUCGAAUUUGGAGUUUUUGCCUUUGCCAUUGAUUUUUAGUCUCAAAUUUAUUGUUAAAUUCCCUUUUACAUGAAAUACAAAUAAAAAUCACUUUACAUUCACAAUUAAAAGAUGUAACUUGCGCUCUAAGCUAUCUCUGACUUAUGUUGCAAACUUCUUUCUUCUCAUUUGUACAUUGCUCUAAUACGCCCUCGCAAACUGGAGGUUGGUAGAUAUCUGCCAUCCCUUGCUUGGUGAUGCAUUCAUGAAAUUGACAAGGUCCAGCUGCUUUUGUAAACACAUCUGCUGUUUGGUUUUGUGAAGAAACAGGUAGCAAUCUCAUUACACCAGCUUGUAGCUUUUCACGAACAAGAUGACAAUCAAUGUCAAGAUGCUUGGUAAGUUCAUGAAACUCAGGAUUGGCAGAGAUAUGCAAUACACUUUGAUUAUCACAGUAGAGAACAGACAAGCGUGACGGAGCAUGAUGGAAGUCAUGUAAAAGAAACCACAUCCAUUGUAAUUCAUGAGUAGCAGAACCUUCAAUUCCUGUAUAUGAUAUUUUUUUGGCAGACUCCAAGCUUUGAAGAGAAUCAAAUUAUUUGGACAGAAUCACAUUCAAUCUAUGUUAUACAUUUCUACAUUAUAAAGUAUUUGUGCGAACAUUGUCAGAAGUCGACACCAUAUAUAUUUGGUAAUAAGCAGUGAUAAACUGUUAAUUAUGUCAGAAGUCAGAACCAUAUAUAUUCAGUAAUAAGAAAUGAUAAACUGUUCUAUAUUCCUGUUAUUGGAACACUUUGAACUGAAAUUUUACAUAAUCUUCUUUCCUUUUAUUACUCAACUUCUAGAUGAAAGGAAAAUCACAAUGACGCAAUUGACAUUUGAAACAUGGAGUCACAAUGCAAACAUAAUACAAUAAAAGAUUUUUUAUUUUAUUUUUGAUAUAAAAACAUAAUUGUAAAACUAGAUUAUACAAUUGCAUAUCUGUCUCGUCUUUCGUGCAUAAUUUUUUUAUGAAGCCGGAUGCAUUAGGUAAGAAAAUAUAUCAAUUUAAUUACCAAAAUUGAUACCAUUGAUCUCCGGACAAUCCUUCUUGAAUUUACACUCCUACUUAUAAAUGAUUGAUAUUACUUGUUUUACACUCUAAACAAUAGUGGUGUUUUGGCCUUGAAUUUGAUUCCUUCUUCUUUUAGCCUAGAUAUCGUCAUGUAAAGGAGAUUAACCUUGAAUUUUCAGAUGUUGAAGACAGACAUCUCAUACUAAUUAAAGAUAAGGUAGUCUAUUUUCUUUAGUUAUGUCUUAAUCUAUUAUCAUAUAUCUAAAAAUGCAGAAGCCGGAACUGUUUAUCAUUCAUUGCUUGCUGAGUACUUAUGGUUCUGACAUUACAAGAAUAUUAGAUAAAGGGGGCAACCGUAGUUGACAAUGUUUCCACAAACAUUUUAUGAUGUAGAAAUGUAGAAUAUAGAUUGAAUGUGAUUCUGACCAAAUCAUUUUAAGCAUUUUUAGUGUUUUCUCUUCGAAACUUGGAGUCUUUAAAUCUGAACGGCGUCCAAAAUAUAUCUGAUACAUGAUUUGAUGCAAUAAUCGAUUAUUGUCCUUUGUUAAAAACCUUUCCCAACUACUGGAAUGUGAGGCAAAUUAAAAAGAAGUAUUGUGAUUUAGCACUUGAAAGUCUCACUUGGUGUGCAAAAUUUCUUAGUAAAUUGCUAGGAUAGAAGAUAGAGGAGACGUUAGUUAGUGACAGUUAGGGUAGUUAGUUGAUUUGUUAGAUCGUAGUUAGAUUAUAUAAUAAAUAAGAACACAAUUGUAAAGGGAUGGCAUUCUUAUAUGUAAACAUUGAGUAAAUAGAGCAGUCAGCAGAAGGGAAACGCCUUUUGGAAAGUGUCUCUUUUAUCUCAGUCUUUGAAUGAAAUUGUGUUUUUGUAAUCUAUUUAUUUCCUUCAAUUUUCUAAUUCUUUAGCGUUCUUAACAUACAUAUAAAUUUGACGCCUAGGAACGUCAAGUUGACCGACAAGGGGCUGAAGUAGUUCUUGCACAAAUGCAUACCAUUUCAGAGUUUGAAUCUCUCUGCAGUGUCCAGGUAAGCAUUGAAACACAACAUUACUCUUAUUCAAUUUCACAGAUGAAGCGUACCGUAAAGUUUGCAUUAUGAGAGGUCCAUGUUUUUGGAUCUCUGUCUGCUUCACCUAGGUAAAAUCUUCUGUUUUGAAAUUUUCUGCACGACAAUAUCUUAUGCAGACACGACAUGGUAAAUCGAUGAUCAACUUGAAUAUCCGUCUAUCUCAUUUUAUGUUAGUAACGGAGUUGCAUCUAAUUUUACGUGAUAAUUGUGUUCGUGUGACUAUUCCAGCACAAAGGGUUAUCACAACACGAUGAAGUAAUGCAUUAUUAUACGCAUACAUAUGCAUAUUCUUUUUACAAUGGCAGCGUGACAUUACCUCAAUAGUUGGUGUGGCUGAUAAAUGCCUAGAAGCACUUUCAAAGUUAUGUUCCAACAACAUUACGGUCCUUGAUGUGAACCGAUGUAUUGGCAUCAAGGCAAGUUCCUGUUUCGUAUUUUAUAUGAUGAAUUACAAGUGUUAUCCAGUCCAUUUGAGUAAAUAUAUAGUAAAUUACCCCACGAAAUUGUAAGUUUCGUCAAUUACAAAUUAGCAAAACUUCAAUUACCCCGCUGAAAUUGCACAACGUUAAUCAAUUUACCCCCUCCGUCAAAUUUUUCUAUUAGUCAACAUAACUUAUGUGCAACAUGCCCCCUAAACUUGAAAAUUUAUAUUUUUUUUCUUAUCCUUAAAGUGAUUGUAUUAUCACUGAAUUGUGUAGCAUAUUAGCUAAGUUUUGACGAUAUACAACCAUAUAUUGGCAAUAUGGUAAAAUAAAUUGGCAGUAUUUAAUAAACUCUACAAUAAACUCUACCAUUUUCUAAUUAUAUUUGCAGGUAGUUGGUAUUGUCUUAAGGUUGUUAGAAGUUGGAGCCUCGAUUAUGAAUUCCUUAACUAGUCAAAUUUUCAUUGAUUCACUUUCCUAUUGCUAGAAUUCCUUAAUGUCGCAAACAGAGAGAAACCUCAAUGUCUAUUUAGAUAGAGUAAUUUUAGUGAGUGGUGUGAUUUUAGGAAGUGCUUAAAAUGAUUGGGUUAAACUACCAUAUUAGCAAAGUUUUGUUCUACCAUACUACCAAUAUAUGGUUGUAUACCGUCAAAACUUAGCUAAUAUGCUCCACAAUUCAGUGAUAAUGCAAUCACUUUUAAGGAUAAGAAAAAAUAUAUAAAUUUUCAAGUUCAGGAGGCAUUUUGCACAUAAGUGCAAAACUUCAGAGGGGUAUUUGCAAAACGUCAUGUUGACUAACAGAAAAAUUUGACUGAGGGGGUAAAUUGAUUAACGUUGUUAAUUUCAGAGGGUAAUUAAAGUUUUGUUAAUUUCAAGGGGGUAAUUGACAAAUGUCACUUUGGUCCCUGAACCAAAAAUCAAUAUCCCCACUCUCAAAUCCCAAAAUCUCUAAAUGUCAUCUAAUUAUCUCUUUUGUUCAAAAUUAAUUUUCCAUUAAACACCAACUUUUAUAUAAUUAUCGCAGUGUUACGUGAUCCGUGCACGGAUCUUUUAUUAGUUUUUACCAAAUCAGGCUUGUGUUCAACUUACUUGGGCAACAACAAGAACAUAAUCCGCCCAUAAUCUAAUCUAAUUAAAAAACAAAAUAUGAGAUAGAUAAGGAAAUAACAAAGAGAGUGGCGUGUGAGAAAAAUAAAUUAUGAGCCUUUUUUUUAAGGGUACCUCUAAUAAGGACCCCAAAUUAUAAGGACCAUCCGUGAACCUCAAAGAAUGACUUGCUCUAACCAGUCACCAACCUUCAUCGUUUGUUAUAAGGAAAAUAAAAACUACUUAAUAACAAAAACUUCUUUCAUCUUUCUUCAACAAUCAAAAUACAACCCAACCUUAAAAAAAAAAUACAACCCAACCUUCAACAGCAACAACCAUGGCCCAUAAUUGUGGAAAGAAUAAAGAUUUGAAAGACCAUUUUGCAAAUGAUAUGAUGAAAACGAUAACCCUUCAGUUCAUAAUAUUAUUUGGACAAAACGCUAAAUUGGAGAAGAACACAAUCCAUUAGUAUCAAUCACCACAAUCUUUACCCUUUUAAAUUAAUAUUUUGAAACUGAGUUAGGACAGUAUAACCCAUUAACACUUGCACCACCAAUGUGAACCUCCUAACUGAAAACCAAGUUAUUGUGGUUAACUUUUAUUUUAUUUUGAUAAAACCAAUUUAUUGUUGUUGUUGUUGAAGCUUGUUGGGGUUCUAAAUUCUAGAAAGUGGAGAAUGAAAACCUAUUAAAAUGAUGCUAAUCUUUAAAUCUAAAAGAAGCAGAAGCAAAAUUCAAAGGCCAAAGCAUCAACAAUUGAUUUUACUGCUACAGGUUGCUGAAAGUAACAUUUAAGCCAUUUUUGAUGCUUUGACACUUAAGUCACAAAGGAACAACCUGGAAAAACUCAUUUUCCAAUUUGAGAGAGAGGGGUAAGGUGUCAAGGAGAGAGAAGAUUUGCCAAAAAUAUCUUAACCUUCAGUUGCCGGUCAAAAGGAUGGGUUCACCCGUGGACCCUUAUAAAUAAAGUCCAUAUUAGGGGCUCCCUUUUUUUAAUGAUAGAAUCAAAUUGAAGCCGUCACGAACCUAUGUCAAAAAAGCAAUUUUCAAUAUUCUCAACUCUCCUUGAAAAGUAAAAUAAAACCCUUCCAAAACCAAACUUUCCAACCCUCAGGUUUUUCUUCUCGCUUUCUCUCUAAAAACCAAAACACACAACAAAUUUAAAAUUCAAGGGUUUACAAUCUAAAUUUCCUUCCAUCAUGGCUUCCAAUUUGCAAAACGAUUUUCUUCCUGCUGUUAUGUAUCUCUAUAAUCGAUGAUCAUGAUUAUAUCGUUAUUGUGUUUUUGUUACCAAUUCUUUACUAUUGCUUCAACAUUCGUAGUUUGAUCUAAUGAAGCACAUACACUUCUCGGAUUAGGUGUGUUGCGGUGUCCGACACGACAUCCACAUGUAAUACCCUGAAUUUUGUGAUUUUUUCAAAUUAUUAGCGGCGUCGGUGUGUCAGUUUCAGUGUCGGUUUUUGCUUGAGUUAUUACCUAUAUUUAAAAAUUCGUAGUCACUAAACAACCAGAACAAUUACCUGAUUGAGCCUGAAAAGAGGUAAGGCUUAACAAACCAUCACCUCAACAAUUACCGAAACACGGUGGCAUUGUAACAGAAACGGCUAGUUCGCCGGAGAAGGCAAACCACAAGACAGUAACUCGACCCAAAAGUGGUUUAGGAGAAUUGAUCAGAUGUGUUGGUUUAGAUAGGUUAUUACAUUACAUAAGCAUCCUCAUUAUGUGAUUUUUACUUACAUGGAUAACACAAGGUCACUACUUUAGUCACCCAUCCUUUAAUUAUGUGCUUUAUUUACACUUUUUUUUUUUUUUUUUUGUAGUAGAUCAUCAGCAGAGAACAAAAAUUCCAAAGAAGAAUCGUCGAAAAAAGAAUAAAAGUUCCAAAAAUAAAUCAUCCUCCACAGUUACUCCUGGACAUUUUGAUUUCUCAGCUCUGCUCAAUGUAAGCUCUUCUCUCCGUUCUUGUGUUAUUUGCAUAUGUGUGGUGUGUGCUGUAUUUUUUGAUAAUCAAACUAUGUUAAUUGUUAAUGAAUGUGAGCCUGUUUGCUUGGACUAUAUGAGUAUGUGCUUUUGUUUUUGUCCUGGUCAUGCAUCAGAUUUGAUUCAUUUGCAAUUUUGCAGCCAAUGAUCAGACAAUACUUCUAGAAAUGGGUUUUAUGAAGACAAAUUCUGAAUGUUUUUCAGAUGUCUAAUGUCUUCACUGUUGGCAAAAAGUGUUCAUUAAGAUUGUAUACUGUUUUCUUCAAAGCUUUACAUACCAUGAUAGUGGAGUAAGCCUUUUGUAGUUCCUGCCAACUUGGAUAAGAUUUUGCAGAUAGUAUUGUUCUUAUGGGCUUAUGGCUGCUAUCUUUGUAAUAAUCUUUUAAGGCAUGUAUACAACUGAGAUUUAUUGAUAGUUUAAGUUAAGUGAAGCAAGCAUUUGAUGACUUUUGAACUCAUCAUAUGGUUUGACCCAAGUCUUCCUCUUUUCAUUUUUCACUCACUAGGGAAUGUCAUUUAUUGGAUGUACACUCUAAAUUACUAAUGUAUAUAAUAUUAGUAUUUCAUCAAGGCGUCUUAAAAUGUCAAUGUGUCAUAGGAUCCAAAUAUCAGGAAACUGGCUGAACAGCUUCAGGAAACUUUGCAUGAAGCACCACAGGAUGAUCUCACAAAUUCUCGUGAUCCGAAGUAUGCUUCAACCAUGCUACAGAUCAGAAAGAAUCUUGAUCUUAAAACCAUGGUCAGGCGCCUGAUUUGUGCUUUGAUGCAGGUAUUUUUUAAAUUUCUUUGUUAUGUUUGUAACACAUCUGCUGGUUGUUAGAUUAAAAUGCAUGUGCUGUCUAUCACAGGACCCUUCAUUGUCUUCCAUGGUGGAAAUUUAUACCGAUCCGUCCCUUGAAGGCCAGCGUAAACGUAGAACGGCACACUUGAACAAAGAUCCAUGUUUGAAACUUAUUUUAGAUGAGAUAGAGAAUGGUGGUCCUGCUGUAAUGAUGAGGUUUAAACACCACUUUUUUAAAUUCUAUUUUAUUGUUUUGGCAUUUCCAUAUUUCCACCAUAAAUUGGUAAAUAAUUUCUGAAGCGAUUCUUUCCAUACAGACUUCGAUCGAGUGUAAUGAAUUCUCUUGCAAUUGAAAUUGAAACUCCAGGUUUCUGCAUAAAUUGUUUAAGGAAUUUCAAAAUGAAUCACAGUCAAGUAAACUAGUUAUUAGCUUUCCAAUUGAAAUUAGAAUAUCUACCACUUUAGCUUCUAGAGUAUGUGUUUCCUCAAACGUCAAAUUGCUUACAUAUCUCCUCUUGAGAAACAUAAAAUCCUUAUUAGUUUGAUCUGGCCUCUUCUAUACCCCAACAAUGCCUAAGUUUACUAAGGUCCUGUUUGAAAAUGCCAAUAUAAAUAGCAUUUUCUUUUGACGUUUGCAAUGCCAUUCCUGUCAUCAUCUGUGAUGAUAAUAUCCGCAUAAACCUCAAUGCAAGUAUCAUAGUAAUCUAGUACAAGUCCACUAGGUUGGUGCCUUGAAGAAAUAAAAUACCUGCUGCAGCUGUCUUUUUACCCUAAAAUUUGAACACAGCGUUACUGAAAUUUUGAAGCAAAUUCUAGGAGAUUUGGAACCAUUAACAAACUUCAACUAUAUCACUAAAUUUCACUCAUCUAUUCUAUCACCGACCUUGUCCCCAUAUCGUGUUGCAUGUUUUUUUUGUUCUUCCUUUUCUCCCCUACCACCCCUCAUGUUGUGGUUGAAUCUUCAAUUUCCACGCACGCAACCUCUUGCUCCGCCAUUCUUGCUUUGCUCAAGAUAGAUGUGUGGAAAUAUUUGAAUCUUCUCGAAUUUAAAUUUGUGCCAGUUUGGGGAUUAGGGUUUCAUAACUUUUAAAUUAGGGCUUUUUAGGCUGUGAGAGAUUCUGAGAAAUUAAGCGUGUUAUGACGGAGUUAAACCCUAGACACUAAUUGUUUGUCCUUUAUUGUUAAGCUGGGUUUGAAUUUUCCAAUAGUUGUGUGUUUGUGCAUGCUUCUUUUGUUUUCAAAGGCUGAGGGUCAAUCAUCCAUCUUGAAGAUGAUUUCUCUUGUAAACUGCAACUUCAUUCAUUUGUAAUCAUUUAAAUUCCUCUGUGUGAAUUUUGAUCUAAAAUUCUAGAUAUAAUGUGGUGACUUUGUGUUGACUGUUAGACAUUAUAGCACGAACCUAAGAAUGUAGCUCUUGUCCCUUCAUUCCAUGUGAUACAUUAGUACUUCCAGUUUCUUUUUAUUUUGGAGGAUGUAGUGAGCUUUCCUCAUAGUUGACUGUGUAUUUGAGAGAUUUUAGUUGAUUCUCUAACAUCAUUAAACAACCGGUUGUUGUUGUUGUUGUUGUUGUUGUUUUGAUCAUCAUCAUCAUCGAUUUUAAUUUGUAUAAACAUUUUGUUCUUUCAUACUAGUUGUGCUGUUGGAAAUUGGAGGAACGGUGCCAGCAACCGAGUGUCUCCCCAAUCAUCAUCAAAUCUCAAAUGCAAAUAGGUAAAUCAAAUAAUCUCAUUUUAAUAUCAACCAAUUAUUAAUACANNNNNNNNNNNNNNNNNNNNNNNNNNNNNNNNNNNNNNNNNNNNNNNNNNNNNNNNNNNNNNNNNNNNNNNNNNNNNNNNNNNNNNNNNNNNNNNNNNNNNNNNNNNNNNNNNNNNNNNNNNNNNNNNNNNNNNNNNNNNNNNNNNNNNNNNNNNNNNNNNNNNNNNNNNNNNNNNNNNNNNNNNNNNNNNNNNNNNNNNNNNNNNNNNNNNNNNNNNNNNNNNNNNNNNNNNNNNNNNNNNNNNNNNNNNNNNNNNNNNNNNNNNNNNNNNNNNNNNNNNNNNNNNNNNNNNNNNNNNNNNNNNNNNNNNNNNNNNNNNNNNNNNNNNNNNNNNNNNNNNNNNNNNNNNNNNNNNNNNNNNNNNNNNNNNNNNNNNNNNNNNNNNNNNNNNNNNNNNNNNNNNNNNNNNNNNNNNNNNNNNNNNNNNNNNNNNNNNNNNNNNNNNNNNNNNNNNNNNNNNNNNNNNNNNNNNNNNNNNNNNNNNNNNNNNNNNNNNNNNNNNNNNNNNNNNNNNNNNNNNNNNNNNNNNNNNNNNNNNNNNNNNNNNNNNNNNNNNNNNNNNNNNNNNNNNNNNNNNNNNNNNNNNNNNNNNNNNNNNNNNNNNNNNNNNNNNNNNNNNNNNNNNNNNNNNNNNNNNNNNNNNNNNNNNNNNNNNNNNNNNNNNNNNNNNNNNNNNNNNNNNNNNNNNNNNNNNNNNNNNNNNNNNNNNNNNNNNNNNNNNNNNNNNNNNNNNNNNNNNNNNNNNNNNNNNNNNNNNNNNNNNNNNNNNNNNNNNNNNNNNNNNNNNNNNNNNNNNNNNNNNNNNNNNNNNNNNNNNNNNNNNNNNNNNNNNNNNNNNNNNNNNNNNNNNNNNNNNNNNNNNNNNNNNNNNNNNNNNNNNNNNNNNNNNNNNNNNNNNNNNNNNNNNNNNNNNNNNNNNNNNNNNNNNNNNNNNNNNNNNNNNNNNNNNNNNNNNNNNNNNNNNNNNNNNNNNNNNNNNNNNNNNNNNNNNNNNNNNNNNNNNNNNNNNNNNNNNNNNNNNNNNNNNNNNNNNNNNNNNNNNNNNNNNNNNNNNNNNNNNNNNNNNNNNNNNNNNNNNNNNNNNNNNNNNNNNNNNNNNNNNNNNNNNNNNNNNNNNNNNNNNNNNNNNNNNNNNNNNNNNNNNNNNNNNNNNNNNNNNNNNNNNNNNNNNNNNNNNNNNNNNNNNNNNNNNNNNNNNNNNNNNNNNNNNNNNNNNNNNNNNNNNNNNNNNNNNNNNNNNNNNNNNNNNNNNNNNNNNNNNNNNNNNNNNNNNNNNNNNNNNNNNNNNNNNNNNNNNNNNNNNNNNNNNNNNNNNNNNNNNNNNNNNNNNNNNNNNNNNNNNNNNNNNNNNNNNNNNNNNNNNNNNNNNNNNNNNNNNNNNNNNNNNNNNNNNNNNNNNNNNNNNNNNNNNNNNNNNNNNNNNNNNNNNNNNNNNNNNNNNNNNNNNNNNNNNNNNNNNNNNNNNNNNNNNNNNNNNNNNNNNNNNNNNNNNNNNNNNNNNNNNNNNNNNNNNNNNNNNNNNNNNNNNNNNNNNNNNNNNNNNNNNNNNNNNNNNNNNNNNNNNNNNNNNNNNNNNNNNNNNNNNNNNNNNNNNNNNNNNNNNNNNNNNNNNNNNNNNNNNNNNNNNNNNNNNNNNNNNNNNNNNNNNNNNNNNNNNNNNNNNNNNNNNNNNNNNNNNNNNNNNNNNNNNNNNNNNNNNNNNNNNNNNNNNNNNNNNNNNNNNNNNNNNNNNNNNNNNNNNNNNNNNNNNNNNNNNNNNNNNNNNNNNNNNNNNNNNNNNNNNNNNNNNNNNNNNNNNNNNNNNNNNNNNNNNNNNNNNNNNNNNNNNNNNNNNNNNNNNNNNNNNNNNNNNNNUUGAGGUAAAUGUUAUUUUCUUUAUAAAGUGGAAACACUUAAAUGAUAAUAAAUAUAAGAUAAAAUUUUAGUGAAUAAAAUUUAAUUUAAUUUAUAAUACAUAGGAUAUAUUAAAUUAAUAAAUUUAAAGUAUUUUUUUUAAAGAAAAAUUAGUUUACAAAAUUACAAAUAUUUAAAUUAAUGAUAUAAUUUUUAUUAUGGAUUAAGAAUACUCUUUAUGUCAUUUUACAUUUAUGAGCUAGUUGAACCGCUAUAUUUACCAAACCCUUCAGUUAGCUUAUCAGCUAAAAGCUAUCAGCUAACUUAUCAGCUAAAAGCUAUCAGCUAUCCGUUAUUUUUACCAAACAGAGCCUUGGUGUGUGGUUCUAAAGCGUGAAUACAAGGAUUUCAACUUUUUUUUUUUUCUAGUAAAAAUAAAAGGCACGCAUUUUGUAAAAUGUAUUCUACGGAUCAGAAAGUACCAACAACGUCAUAGAAGUAAUUCUCAUUAACGCAAAAGCUACUCUUACUAUCUUUAAGUUUAAAAGUUAUACGUGAGUUUGGAGCAAAAUCGCAUCAAAAAAUAGUUAACCAAACACGUGAGUUUUGUUGUAAAACUGAACCAAACAAGAACUAAUUCACAACAUCACUCGUGUUCAACUUCAUAAAAAAUAAUAAAAAUAAUAUUAAAAACUUAAAACUGUCGUCUUUGGAACCAAAAUGAGAUACUUUAAAAUAACCUCUCUACCGAAAUUUCGUAAAAUCAGUUUAAAAGAUGAGUAAAAAGAGAAAAAAUUGGAUCAAAAAUGGGAUAUGACGUCAUGUUGACUAACGGAAAAACUGACGAAAGGGACAAAUUGUAACUUUUAAAAAUUUCAGGCGGAGGUUUUAACUUUUUUUCGAAUUUGGAGGAAUUUGCACAAUUUUAUAAUUUCAAGAAAUACAAGUGUGUCCUUAAGAAGCUUAACUAUUAACUAAAUUAUUCCCUUAAAAAAAAACUAAAUUAUUAUUUUUGGACAAAAACUCAAUUUAGUUUACUUUACUAACAUACUUUAUCAUCAUUACCUAAAAAUUAAAAAUAAAAUAAUUUUGCAAGUAGUUUAGUUUAUUUUACUAGAAUAUGUAAAUUAAUUUAAAUAUUAAAAGCAAAAAUGCUAAUACUAAUAAUUAAAAAUAAAAUAAAUUGAAUUCUCUAUAAAUUCACAUGAAUUUAUUUUUGUCUAUUGAUAAAAAUUAAUAAAAAAUUAUUCCCUAAUUAAAUUACUUUUAUUUUUGGAUUUCUAAAUAAUAUGUUAAAUGAAUCAAUUUUCAAAUAUAUCAUUUUAGUGGCCUCGAGUUCAUAUUUCCCAUUCAACAAGUAAAAAUUUGGCUAUUCGUGGCAUUAUCCCUUUAGAAGCGUGUUUGUGUGUGGUUGGUUGUGUAACACCCCGAUAUCCCAAAGCAAUUAAAUAAUAAAUAUAACAUCAGAGUUUAACAUCAAAUCGGGUAUGUCACACUACUUUUUAAAAUUUCUUAAAUAGAAUAUAAAACUAUUUAAUAAACAUCAUUCAUAAAACAUCAAUAAUUUGCGGCGGAAUAUUCUUCAAACAUUAAACAUCAACAUCCAACAAUAAAUCCUAGCACAAAGGCCGCAACAUAAAUAUUCAUCAUUAAUUGUUUCAAAUAACAAUAAAAGGCUCCACAACAGGUUUCCAAAAUUUGAUACAUUAGGAAUGAAAAUAAAUAAGUAAUCCCAUACCGUACGUAUCAGAGCCCUAGACACUUGAGCCACCACCUACUACUCAGGAUCAUCUGCAAGUUACUCAUAUGAAUGGCAACAUUUCCAAGCAGAAGGGGUGAGAUUCACAACAAUAAAAAUAGAUAUAAAAUUCAUCAAUUGAAUCUAACACCCUAACAUAGUAAUAAUUAUUCAAUAUACAAUAUAUAUUUCAUAAUUAACAACAUCAACAAUAAUGGUAAUUACAACCAACAACAACGACUCAUGCAACUACUAGACAACACCGCUAAGACUCCUCGACAAUGCGACAAUGCACAUGCAUGUGGUACCAAUUUACAUGGCAGAAGCCCUCACUAAAUAUUGAAUGGUUAAAGCAUUCAUCAAGGCAUAAGCCCUCACGCUUUGAACAACAAGGUGUUCCAGGGCAUGAGCCCUUCACCCAUUUUCUAUUCAAUCAAAGAACAAACAGCUCAGAUACUGGGCAACUCGCCUCGCGAGUGCAUAUGCUCGUCAUGGCGAGCUCAGGCUGGCGAACAAGAAAAGGGGUGCUCUCGGGAGUUUUGACAUUUUUCUCACUAAAUCUUCAUUUUAAAGCUCCCUAUUCAUCUUUUUAAUCUAAAAAUUAUCUCAGUCCUCUCUAAAAUCAUUUAGGCACUCAAAACUAACCAAUUAACACCUUAUAACAACAAUCUGAAAAUCAAGGUUCUCACUCACUAACUCGCCAUGGCGAGUGGUUCUGCUCGAGAGGCGAGCCAUGAAGUUGCUCACGCGCGAGGCGAGACAGGGUUACUCGCGGGACGAGCGAUGAACAUCAGUACGGGCAGAAUGCAGGUUUUUCCCAAAAAUCUCAUUUUCCUCAAUUUCACUCCCCAAAUUAGUUUACAGAUGUAAAACUAAAUGCUGUAUGCAAUCAAAACUUAUUUCUAACAUCAAACCAGUGAUUCCUACACUCAAUUCAUCCAAAAACCAAAGGAUUCAACAUAAACCCAAAAUCCCCAAUUUCUACCAUAAACCUGUUAAACCAAAAUCAUAAUUAAAAAUCUAUACUACUGAAGCAAACCUCACCCUUACCUUAAUUCAAAUGAACAAAUGCACAAAAAUCUGGUUCACUUGGCUCUACUUGGCUCUUCUCCCUUUUUCUCCCAAAAUUUGUCUGUUGUACGUGAAACUGCUUUCUGACUAUUUCUUUUCCUACUCCCAAUACUUAACUCCCCUUUAUUUCAUUUAACUCCCCCUUAAUUCUAUUAAUUUCUAAUUAAAUCCCCAACCUCCAAAAUAAUAAUAAUUCUCACAUAUUCUAAUUAAUAUUAAAAUAAACCAUAUAAUAAAAUAUAACACACCACAUAAUCAACAAUAAUUAUUUAAAAUCAUAUAAAAGACUCUAAUAAAUCAUAAAUAAAUAAAAUAACGACUAGGGCGUUACAGGUUGUGGGUAUGUCGAGGACACUACCCAUAUGUUUCUGUCAUGUCCAACUUUCAAUGCUAUUUGGCCGUUGGUGCGGGCGUGGCUUGGAUUUGAUGGAGCAGACUCAAGUUAUUUUAGAUCAUUUCUUGCAAUUUAUUAAUUAUGCAGGUAGUUUGAAAUCGCGACGAUCCCUUUUUCAUCUGAUAUGACUCUUGUGGAAUGAACGAAAUAAUGGGUUAUUCAAGAAUCAACAAACCACUAUUCCACGUAUGUUAGAUAAAGUAAAAUCAUAUUCUCUAUGGUGGUUGAAAGCGAGUAACACUACCUUUAUUUUCAAUACUCAUUUGUCGUGGUCGAGCCCACUUAUGUGUUUGGGUAUCAUCUAAUUUUUAUCUAUUUUUGACAAACUUGUUGUACUUUUCGUAAUUAUUUUGGCACGCUUUGUGCUUAUGCGAUUGCAUUUGUUAGUGUUAAUAUAAUUUAUUUUGGCUUAUAAAAAAUAUAUAUAAAAAAUUUUGGGGUAGGAUUUUUACGGUCUAUGUAAUUAAUUUGACAGUAAAAAUAUUUUUACAUAGACCGUAAAAAUAUUUGAUUAUUUUAUACGCAAAAAUAUUUUCCCGCUUUCUCAAGGCUUCAAUCUCUGAAAAUCUCAAACUUCAAAACCCCCAAUUUCAACGCUCUCAAUCUAAAACCUAAUCGUCCAAUUCACGAACGACAAUCUCGCUCCUACUUCUCCGCCGUCCGCGCCGCCAUGCCUCGACGGUGGGAACGGAAGAAACGCUUCAUCUCAACCUGCUUCUCUCACGCUGUUCAAAAAUCUCACGCCGUUCAAACAUCUCACGCUUGCGUCAAAACUGCUUCGUCGUCACUUUGCAAUUUUCUCUAGGUUUGUCGUGAUUAUAUUCUGUUUCAUUAUCUAAAUUUGGUUAAUUCUAAAUGUUGUUGUGCUUACACUCUUAGCGAAUUAUCACAUUUGUCGUGAUAGCACGAAUCUUGCGCGCAUAUUUCCUAUUUACUAAGCAUGAACUCCGACACGAACACGACACGGACACGGUCACGUCCACAAAUGUAAAAAGAUAGACACCAAUUUAUUUAAUUAAAAUGUAUGGACACUCCUCGGAUUAGGGUUGUCGUGUCUGACACCGACCGACACGUAUAAUUACACUUAAUUAUGUAAUUUUCUCUAAUUUUUAGCGGUGUCGGCGUUGUCUUCGAUGGUGCUAAACAGCGAUACACAAGAAGAUGCGAAAAGUGGGGUGGAAAAGUUUCAGGUCAAGAUAUUGGGAGAUAGUAGUGCUCAGAUCACGGAGGAUGUCCUAUCUAGUUCAAAUGUUGGGAUAACCGAUUCCAAGUUAUCUGGCUCUGCAUCAAGUGCUAGUUUGACGAAUGGGCAUGCAGCUCCUAUGUAUUCAGCUGGUAUCAGAAAUGGCAAUGAAACUUGGUUCGAAGUUGGACGAUCCAAGACUUAUACCCCAACUGCUGAUGACAUUGGUCACGUCCUUAAGUUUGAAUAUUCUGUAGUUGAUGCAGUGACAAAAUCACCUGUGGGACAAGCUAGCACUUUACAAACUAAUAGGGUCAUUCCUGCUCCUUCACCAAUUCCUCGCCGAAUUAUACGUGUUGAUGGGAUGGGGCAUUUAGACCUAGAUAGGCGCAUGACAUCUUCAGGAACUUUUACUGCUCUGUCAUACAAUGUCUUGUCUGAGACAUGUGCCUCAAAUGAUCUCUAUAGCUACUGCCCUCCGUGGGCACUUUCUUGGCCAUAUCGCAGGCAAAAUUUGUUACGGGAAAU
rnacentral:lncRNA from 1 species